rnacentral:lncRNA from 1 species
ACAAGUAUAAGUCACCACCACCUCCUUCCCCAAUUUACAAGUCACCAUCACCACCUUCUCCAGUAUACAAAUUACCUCCACCACCUCCUCCAGUUUACAAAUCUCCACCACCAUCAAUUUAUAAAUACAAGUCUCCUCCACUACCUCCUCCAGUGUACAAGUCAUCACCACCACCUGCUUACAAGUCUCCACCUCUUCCAGUUUACAGUUCCCCACCACCACCAAUCUACAAGUCUCCACCUCCACCCUACCAUUACUACUACAAUUCUCCUCCUCCUCCUCCUCGUCACUACUAAGCAAUUGUAUGCAAGUUUUUGAGGUAAUAACGCUUAACCAAUAAACUAACUUUCGCAUGAUAAAACUUAUCUCUAUCAAGACAAACUGCCAUGUGUAUCAUGCCAAAUACGUACACCUAGAUCCAUGAAAAUGAAUGGUAGAAAAUUUUCUUAAGAACUAAGGAACAGCAUUAGUAUUCCCUCUGCUUCCAAAAACUUGUGUAUUAAAUAGAUUAAUGAAUUGUUUAACAUGCUCAUUUACUUGAAAAUACACAAUACCCAUAACCUACUGAAUUUUUUGCAGGAAAAGGGAAAGACAAUCUGUGUUUGAGAGCUUCAUGAAGAUGUUGAAGAAUAAGAAUAAAAGCCCAAUGCGAGGAUGUUUCAAGUUUUUCUAUGUUUCCACUUUAAUUUGUAAAUUGAAUUUUGUGACUCAAUUAAUUCCCUGUUUGUGGGGUACGUGUUGUUUUACGUACCAUGCCGUACAGGUUUGUAAGGAUUUCUAUCCUAUUGGCAAAAGUCGGUUCCAUACAAUUAAUCAAUUCAUUUCACUUCUAUUGGCUCUACUAUUUAUGCAUGUUACGACAUUUUUUCUCUCUUUCCCUUAUAUUUUGCCUUUAAUAUUAUUGAAUCAAUAUUAAUAAUGGGCCUUUUUCUUAAAAUUAUACUAUUAUACAUAGGUUGUUUGGUCUAACGCUAAAUUCAUGUUUGUCUUUCUUUUAUUCCCUUUACAUCUCAAAGUAUACUAUAGUUUGUAAUCAUUGUGGUGAUGAUAUUGCCAGCUGGUACUUAUAGUUUAAGGCAGAGACAUGAUAUUAACAACUAUCUCAUUGAAACAUAAAGAAAAAUCAUGACAAGUGUGAGUCUUGGUUAAUGCACAAUUUGUUAGUGGAAUUUAUAUUUAUAAAACUCAAAAAAAAAUUUUGACAAUGCUAUUACUAAUUAAUUAAGGACUUUAUUGCUAUAAUUUAUCGCUUACUAGUUUAAACUAUAAAUGAUCUCAAUACUUUUCUCCAUGAUGUCGAUUUCUUUAGAUUACGAAAGGGAAAAAUUAGUGACAUAUCCCUUACUGAUUACAACAUCAGCAAAAAUUAGUUAUAAAUUUUUCCGGUGGUUUUAAAUCCCUCGGGCACUAAGAUUUUUUGCACAUCGAGUGAAUUGAGGAACAUAGGCAAUUCGUUCUGCAUACCAAGUCCUUGUUUAAGAUGCAAGUACUAAAAUGCAUCCACUUCAUUAAUUUGGGAAAUUGCCAUAGUUUUUUUUAAGCAUUUUGAUUUUUUACAUGAUUCAAAAUUUUCUUAUUGGAUACAAUCACUUUGUAUCAAGAACAUUUUCAAUCAUCCUUUUUAUCUUCUCAAUAAGAAAAUAAAAAUUUAUUCAUGCUUUUCUAACAUAUCCAAUCAUUGAUCUGAAAAAUAAAGAAUUUAAAAAAAAAGACAUUUUCAAUCAUUGCUUACAGGGCAACUUCCCCAUGUGAACCUCUUCAAACAAAGCCAAUAAUAUGAAGGAACAUCUAAAUACACUUUUGCCCUAAAGGCUGGUUGCCUUGGGGUCAAAAUUUAACCUUCGGGAGUAUAAUUACCCUGCCAAAUUUAUUAUUUUUUAUGGGUAUAUAGUUCCAAUUUUUCCUCCUGUUAAGCUUAUAAAUAUAUUAUCACCCAGAAAAUAAAGGAAUCUUGAAUACUAACAUGUCCAUUUACUUGAGUUGUCAUCAAUUUGGCUACUUCGAUUCCAUGAGGGCAAUCCAAUUCACACUUGCUAGAGAAAAUGGUGAUAAAGGCACAAAGAAAAUUAUAUGUAAUAUUGAUUGGUAGUAACCACCUUGUAUUGAUCCCACUAUUGUGGAUACUCGUGCUCUUAUGAAAAAAAAUUAUAAAAAAUUAGCAAAAUUUAAAAGAACAAAGUAAAUUUAUUCGUACAAAUCAGUCAAAGAAGUAGCAUUUUAAAGACCAUGAUGAAAUUAAUACUUUCAAGGUCUCUAUUAGGAAGACUUCCUUUGUUGGUGAAACUACACUAGGUACGGUUACAUGCAGAUGUUUACUGUUUUGGUACCUAAUUUCCUUGCCUUGAGUUGGGUGCAGAUGUUUAUAUUACAAAUAGAUGGUAUCAUAAAUUUGUUGUAUUAACGUCUGUUCUUUUUUUUCUUCCUUAAGUUUUUUUCUUUAUUCUCGUGACUUCAAAAAUACGAACUCAAGAAAUUAACUGCUUCGACAUUAAGGUAUAACUUCACAACUAGAGCCAAUAGAAAUCGUCAAAUGAUUUUUUGACAUCCAAAUUAAGCAAUAAAUUUUGUUUUCAUUUCACGGGAGAUUUUAUAGUUUCUUUUGGGUAUCAUACCUACAAGUGAUAAUUGUCAUUGGAUAGUGAAAGAAGUGUUAAUGAUUGUAAGAUUAAAUAUUGAAAAUUUAAACUAUUUAUCUUUAUUGAGAGAUACAACUUAAAGAAUCGUAUCCAAAAGAGACUAUAGAAUUUUCUCUGUUUUUCAUCAUCUGUAGACAUAAACUUUCUACGGUUGAUGUACUAUAAGGAAAUUUUGCCUAUACAAUGUGAUACCAUUUUUUCAAAAAGACAAGAUGGCAAAUUGCCCCCUUGAACGGAAAAAAUCAUGAUCUUUCCUCAAACUAGUCUACUUGUCAAUUCUUUGAAAAAGAAUACACUGCCCCGCAGAAUUCUAGAAAGUUAGGCAAAACUAGACAAGUUGACAGCUAUAAUCAUACCCAAGAUCAGGAACAAGCAGUUACACAUUUCAAAAUUCGCUGCUGCAACAACUAAUUUGAUGACUUACAACACUAAAUGGUCAAACUUUGAAUGGCAAUGAAUCUUUUGUUGUACAUCAUGAUGUAAUUUUCAUGUUACAUAAUAGAUUGAUAUCUAUGUUCUUUAAAUUAUCAUAAUAAUUAAAUUUAACUGAUAAAAAGAACACAUAUCAAUACACAAAAGUGUGUAACGUGAAUGUUAUAUUAGUGUAUUGCAGAAGACCUAUAGUCUCUUCACAUCUCUUCCUGCAUCUUUUAUGUUUUAUUACCUCCAAAAGCCUUUACAGGGUCUUUACCCUAAAAAUCAAUUCACCGACUCGCAUUUGAUGUCAGAAAUUCUUAAGACGAAUUCUACUUUACUCAAAGAUUGACUGUUAAUAAUGAGACAACGACCAUUUUGUAUUAUUACACCGUCCUUCUUGAUAGGCAAAAGAAAUAGAGAGGAAAGCGGGUCCGUAUAUGGUCUUUUAUUCAUAGAUAAUACAACAUUACGCCAUCGAGCAUUCACACAAUAUUUCAAAGUCAUUGCAUGCCUAAAGCCCCGCUUGAUAAUCCAAUUUCAUACUUAAAUUUAAUGGAUUCAAAUUUUAACACAUUCAAAUUGUUUGAUAACAAAAAAUUGAACGUCUAAAUUAAUUAAGUAACACUAAAUUUUUUAGACAAAACUUGCUCCCAAAAUUAAGUGAUAAGCUAUAUCACUUAUCACUGAAUGUGAUAUGCAUUCAAAUGUAUUAUAUUUAAUACUUAAUAAUUUAAUAAUUUAAUGGAUUCAAAAUUCAGAUUUUAGAUUUCAGUUUUAUCAAACAUACCCUAAGUUGCAAAAUAAUACCAAAACUUGUUAUUAUAUAGCUUGAGAUUCAAAAAUUUAGAGCAUAAUUCUCAACCUAACACAAUUGAAUAAUGAAUAUUCACGAUUGUCAAAUCUAUCAAAGUACAAUUUGAGGACAACCCAUUCCAACGCGUACACAAUUUCUCACUUUUCUAAAGUUGUUGAGAGCUGUUAAAAGAGAUUUACCAUGUUUACAUCUUCCAAGUCUUGGGAGUAAAAAAUGAAGCCACCGAGUGCUAUAAAAAGGGGGCUAGAGGCUGCCUAGAAGCAUAUCAGCCUAAAACAAGAAUUUGUAGUAACAAUGGGGAGCAAAGCAAAAGCAACGGGGUCUAGGCUGACUCCUCUUCUUACCACUGUUUUAGUGGUAUUUGUCGCCCUUGGCUUGCCCUUGGAAACUGCAGCUGAUUAUUACAAGUAUUCAUCUCCUCCUCCUCCUCCUUACCACUAUUCUUCACCACCACCUCCAGUGUAUUCACCUCCACCAACCCCUGCUUAUAAGUUACCCCCACCAUCUCCUCCAGUUUACAAGUCCUCACCACCACCUUACCACUACUCACCACCUCCGGUGUAUUUACCUCCACCAUCUCCAGUUUACAAGUCACCACCACUACCCCCUCCGGUAUACAACUCCCCGCCUCCACCAGUGUACAAAUACAAGUCCCCACCACCACCUCCUCCAGUUUACAAAUCUCCACCGCCACCAGUUUACAAAUACAAGUCACUCCCACCACCUCCUCCGGUAUACAAGUCUCCUCCGCCACCUGUUUACGAGUACAAGUCUCCUCCACCACCUCCUCCAGUGUACAAGUCCCCACCACCUCCAGUUUACAAGUACAACUCACCUCCACCUCCUCCCCCAGUUUACCUGUCUCCACCUCCACCCUAUCAUCACUACUACGGUUCUCCUUCUCCUCACCACUACUAAGCAAGUGCAUAAGUUUUGAGGUAAUAAUACCUAUCCAAAACUUUAUCAACACAAACUGCCAUGUAUAUCAUGCUAAGGACGUACACUUGAUCCAUGAAAAUGACUAGUAGAAGAUUUUUUUUAAGAACCAAAGAAAUACAUUAUUUUUUCGGUCUGUUUUCAAGAAUUUGAGCAGUAUACAGAUUAAAGAGUGUUUUUUUUUUUGUAAACUUGCUUGUCAACUUAAAAAUGCACAUAGCUGAAAGCCAACUGAAUAUUUGCAGGCAAAGGAGAAGGCAAUCGGUGUUUGAGACCUUCAAGAAGAUGUAGAAGAAUAAGAAUAAAAGCCCAAUGCGAGGAUGAUUCCAAGUUUCUACGUUACCAUUUCUACAUCUAAAUUGACUUUAGCUCCUGAGUUCCAUGUUUAUGGGGUUUGUACCGUUUUACGUACCAUGCAGUACAUGCUUGCAAGGUUUUCUGUCCUGUUGGCAAACUGCAGGUCCAUAUAAUAAAUGAAUACUAUUUACAUUACGACACUUUUCUCUUUUUCUCUUAUAUUUUGUCUUUAAUAUUGUUGAUCAUUUUUUUUUUAUCAAAAGCAUCAAAUGCUUAGGUAAUUUGGUCUAAUGCUAAUUGUUUUACUUUUAUUUUUCACCUACACCCCUUUUCAACUCAAAGGAUGCUAUAGUUUGUGAUAAUUGUUUAAGACCGAAGCAUGAUACUAAUAAAUAUCUCAUUGAAAGUCAAGGAAACUAACAUUAGGAAAAGUUUAAAUCUUGAUUUGAUGAAACUAUUUAUUCGUGGAAUUUAGAGAUACAAAACUCAAAUUGUGACGGUGUUGUUGCUAAAUUAUUAAGGACAUUAUCACCAUUAUUUUUCCCUGAUCACUAGUUUCAACUGCAAUGAUCUCAAUCUUUUUGUGACUAAUUCUUUCCUUAAUAAUUUAUAAAGACAAAACUCACAAAGAAUAUGUGACUAAUUCUUUCCUUUCGUCUUCUAAAGAAAAUGCCAACUGUUAGUUUAUCAAGGGGAAAAAGGAUCGACAUCAGUUAUUAUUGAAACUAGUAAGGAAUAAAUAAUGGUGAUAAUGUCCUUAAUAAUUUAACAACAGCACCAUCAGAAUUUGACUUUGAGCUUCGGUCUUAAACAAUGAUCACAAACUACAGCAUCCUUUGAGUUGAAAAAGGAAGUAGGUGAAAAGAAAAGUAAAAAAUACAAUUAGCAUUCCCUCAAAUUGUAGAAAGUUAGGUAGCAUUAUAGACAAGUUGAUAGCGGCAAUUUUACAUUUCAAACUUCACCUAUUCAAUAACUAAUUCGAUGGCUUGCUACAUGGUCAAUCUUUGGACCCCUUCCUGCCUCCAGAUAUCCCUUUCCUCAAUCAGGGGCUUCUACAAUUACCAGUUUCAAUUGUAUGGUAUAGUGUAAAUAUCAACAAAUUAGAUGUAGAUGCUAACAUAAUAAAUGUGAAUGCUAAGACAGCAACAUACAAUCGAACCUGCAAUUGUAUGAACCCCAAUCUCGCUUCCUAGUCCACCAUCUUUCUCUAGGUAAUAAUCUCCCUUCUAAUUUAUUCACAAAAUGCACCUUUCAUCACCUCCAAUAGCGUCGACAUGAUCUUUACCCUAGAAGACUAUUCACCGACUCUCAAUUGACGUCAGAAAAUCUAAGAGUAAUUCUACUUUACCCUAAGAUUGAUAUCAACAAGACAAGGACAAUUUAGAAUUAUUACACGCCUCUUCUUAAUAGGAAAAAGAAAUAGAGAAGAAAGUCAGGCCAGGUCUAAUUUCUUUUCAAAGGCAAUACAACAUUACGAAAUCAAGCAUUCAUUCAUACAAAUAUUUCAUAGUCACCGGUUUGCUGAGUAGAAAAAUUUAGACAAAAACUUAAUAUUAUAUUGUUUAAGAGUUAACAAUUUAGAGCUUAAUCUCCUUGUACUUUGGAGUUAACAAUUUAGAGCUUAAUCUCCUUGUACUUUGGACUAAACUUGAACGUGAAAGGAAAUCCCAAAACCAUAUUGGGCAUGAAUUCACACUUAAUAUACCCAAUAAAAGAUGGCGACUGGUGAAAGGCAGUGGAGACUGGUGGAGAGAUUUGAGGAAUAGAAGCAGACGGAAAAGCAACAAAUUUUUGCCGAAAAACGGUCACUUUCAUGGUUAAUUUUGCUACUCUCCAAUUGUACUUGACCAAUUACAACAAUUUCAUGGAGUUUGAUACGUGAAAAGAAUUUUUUAUAAAUUUUAUUUUGAUCCAUAAUGUUAUCUUUACAUAUAUAAAACAUUUUACAAUUUUGAUUUUGGCGCAGCUAACUUUUGGUUAACAAAAAUGCUCAUGUUUAAAAAACCAGAAAUAAAACAAAACAAGAAACAAAAGAAAUAAGAGGGUAGCAUAGACAUUUUGGAUUUUUCCGUUAAUUUGGAUGAUUUCCACCCACGUUCUAAUUUAAUCCAAAACACAAAGGAAUUACGUAGAGGUUUUAAAUAAUCAGGGAGCUUCAUGAUCGAACCCCAAACCACGUGAUAGCAUACAAGAGUUCUAUUUCACUAUCGGUAGACAAAGACUUUCUAUGGUUGAUGUACCGUAGGAAAAAAUCUGCCUAUACAACGUGAUAGCAUUUUUUCAAAAACACAAGAUGGAAAAUUGCCCCCUUAAACGUGGAAAUUCAUGAUCUUUCCUCGAACAAAGAAUACUCACGCCUAUUCAAGAUGGAAAAUUGCCCCCUUAAACGUCUAUUUGUCAAUUCUUGAAAAAAGAAUACUCACGCCUAAAACACGGCCUCUUCAUCUGCAGAAUUCUAAAAAGUUACGUAAACUCUAUAAACAAGUUGAUAGGUACAAUCGUACCCAAGAUCAAGUACAGAUAGUUGUACAUUCACUGCUGCAAUAACUAAUCUGAUGACUUACAAACAUAUCAUGGUCAAUCGUUGAAUGGUAAUGAGUCUUUUGUUAUGCAUUAGUAUUAGUGUGUACACUCUAAUAGAUUGAUACUUAUACUCUUUAAAUUAUCAUAAUAAUACCCUUAAUUAACUUUAACUCUUAAAAAGAAUACGUGUUAAUACACGAGAGUGUGUAACCUGAAUUGUUACUUAUACAUUAGUGUGUAAUAGAUAGGGAUGGCAGUGAGGGCGAGUGCCCGCGGGGGGCUCUCGGGGCGGGGGCGGGGGAGAAUUUUUUCCCCCCGUUUAGAAACGGGGCAGGGGACGGGGGAGUAUACCCCCGCCCCAUCCCCCGCCCCGCCACCCGCAAAAAAAAUUAUAUAUAUAUAAUUAUAUAUAAUAUGUAAUUUAAUUAGUUAUAAACUUAUGAUAAUGAUAUUAUUAGUUAGAUGUAUUAUAUAAUGUAUAUUAGUGUAUGUAAUAUAAUUAAUAUUAUCAAUUAUACGAAUAAUUAGACAUGUCCACUAAUAGAGUUUAUUAAUUAGUUAUACUAAAUUUACUAAUACAUUUGUACUAAAUUUCUAAUUACACUUAAUAGAAUAACACUUUUUUCUAAAAAAAAAAGCACAAACACAAUAAUGAAUUAGUGAUUGUAUUUGUACCAAAAGUGAAAACUUAACUAUUUUAGUUGUAUUUAUUUCAUCAUGUUGGAUUGUAUUCAAAUAAUUUUUGUUUGAUUGUUUUUAUGAGUUUCAAUUGUAAAAUUAAAAUGAAUAAUAACUUGAUGAUGUGUUGAUAUUUUAGUACUUGAUUAUUUAUUGAUUUAACUAUAAUAAAAUUUUAUUUUAUUAAAAUUUAACUAUAAUAAAAUUUUAUUAACCAAACGAGUUAUUAAUCCCGCGGGGGCACCCACGGGGGAAGCGGGGCGGGGCGGGGGAGUGGGAGGCGGGGGACGGGGCGGGGGUGGGGGGAGUUGUAGGUAGCGGGGCGGGGGAUGGGGGAGGGGUCCCCCGCCCCAACCCCGCCAUCCCCCGCCCCGUUGCCAUCCCUAGUAAUAGACUGGCAAGCAUUGUGGUGGUCAUUGAGAACUUACUGGAGAAAUAGUCCUAUAAGCUGUUCAAUGAGCAAUCACAACUUGCUAAUUGGAUGACUAAUAUAGCUCUAGCUGUAAUGUUUUAAUUAAAUUACAUCACUAACGUUGGGAUGACUUUUUAACCAAAAAAAAAUGCCUUAGUUCAAGCUUUUCCCUUUAUUGUGCAUUUUUUAAAGCAUUUGAUAGGCACUGCAAAUCUGUCAUUUUGGACAUUUUAUUAUUGACUAACAAUGAAAGCCGUGACGUCUACCCAUAACCAACACAAGAUUAAAUUAAUAUUAGAAAAAAUAAUUGAGUAAUUGGAAAAAAAAAAAGAGACUCAUUUUCAUUGAAACCCACCGACAAACUAAACGUGUCCAUGGCUUUUGAAUAGUGCAUUCAACGUUUAAUUGUAUAGUCCAGUUCAUUGCAGAUUACAUGGAGUAAAGAUUGUGCUCUUUCCUUUUUCACCCCUUUUGGAAUCGAUACUGUGGAGAAUUGGGUUUUUCCCUUCUUUUUUUCUUUUCUUUCCUUCUGUGCUUUGCAAAACAUAGGUAAAAAUAUGAAAUCCGAAGCAUUCUUUAAUUGGGAUUAAGUAUUGUUGUUGAAAUUAAAAAGAAAAAAGAAAGAACAACAAAAUUCCCAAUCUGGGUUGAUUGUUGAGCUCUAGAUUGGUUGCAUCGUGCUUCCAUAGAAGCUCUCUUAGUGUGAUACACUGCUUUCAAUCAGUUUAACACGGGAAAAAAAAAAAAAGAGAUGAAAAGCAAAUUUGGUGGGGAUAAUUUCAGAAACCUCCCCUGAAGAUUUUGACUAUUCUACUGGUCUCCCUUCAGAUUUUAAAAAUUACACUAAUCUUCCUUGAAGUUAAUUAUCUUGUAACAUUUAAAUUCAAUCAAUAAUUUAAAAAAUGAUAUUAUGAGAGAGAAAAUAAUGAUUUUAUCAUUGCCCCCCAUCUUACUACAUUAUUUAAUUAAUUUAAUAGCAACCCACACAUUAAAGAAAAAUAUUAAAAUUUGUUGUUUAUCAUUAAAGAUCAAAUCGCUUAUAACAUCAAAUAAUAGUAUAUUAUUUAUAUUUUUCACUCAAUAUAAUAUCCAAAUUACUCUUUUCAAUUACAUACCCAUUGUUAGACAAUCAACAACAAAUAACCAAAAAAUUUGCAACCAAAAUAUUACAAAAAAAUAAACUUUAACAUAUAAAUAUUCUUAUCAACAUAUUAAAGUUAGUUACUGAAAUUUUUAUGCUGUUAAACUUCACUCUUUUUGGUUACAGAUUUUUUUGAUUAUUUGUUAUUAAUUAUGUUUGAUGAUGGAUUUAUAAUUGAAAAGAACAAUUUGAAACUUACAUUAAGUAAAAUAUAUAGAGUGAUAUACUAUUUUUUAUAACAUAUGUGAUUCAAUCCUUCUUGAUAGGAUUGGUAAUAGAGGUAGAGGGGGGAGCCGGCUGCAUCCGGUCUACUUUUCAUAGAUAGUACAAUAUUGCGAAAUCGAUCGCAUUCACGCAAUAUUAUUUCCAAGUCAUUGCAUGGCUAAGCUGCAAAAAAAGUACGAACACAUGUUAUUAUAUAGCUUACGAUUCAAAACUUUAGAGCAUAACCCUCCACCUAACACAAUUGAAUAAUGAACAUUCACGUUUGUCAAAUCUGUCAAAGCACAGUUUGAGGACAACCCAUUCCAACCUGCAAAAGAUUUUUUACUUUUCUAAAGUUGUUGAGAGCUGUAAAAAGACUUACCAUGCUUGCAUCCUCCGAGCCUUGGGAGUUAAAAAUGAAGGCACUGAGUGCUAUAAAAAGGGGAAUAGAGGCUGCCUAGAAGCAUAUCAGCCUAAAACAAGAAUUUGUAGUUAAGAUGGGAAGCAAAGCAAAAGCAAUGGGGUCUGGGCUGACUCCUCUUCUUGCCACUGUUUUAGUGGUGUUUGUUGCUCUUGGCUUGCCCUCACAAACUGCAGCUGAUGAUCACUACAAGUAUUCAUCUCCUCCUCCUCCUUACCACUAUCCCUCACCACCACCACCAGUGCAUAUACCUCCACCUCAUCCUGUUUACAAGUACAAAUCUCCACCACACCCCCAGUACAAGUAUAAGUCACCACCACCACCUCCUCAUCCGGUAUACAGUCUCCUCCGCCACCACACACCCAGUUUACAAGUACAAGUCACCACCACCACCUCCUCAUCCGGUACCACACCCAGUUUACAAGUAUAAGUCUCCUCCGCCACCAGUUUACAAAUACAAGUCUCCUCCACCACCACCUCCAGUGUACAAAUACAAGUCUCCACCACCACCAGUUUACCACUACAAGUCUCCACCACAGUUUACAAAUACAAGUCUCCACCACCACCCCCAGUUUACAAAUACAAGUCUCCACCACCACCAGUUUACCACUACAAGUCACCACCACCUCCUCCCCCAGUUUACAAAUACAAGUCUCCACCACCUCCUCACCACUACUAAGCAAUUGCUUCUGAGGUAAUAACACUUGUUCAAUAUACCCACUUCUGCAUGAUAAAGCAUAUCUCUAUCAACACAAACUGUCAUGUCUAUCAUGCUAAGUGCCUUCACUUCAUCCACCAAAAUGACUGCUAGAAAAUUUUUUUUAUGUUACCAAAGAAAGGCAUCAUUUUUUCCCUCUGUUAUCAAGAACUUGUACAGUAUAUAGAUUAAAGAGUAUUUUUUUAACUAGCUUAUCAACUGAGAAAUGCAUAUAGCUGAUAGCCAGCUGAAUAUUUGCAGGCAAAGGAGAAGGAAACCAGUGUUUGAGACCUUCUUGAAGAUGUAGAAGCAUAAGAAUUAAAGCCCAAUGUGAAGAUGAUGAUUUCAAGUUUUUCUACGUUACCAUUUCUUUAUCUAAAUUGGUUGUAGCGCCUUAGUUCCUUUGUUUAUGGGAUUUGUAUCGUUUUACGUACCAUGCAGUACAUGUCAUGUUUGUAAGGUUUUCUAUCCUGCCGGCAAACCGCAGGUUCCAUGUAAUAAAUCAAUACUAUUUAUAUUACGACACUUUUCUCUGUUUCUCUUAUAUUUUGUCGUCUUUAAUAUUCUUAAUCAUAUUUUUAACAAAAAUAUUCAAACACUUAGGCAAUCUGGUCUAAUGCUAAUUGUAUGUUUUACUUUUCUUUUUCACCUGCUCCCCUUUUCAACUCAAAAGGAUGCAAUAGUUUGUGAUCACUGUUUAAGACGGAAGCAUGAUACUAAUGAAUAUCUCAUUGAAACUCAAGGAAACUAACAUUGCGAAAAGUGUAAAUCUUGAUUUGAUGCAACUAUUUAUUCGUGGAAUCUAUAGUUACAAAACUCAAAUUCUGACUGCGCCAUUGAUAAAUUAUUAAUGACGCUAUCAUCAUUAUUUAUCCCUAACUAGUUUCGACUACAACUGAACCCAAUAUUUUCCCCAUGAUAAAAGUUUUUGACUAUUUUACUGGCCUCUCUUCAAAUUUUAAAAAUUACACUAAUCUUCAUUGAGAUUAAUUAUCUUGUAACAUUUAAGUCCAAUUAAUAAUUAAAAAAUGAUAUUAUGAGAGAGAAAAUAAUAUAAUUUUAUCAUUGCCCCCCAUCUUGCUAUAUUAUUUAAUUAAUUUAAUAGCAACCCACACAUUAAAGAAAAAUACUAAAAUUUGCUGCUUUUCAUUAAAGAUCAAAUUGCAUAUGCCAUAAAACAUAGUAUAUCAUUCUAUAUGUUUCACUUAAUGUAAGAUCCCAAUUGUUCUUUUCAAUUACAAACCCAUUGUCAAUAACAAAUAACCAAAAAAUUUGCAACCAAAAUAUUACAAAAAAAAACUUCAACAUCAUAAAUAUUCUUACCACCUCUAGUGCAUUCACCCUCAUAAAAUAAUUCAAGACCCUACUGUCAUAAAAUGACUGAUCAACUCCCGUAAACCUAAUUUGACAACAUUUAAAUGGAGAACUUUAGCUAAAAGAAUUAUGGUCAAGCUAAAGAAAAAACCAGUUAUUUUCCAACAUAUGCAAUCAUUGAUCAGGGAAAAAAAAAAGAGCAAAAAGACAUCUUCAAUCAUUUAAUAGCUUACAGGGCAAAUUAACCCCUAAGCGAAAACUGGUUGCUCUAGAAUCAAAAUUUUACUUUAGUUACCCAGGCAACUUUUUUGUUGCUUUUUUUUUUUUUUUCCUUUAGUUUUGCCCCCUCUGUCAAGCUUAUAAAAUUAUUAAGAUAAUAAAAGUGCCUUGAAUAGUAUUAAUAUAUCCAUUGACUUGAGCUGUCGUCAGUUUGCGAUUCCAUGAGGCCUUUUCAAAGUACUCAGAAAAUGGGGAGUCAUGAAAUCCAUUUGUUCUAUUCAUUGCUAAGAUGCUUUUCUCUAUAAAGAGACUUCCUAACGAAAAUACUUUGUAGAUUUCUUUACUCCAAGUGGUGCAUGGAAAAUUAAUAUUUUCAAUUAUCAAAUAAAAUUCCCUUUUUUCGGCGUAGAUUUCAUCCAUCCAGCUGUUAACACAUUCUAUAAAUCCGAAUUGACUAAUCUUUUCGUUUCCAUUUUCCAACUUGCGAAUACGGCAUAUAGUGUCUGCUAAACACUAUAUAUUCUCUGCCAAAUAUGAAUACAUAUCACUUUUCUGAGCAAGUGCAGAGUCAUUAUCAUUUUUAUUCCCACCUAACAAAUUAGGGAUAAAAAAGUUAAUAAUCUUUACAUGCUAUCAGGUCACAAGUUAAUAAUCUUUUAAAGAACAUGUUAAAUUAAUUUAUUGGUAUGAAUAGUAGUCAAAGAAGUAUGUUAAAGUUAGUAAUCUUUAAAAUAAUAUGUUAAAAUCAUUCGUACAAAUUAGUCAGAGAAGUAGCAUAAACACCGCGAUGCAAUUAAUACUUUCAAUCUCAAGGUCUCUAUUAUGGAAAUUUGCAUCGGUCAAUAUACACUUGGCAUAAUAUAAUCUCCCAACUCAUUUCUUUACAAAUGCACCUUUAAUCACCACCAAAAGGUGUGGACAUGAUCUUUACCCUAGAAAACUAUUCACCGACAGGCAAAUUGACGUCAGAAAUACUGAGGAAUUCUAGUUUCCUUCGGGUUCAUGCCAUGUUGUAUCCUUCAACUGUAACUCGAUUUCUAAGCUGUAAUUUGUGACAUAAUAGUCCUUAAACUAUGAAACCCUUCUUACUUAAUUACAAUGGUUAAUACAAUGCCCGUGACUAGACAAGUAUGAAGCAACCAUAACAGAAAAAAAAUCCAAAAUUAGAGAAAAGAAAGAAGUUUCGCGACCACCACCAGUUUACAAGUCACCUCCACCACCUCCUCCAGUUUACAAGUCACCUCCACCACCUUACCAUUAUUCCUCACCACCACCUCCAGUGCAUUCACCCCCACCACCACCAGUUUACAAGUCUCCGCCACCACCUUACCAUUAUUCCUCACCACCACCUCCUGUGCAUGCACCUCCACCACCAAUUUACAAGUCACCUCCUCCAGUUUACAAGUCUCCACCACCACCUUACGAUUAUUCCUCACCACCACCUCCAGUGCAUUCACCCCCACCACCACCAAUUUAUAAGUCUCCCCCACCGCCUCCCCCAGUAUAUAAGUCACCACCACCACCUCCUCCAGUAUACAAAUCACCUCCACCACCUCCUCCAGUUGACAAAUCUCCACCACCACCAAUUUAUAAAUACAAGUCUCCUCCACUACCUCCUCCAGUGUACAAGUCAUCACCACCACCUGCUUACAAGUCUCCACCUCCUCCAGUUUACAGUUCCCCACCACCACCAAUCUACAAGUCUCCACCUCCACCCUACCAUUACUACUACAAUUCUCCUCCUCCUCCUCGUCACUACUAAGCAAUUGUAUCCAAGUUUUUGAGGUAAUAACGCUUAACCAAUAAAUUAACUUUCGCAUGAUAAACCUUAUCUCUAUCAAGACAAACUGCCAUGUGUAUCAUGCCAAAUACGUACACCUAGAUCCAUGAAAAUGAAUGGUGAGGAGGGCCAUUUAGGCUCGGAGCGCCCUAGGCCUAGUUCCCCACCAUUUCCUGAAGUGCCGCCUCGGGUAUUAUCCUGGAAGGCGAUCGCGGCCCAUUUACCACCUCGGCUACAAUGUCAGGUCGUAACACCGAGGUGGACAUUGAAUGACAACUACGAAAAGGGGAGAUGUGAUCUCUGACACCUGAGCAAAGGCUGCUCUGACCCGCCGCCUGAAUCUGACAGAAUGUCCCAUCACGUCUCUUCAUGGAGACCGGUCAAGUCCACCUGAUCCACUGACUAUCUCAGAUCUUUUGGGACCCGUGCAAACAUCUCCUCUCUCCUAUCAGUCCCCUAUAAAUACACGAUACUUCUACUGAAAAAGGAGAUGACCAAUUUCUGGUAAAACACACUCCACUCAUUAUUUACUUCUCUAUAUCCGAACUGACUUAAGCUUCGGAGUUAUACCGGGGGAUCCAGCCCCUUUCUUAUCCAAGCAGGUGACUUCGUCCAAGAGAGUUGCCCAAGGUAAAGAUAUUCUUCCAAUUGAGGUGACUCACUCCUGCGGGUCGAAAAUCACCUCUUCAAUUGGCGCCGUCUGUGGGAACCGCAAAGAUAUUAGAAGAUGAAGCCUGCGCGUUCUAGAAGCAGAAAAGCUCUCACUAUCGAGGCUGGGCAAAGCAAUGCAGCUCAACAAGAAAAUAUUUCUGAAGGGCAGGAGUCCCCAAGGACUCAGCCCGCAAACGAAAAAGCCAUAACCCGUAUGGCCGAGUUUGUGACCGAGAACCCCAACAUCUUUGAAGAGUUGGGAAGAUACCUGAAGAGGCAAGGCAAACAAAAGGCCGAGUCCUCUAAAAGGAUGUCAGAUGGGUCUCUUGAGGACUCAUCUGAGGAGGAGUCGGAUGGAAGGCACUUAAGCCGAAGUGCCUCAAAGCGAGCAUUUUCUAAGGCCACUUCUAAGGUAGCCUCCCUGACCAAGGCGUUUUCCCGAGGGCUCUUGGGCCGACGACCCGAGGAAGAACCUCGGCCCUUGGGAAUACCCGGGGUGGACUGCAUGAGGGCUCCACCGUUCACGGAUGAUAUAAACGAGGAAAGGCUUCCUCCCAAUUUUAAGCUCCCCGCAGUACAAUCUUACGAUGGCCGAGGUGAUCCCGAGAAUCACAUCCAUACCUUCAUCUCGGCCUUCCAAAUAUACUGCAUCCCAGACCCUGUCAUAUGUCGGGCCUUUCCAGUAUUCCUCAGAGGAACUGCUCGAAAAUGGUUCUGAGCUCUAGAACCUAGGAGCAUUUCGACCCUGGGUGAAUUAGUGGAGAAGUUUCUCCACCGAUUUGUCUCCUCCCGACCUACGACUAGGACCUCGGCUUACCUGCUCACCGUGCAGCAGAACCCGGGAGAGUCACUCCGGUCGUACGUCCGGAGGUUCCAUGAGGAAAGCGUUCAGAUACCUGACCCCAAUGAGCAGGUAACCCUCGCUGCCUUUACCCAUGGACUCGUUGCCGGGGAGUUCAAUACGGGGAUCCAUAAAAAAUACCCCCGCACACUGCAUGAAUUGUGGUUGAAGGUUGAAAAGGGCAUACAGGCCGAAGACCUCCAUCGCAUGAAGAAAGAGGUCCAAGCCACCCGUCCAAGGGCUGAGCCCAGAAAGGGAAAAGACGCUGGCCGAACUGAAGUAGGGUCGGGAAGUGGCUUCCGAAGUCCUGGCCGAGACCGCCGCAGCGUGUUCGACAGGAUAUCCAAGGGGAAGUCACCUAUUCCCGAGUCCGAGUUGACUCCUUUAAAUACUACCCGAUCUCACGUGUUGUCCGUGAUGGAACAAAACAACCUCGGCAAGGGCCCGCCGAGGAUGUUUGGAAGCAGAGACAAGAGGAACUCGAACCUCUACUGCUUGUAUCAUCGUGACAUUGGUCACGAAACUGAGGAUUGCAACGAUCUCAAGAAGGAGAUCGAGAACCUCAUUAGACGGGGACACUUGAAACAGUUCAUCCGCAGAGGUGGAGGUCACCAACGUGACGAAAACCGGCAUGACAAAUGAGGUGACCAACGCCGAGAUGAGCGGCGGAGCUCCAGAAGCAGUUGCCGACCUCCUGAGGAUCCCAGGGAGACGAAAAGGCCUCCCCCAGACGGAUCUUCGGGACAUGGGCCAACCAUUGCCCGGGUCAUUAACACCAUUGCCGGAGGUCCGACGGGAGGGGACAGUCAGAACUCCCGGAAGAGAACCUAUAAGCAGGCUAACCCGGAUCAGGCCGAGUCGAGUUCUCGCCUGUCCGAGGUGAUCACCUACGGGCUCAGUGAUCCCAUCCCAGCUGCAUCCAGCAGUCAUGAAACCUUGGUGAUUGAAGUCCUCACCAAUAACUACAUUGUGAAAAGGUCUACAUAGACCCGGGAAGUUCAGUUGACGUCAUGUACCUCCGUACCUUUGAGAGCCUUAAAAUGGCUAAGGGGUGCAUGACCCCGCUGAGAACCCCUCUUGUAGGGUUCGGGGGACACGUGGUGCACCCCGAAGGGAUGGUGACUCUGACAGUGACCAUAGGGCAUCACUCUCGCUGUAGAACCGUCCCUGUCAAUUUUGUGGUGGUUAAGGCUGACUCCCCAUACAACCUACUUUUAGGUCGGCCUACGCUCAAUGCCUUGCGGGCGGUCUACUCCACCUACCACCUGAGCUUCAAGUUUCCUACCCCAGCAGGGGUGGCCGAGGUCAGCAGCGACGUCUGUGCUGUCCGGGAGUGCUACCUCGCCACCCUACAAGCAGCCUCCCCGUCUACCUCCGGUGCGAGGUCCGAGAAGAGGUCAAAUAUCCUCUCAAUAGAUAGCAUCGAUCCUCAGUGAGCUGAGAAGGUCCCGAGGCUGGAGACUGGGGAUGAGGUGGAAGAGAUUCCCCUGGACCCCACGAAACCUGAUCAGACAGUUCGCGUUGGUACCCGAUUGCCCGGUCCUAUCCGAAGAGGUAUGAUGGACCUCCUCAGGGAAUACCGGGACGUCUUUGCUUGGGCCGCCGAAGAGGUCCAAGGAGUCCCGCACCAUCUCAUGAUGCAUGACUGAACGUCGACCCCCAAGUCCGUCCGGUCAAACAGAAGAGAAGGCACAUCGGCCCUGAGCGCAGCCAAGCUGUUGGUGAGGAAGUGGACAAGCUUUUACCCGCUAAAAUAAUCCGAAAAGUCCAAUACCCGAUCUGGUUGUCUAACUCGGUCAUGGUCAAGAAGGAUACGGGGGCUUGGAGAAUGUGCGUCGAUUUUACCGACCUCAACAAAGCCUGCUCCAAGGAUUGCUACCCCUUGCCCAAAGUCGAUACUUUGGUAGACUCAGCAAUGGGCUACGAGAUCCUCUGUUUCUGGGAUGCAUUCAAAGGCUAUCACCAAAUUGGGAUGAGUCAAGAAAACCAGGAGAAAACGGCCUUCUACACCGACCGCGGCACGUACUGUUAUACUACCAUGCCAUUCGGGUUGAAGAAUGCCGGAGCCACUUAUCAACGCUUGGUCAACCAAGCAUUCAAGUCUCAAAUCGGCCGGAAUGUUGAGGCCUAUGUAGAUGACAUCCUCCUCAAAAGCCAGACGAACUCCACCUUCCUGGCCGACUUGAAGGAGGUCCUUGACAUCCUGCGGAAGGUGAAAAUGAUGCUGAACCCCAAGAAAUGUGUUUUUGGGGUCACCUCGGGGAAAUUUCUAGGUUACCUCGUCUCAAGGCGAGGUAUCGAAGCAAAUCCGGAUAAGGUGCGAGCCAUCCAGGAGAUGUCUCCACCCCGGUGCGUCCGCGAUGUCCAAAGGCUGACAGGGCGAUUAGCCGCCCUGAAUCGGUUCUUAUCGCAGUCGGCAGCUAAAGCACUGCCCUUUUUCAAAGUGUUGAAGAAAGCUGACCAUUUCUCCUGGACGGAAGAGUGUCAACAGGCGUUUGAGCAGUUGAAGGAUUACCUUCACUACCUUCCAACGCUCACCUCACCUCGUCCGGGGGACAAAUUAAUCUUAUACCUUUCUGCUGCGGCCGAAGCGGUGAGUGCCGUGCUGAUAAGGAAGGAAGGGGUCCAAAUGCCCGUCUACUACGUUAGCCGAGUCCUCCGAGGUCCAGAGACCAGGUACACACAAGCAGAGAAACUUGUGCUAGCCCUGAUCCACGCCGCCCGCAGACUCAAGCCCUACUUCCUAGCUCACCACGUCUGCUUGAGGACUGAUCAACCACUUCGGCAGAUUUUGACACGACCAGAGGUUUCGGGACGUCUUACCAAAUGGGCCAUUGAGCUGGGGGAGUACGACCUAACUUAUGAGCCUCGCACAGCGAUCAAGGCCCAGGCUCUCGCAGACUUCGUAGCCGAGCUCACCUUUGACGAGGUGCAAGGAUCCGUCCCGGCUGCCACAUCGGCCACAGUUGAUGUGGCCACCACUGGGCUCCAGCGGUGGAUCCUACACGUGGACGGUUCGUCAACAGUGAGGGUAGUGGAGCAGGCUUGCUCCUCGAAGACCCCCAAGGAGAAAUAUGCUAAUAUGCCUUAAGAUUUGACUUCGCUGCUUCAAACAAUGAAGCUGAAUACGAAGCCGUCAUUGCUGGACUGCAGCUAGCUCGCAAGCUCGGGGCCGCACACAUCUUGGUUUAUAGUGAUUCCCAACUCGUCGUGUGCCAGAUAUUAGGUGAGUACGAAGCCAGGGACGAGGUGAUGCAUCGUUACCUCUCCAAGGUCCUCCAGUUGGCGACUCACUUCGAGUCUUUUGAAAUUCAAAGAAUACCGCUAUCGAAAAACAGAAGGGCUGACGCCCUCUCCCGGCUUGCCUCAACCUCUUUCUCUGACCUGAACAAGACGGUUCUCGUUGAAGUUCUAGCCGAACCAGGAUAUGUAGCCGAGGUAGUAUACCCCGUCUACCCUGGGGACACCUGGAUGGGUCCCCUGACUCGAUUUUUCAGCCAGGGUGAGCUCCCCGAAGACCGAGCUGAGUCACGGAAGCUCCAACGAAAAGCAGCACGGUACAUUCUCCGACAAGGCCUUUUAUACAAAAGGUCUUACCUCGGCCCUUAGUUGCGAUGUAUCACGCCCGAGGAAGGCCAGAGAAUCCUCCAAGACAUACAUGAGGGGCUCUGUGGUGCUCACGUCGGCUACAGAAUGCUGGUAAAAAAGGCUUUGUUACUUGGGUAUUUUUGGCCCACUAUGAGGAUAGAUGCCCAGGUCAUGGUCCUUUGCUGCCCCUCCUGCCAGCAUCACGCUCCUGAGCACCACCAGCCGACCAAUUUAAUGAUCCCUAUCACCUCGUCAUGGCCAUUUGAGCAAUGGGGAACGGACAUAAUUGGCCCCUUUCCCAGAGCUCCAGGCAAUUAUACCUACGUGGUGGUAGCAGUGGACUACUUCACCAAAUGGGUCGAAGCUGAACCCCUAAAAAAUAUCACUGGUGCGGCAGUCCAGAAAUUCUUCUGGAAGAAUGUGGUUUGCCGCUUCGGCCUACCCCGGGUGAUCAUCUCGGAUAAUGGCCGACAGUUCGCCGAUAAUCCUUUCAAGGCCUGGUGUGAGAACCUCGGGGUCAAACAGCAUUUCACUUCGGUGGGACACCCCCAAGCCAACGGACAAGCCGAAAACUUCAAUCGCACGCUCCUCCAUGGCCUCAAGACCAGGCUCCACCAGGCUGGAUCGUUUUGGAUGGAAGAGCUCCCCAGUGUGCUGUGGUCCUACCGAACUACGCCGAGAUCAGCAACCCAGGAAACCCCGUUUUCCUUAACCUACGGGUCAGAAGCUGUUGUUCCAGCCGAAUUCAUCACCCCGAGUCCACGAAUGGCCGCAUAUGCUGCCGAAGUCAAUGAAGAAGAACGGCGAGUUGACCUCGACCUCGUCGAAGAGAAGCGUGAUAUGGCCGCGGCCAAAGUUGCUGUUUACAAAAAUAUCGUAGCUGGCUACUACAACGCUCGGGUUAAACAUUUGCGGUUCAGUCCGGGAGACCUGGUGCUCAGGAAGAACUCAGUCAGCCGGGCUGAACCUCAGGGUAAACUAACCCCCAAGUGGGAGGGACCAUACCGUGUUGUUGAGUCCAGCCAAAAUGGAUAUUGUAAAUUGGCAUACCGAGAUGGGUCUCUGAGUGCCCCGAACUUGGCAUGCUGAAAAUCUUAAGUUGUACUACCCUUGAGGGUAUGUGCUUUUAAUCUUGAGUUAUUUCACACUUAUUUUCAUUUCAUUAUAAGUGAAAAAUAAGGGGACAAAGUAGCAGUAAAGAGGAAAACCGAAUUUAAUUAAAAAGAAAGCAAGAAUAUGAACUCAAUUCCAUUGAAUUACAUAAAAGUAGAAAGCCGAGGUCACCUUUAAUUAGGAAGAAAGCAAGAAUAUAAACUCAAUUCCAUUGAAUUACAUAAAAGUAGAAAGCCGAGGUCACCUUUGACCUCGGCCUACAAUGACAAAAAAAAAAACAAGUGCCUCUAGGCACUCCCUACCCUGACAUCCUGGCCCCCCGUGGUCGCGCCACCCGUUUCGGCACCCUGUCCACCCUCAGCUCCUCCACCGGCCUGGUCGUCUUCAGUACCAUCUAGUUCAAACUCCUGGAGCCAUUUGUUGAAUUCGGCUCGGACUUCGGUUAGGUCUUUCUCAGUCCGGAUGCCCUCAGCCAUGCUGUCGCAUAGCUCCUUGGCAUCCUCGUUAUAGUGCGAAGUGCUCUGAAGGGACUCCAGUUGUUCAGAGGGAAGAAAGGAUGCCGCGUCAUUAAUAGCCGACGUGUACCCGAACAUGAAGCUUGGCCGGGUGAGCUCGCCGAGGUCACGGAUGAAGGACUCUGACGUCCGGAAGGCUUCCACAGCAGUGACCCCGGCCUUGUCCAUGGCCUCCCUGUUUGACUGUUCUUCUUGGGCCCUCCUUUUUUUCUCCUCAUCAAGAGCAGUCACCAGGGAAUUGUUCGCGACCUCGGCCCUUUUGUUAGCCGCCUUGGCCUUGUCACGCUCCAACUCGGUUGCCUUCAGUUUUUCUUCCAACUCGGCAAUUCUCUUCUGGAGCUCGGCAGGAGGCUCAUAGUUUUCCAUGAACUUUCCAUACCGUUGAAUCAUCUCGACAAAAAAAGCCGUGGUAGAGGCCCAUGACACCGAGGCGCUCUGCAUCAACUCCCCUGCGGAGAGCUUCCUAGCAUAAGUGCUAUCUCGUGGCAGCACUGAAUGCACCAAGAGCUCCUGAGCGACCAAAGGGUUCUUGCAGCGAUCGUUGAAAUUAAUCUCCCACUCUGGACACCAGUGUGAUCCGGGGUGUCUCUUGUCCUCCUCAGCUGCCUUGAAAGGCACAUGAUGGAGUUUGAACAAAGAUGACCCCGUGACGGGGUUCUCCGGAAAUAUGGUCACACCCUGACCCCGGGGGGGAGUGGCAAUCGUGACCCAGCGAGAAGGGAUUCCCACCGGAAUUGCCGAGGCUCGGGAACCUCCCGGAGUGGCCGAGGUGUGCGAGCCCUCGCCCACGAUCACCACGGCAGGCUCGCGGUCGCCCGACGCCGCGGUGGUUUUCUUAGCCGGCCUGGAAGAGGACCCUGCAGUGUCCUUGCGCUUUUUGGGAGCUCUUUUGACCACCUCGACAUCUCCCGAGGUUAUCAGGUCGAAAAUCUUCGUCACUGCAAAGUAGGAGACGAAGUCAGUUAGAAUUCAAGAGGGAUAAACUAAAAGGGAAGAAAUGGAAAAAUACAAAGUCUGUGAAGCCUAGUCGAGAGUAAGACAGGCUGGUCAGAGCUCGUCAAGGCUCAACUGAUCCCGCCUUCCACGAGCACCACUUCGGGAAAAUCCCAGCAGUUUAUCCUGAGGCCCGACCCCGUUAACUUCUGGAAGUUACGCUCUUCUAACUUCCCUGGAGAUAUCUCCUUGAUCGAGGUGGGAGGCCUCCACCAGAAUCCGCGAGGGAAGUCAUCGGCCGAGACGAAGAAGAAGUUUUGCUUCCACUCCUUUAUUGAGUUCGGAGCAUCAACCACCAACUUCGGAACUUUGUUUCCGAAGUAGAACCAUCCUUUUUCACUUCUGCUGUUCUUGAGUGAGUAACAGCGGCGAAAGAGGUUGACCUAAGGUUGUAUCUCCUGAUGUCGGCAAAGUAGCUGGAAGCCAACGAGAAUGCGAAUAGCGUUAGGGGUGAGUUGAGUGAUUCUCACCCCCCAGUACCUCAGGCAGUCCCGAAGAAACCUCGUCGUGGGCACUCUGAGUCCGGCCUCCAGCUGUUCCUGAUAGAUAGUCACCUUGCCCUUUGGUGGCAGUGCGGCUGACUGAUGCGGUUGGGGUAUGUAAAUACUAUAAUCCCUUCUCCAGGGAUACCUGCGGACCACCUCGGCUAUUGAGGCUUGUCCCAUACCACUACUGAAGAACGGCAUCUGGCCGUAGUCGAGAGUUGCCACGUUUGGAGGAGUGGAAGGUUCUUGUACUCCCUCGUCUCUAGGGAUCUCAAUCCCGAGGUCAUCGUUGUAUAGGACCUCGGGCUGGACCUCGAUCUCCUCGGGCUGCACCUCAACCGCCUCAGCUCGGCGUGAUGCCUCGGCACCUCCACCCUCAGCUUGGUGAGAUGCCUCAGCACCUCCGCCCUCGGACGCGGUCCUUUCCUGGGAGGGGUCAGGCCUCUCUGCCUCAGUGAGGUCAGGUCUCACUGUCUCUUUGUGCGUACGAGCUGUUCUAGCCAUUGUAUCAGAAGGGGAAGAAGUGAACUUACUUAGAAUCUGCGACUGGAAGAAGAUGCCGAAGUAGACGUGGUUUAGAAAGGUUGCCGAAGUGAAAAGAGAAAGAAACAGAGUUCUGGGGUGAUUCUUGAUUUUUGGUGAAGAGUAAAACGGUGAAAAAAGACCACUAUUUAUAGGCCACCAGGGUGAAACCCAAGAGACGGCACCCUCUCUCUUCAUUAAUGGGAGGACUGUUCGUCUGCCAACACAGCUGACAGCCGUCCCUUCAGUUAUCACUCAGUCCCAUCUAUGCGGUCAUGACGUGUCCGUGUUCCGUGUUUUAUACGCUUCUCAGCUUCGGGAAGUAACGACCACGGCGGAUGCCCAUCUCGCCCUUCUCAAAGCUUGGGGGGCUUAGUGAGGAGGGCCAUUUAGGCUCGGAGCGCCCGAGGCCUAGUUCCCCAUCAUUUCCUGAAGUGCCGCCUCGGGUAUUAUCCUGGAAGGCGAUCGCGGCCCAUUUACCACCUCGGCUACAAUGUCAAGUCGUAACACCGAGGUGGACAUUGAAUGACAACUACGAAAAGGGGAGAUGUGAUCUCUGACACCUGAGCAAAGGCUGCUCUGACCCGCCGCCUGAAUCUGACAGAAUGUCCCAUCACGUCUCUUCAUGGAGACCGGUCAAGUCCACCUGAUCCACUGACUAUCUCAGAUCUUUUGGGACCCGUGCAAACAUCUCCUCUCUCCUAUCGGUCCCCUAUAAAUACACAAUAUUUCUACUGAAAAAGGGGAUGACCAAUUUCUGGUAAAACACACUCCACUCAUUACUUACUUCUCUAUAUCCGAACUGACUUAAGUUUCGGAGUUAUACCGGGGGAUCCAGCCCCUUUUCUUAUUCAAGCAGGUGACUUCGUCCAAGAGAGUUGCCCAAGGUAAAGAUAUUCUUCGAAUUGAGGUGACUCACUCCUGCGGGUCGAAAAUCACCUCUUCAAAUGGUAGAAAGUUUUCUUAAGAACCAAGAACAGCAUUAGUAUUCCCUCUGCUUCCAAAAACUUGUGUAUUAAAUAGAUUAAUGAAUUGUUUAACAUGCUCAUCUACUUGAAAAUGCACAAUACCCAUAACCCACUGAAAUUUUUGCAGGAAAAGGGAAAGAGAAUCUGUGUUUGAGAGCUUCAUGAAGAUGUUGAAGAAUAAGAAUAAAAGCCCAAUGCGAGGAUGUUUUCAAGUUUUUCUAUGUCCACUUUAAUUUGUAAAUUGAAUUUUACAACUCAAUUAAUUCCUUGUUUGUGAGGUACGUAUUGUUUUACGUACCAUGCCGUACAUGUUUGUAAGGAUUUCUAUCCUAUUGGCAAAAGUCGGUUCCAUACAAUUAAUCAAUUCAUUUCACUUCUAUUGGCUCUACUAUUUAUGCAUGUUACGACACUCUUUCCCUUAUAUUUUGCCUUUAAUAUUAUGAGUCAAUAGUAAUAAUGGGCCUUUUUCUUAAAAUUAUACUAUUAUACAUAGGUAGUUUGGUCUAACGCUAAAUUCAUGUUUGUCUUUCUUUUAUUCCCUUUACAUCUCAAAGUAUACUAUAGUUUGUAAUCAUUGUGGUGAUGAUAUUACCAGCUGGUACUUAUAGUUUAAGGCAGAGACAUGAUAUUAACAACUAUCUCAUUGAAACAUAAGUCAAAAUCAUGACAAGUGUGAGUCUUGGUUAAUGCACAAUUUGUUAGUGGAAUUUAUAUUUAUAAAACUCAAAAAAAAUUUUUGACAAUGCUAUUACUAAUUAAUUAAGGACUUCAUUGCUAUAAUUUAUCGCUUACUAGUUUAAACUAUAAAUGAUCUCAAUACUUUUCUCCAUGAUGUCGAUUUCUUUAGACUACGAAAGGGAAAAAUUAGUGACAUAUCCCUUACUGAUUACAACAUCAGCAAAAAUUAGUUAUAAACUUUUCCGGUGGUUUUAAAUCCCUCGGGCACUAAGGUUUUUUGCACAUCGAGUGAAUUAAGGAACAUAGGCAAUUCGUUCUGCAUACCAAGUCCUUGUUUAAGAUGCACGUACUAAAAUGCAUCCACUUCAUUAAUUUGGAAAAUUGCCAUAGUUUUUUUUAAGCAUUUUGAUUUUUUACAUGAUUCAAAAUUUUCUUAUUGGAUACAAUCACUUUGUGUCAAGAACACAUUUUCAAUCAUCUUUUUUAUCUUCUCAAUAAGAAAAUAAAAAUUUAUUCAUGCUUUUCUAACAUAUCCAAUCAUUGAUCUGAAAAAUAAAGAAUUAAAAAAAAAAGACAUUUUCAAUCAUUGCUUACAGGGCAACUUCCCCAUGUGAACCUCUUCAAACAAAGCCAAUAAUAUGAAGGAACAUCUAAAUACACUUUUGCCCUAAAGGCUGGUUGCCUUGGGGUCAAAAUUUAACCUUCGGGAGUAUAAUUACCCGCCAAAUUUAUUAUUUUUUAUGGGUAUAUAGUUCCAAUUUUGCCUCCUGUUAAGCUUAUAAAUAUAUUACGACCCAGAAAAUAAAGGAAUCUUGAAUAGUAACAUGUCCAUUGACUUGAGUUGUCAUCAAUUUGGCUACUUCGAUUCCAUGAGGCCAAUCCAAUUCACACUAGCUAGAGAAAAUGGUGAUAAAGGCACUUAGAAAUUUAUAUGUAAUAUUGAUUGGUAGUAACUGAUAAGUAUAUAUUUUACGUGUUUUAAAUAUGUUUUAUUAGUUAGUUUUGGUGUGUUUUAACUACUUUUAUAACUAAUUAACUAGGAAUCUAGUGAAAAUAUGCAUUUUGUGGUUUGAAGUGUGAAAAUUGUAUUUCUAUGGAUUUUAAUGGUGAAAACUUCAUGUUUUUGUAGGUUUAAUGAUUCAAUCAUCAAAUGACAUGAUUUGAGAAGAUAAUUAGAUGAUUGAUGAUGUUUUGAAGUGAUAAAAAGAGAAUACAAAGUGCAAGAGAGGAAAUGCAAUCAAGAAUAAAAGAAGAAAAUUUUUGUAGCUUUGACAUAUUGUGGUAUUUUGGCAAUAUAUUGAGCUACAAUGAUUGGAUUAAGGUGAUUCUUAAACCAUUUGAAGCUAAGAUAUAGAUCUACAUUUGGUAUGAAGGCAUCGAAACCCAUGUCAGUCAUUUUCCUUGUCAAAAUGUUGAAAUACAGAAGUGCAACUCUGUUCUCGAAAGCUAAAACAGAGCUCUGGCUAGUCGAGGGUAUUUUCAUCAUUUCUUAGUCCACAGAGCUCCAAAUGAGAUGAUUCUUAAGGCAUUAGAACCCUAACUCAAAGAGCUACAACUUUCAUAUUUUGUACAAGAGUUAGUUCGGCCUCCAUCAUUCAGAAAAUAGUAGUUGAAGUGGUGCCAAAUGCAUAGAAGUGAAAACGCGAGCUAUCAAUACUCGACCUGAAGUCGCGUAUUCCUGAGGUCAUGCAUUCUCUUCUAUUUUCUGCAACUUGCCCUGCUUUCACAUAAUUUUUUCAUCUCAAUUCCAACUAUCAAUUUCGGCUAUAUCUGAUCAAGAAAAGUGUGGAAAGUUUGAAAGACAACUCAUAGGAGUUUCAAGAGUCAAAAAUUACAAUUAGAAACAACUCAUUUGGCUCUUGAAUCCUCUAUAAAUAGAGGCCUUUGAAGAACAUUUUCACAACUUUGGAAGGUUAGAGAAACUCCACAAAAACAUAGUCUUCACUAGAAUUUCCUUAGUUCAUUAGUUAGGGUAGUAUAGUAUAGUUAGUGUAGCUUUUCCUUCUUGUAUUUAUAGUUAGGUUUGAAUGAAGAUUCAGGAGCAAAGAUAGAGAGGUUGAUCUCAUGUGACAAGGGUGAUAUCUCUUCUACUACUUUCUCUUUUGUAUUUGAUUUCAUAUUUAACUAUACUACAAAUUUGGCUUUGUUUUUUUUUUUUAUCAUGUUUAGUUAAAGUUUAUGCCUAGAGUAUGGAUGACCUUUCUAUAUCUUGUUUGUGAUAUUUAACUGGUUAUUUGAUGAUGUUAUUUUUGAGCAAGUUAUUUAUCACUUUUGCUUUUCUAAUCGUGAUUAACUGGCCAUUAGUUGUGAUUAUCUAAAAGUGUUAAGUUUGUAAUGAGAAUUGGAGUUUAACACUAGUUCAAGGAAGUGAUAAAUUUAGGGAGUUCACUCAUGAGAGUAGAGGAACACCUUUGUGACCUAAGUGACUUGUUUCAUAUAAUUUCAUAGAAAAAAUGAACUUGUAAUUAAUUUCAUAACCACGAGAGUAAGUAUGGUUUAGCUAUAUGUAUAGUUGAUUCACUACGAGAGUAGGUUUCACAUACAUUAGAAAAUUACAUCAUAACUAGUCAAGAUAAUAUCAUUCAUUUAAUCAGUAAUCUCAUUUGCAUGAGUAGUAAGGCAUUCCAUAUCUCUAGGAGGUUUUUAGUAUUAUUUUCAUUACUUUUAUGUUUAUGGUAGUCUAGAUAAUAAUGGAGUUCAAAAACUACUAGUAAUUGAAAAUUUUCCCUGUGGGAUCGACCUUUAAUACCCUAUACUCGCUCUCGACUCGUAUACUUGCGAAAAAUCACGUGUGCGGUAUUUAGAAUUUAUAAAUGUAAAACUUGACUGUAGAUGAACUAAUUGAUAUAUGUAUACCCCGCACUCGUCAGUAACCAGCUUGUAUUGAUCCCAUUAUUGUGGAUAAUUGUGCUCUUAUGAAAAAAAAUUAUAAAAAAAUUAGCAAAAUUUAUGAUAACAAAUUAAAUUUAUUCAUACAAAUCAGUGAAAGAAGUAGAAUUUUAAAGACCAUGAUGAAAUUAAUACUUUCAAGGGCUCUAUUAGGAAGACUUCACUUGUUGGUGAAACUACACUAGCACAGUUAUAUGCACAUUUACUGUUUUGGUAUCUAAUUUCCUUGCCUUAAGUUGGGUGCAGAUGUUUAUAUUACAAAUAGAUGGUAUCAUAAAAUUGUUGUAUUCACGUUUGUUCUUUUUUUUUCUUCCUUAAGUUUUUUUCUUUAUUCUCGUGACUUCAAAAAUACGAACUCAAGAAAUUGGCUGCUUAAUCAAUAUGUCAUACAGGCUUCGCUAGUGAGGUAUAACUUCACAACUAGAGUCAAUAGAAAUUAUCAAAUGAUUUUUUAACAUCCAAAUUAAGCAAUAAAUUUUGUUUUCAUUUUAUGACAUAUAAUAGUACUACUUCAUGAGAGAUUUUAUAGUUUCUUUUAGGUAUCAUACCUACAAGUGAUAUUUGUCAUUGGAUAGUGACAGAAGUGUUAAUGAUUGUAAGAUUAAAUAUUGUUAAAUAUUGAAAUUUAAACUAUUUAUCUUUAUUGAAAGAUACAAGUUAAAGAAUCGUUCAAGGGGGCAAUUUUCCAUCUUGUCUUUUUGAAAAAACGCUAUCACAUUGUAUAGGCAUGAUAGGUUCAAAUUUGUCAUUAAAUUUAUGAUUGAUUUCCCUUUUAUUCAAGCCAAAUAUUGUUUUAAUUAUCAAAUUCUACUUAUAUUUGGUUAAUUGUACUAAUUGUAGGGCGGUAGAGCAAAAGUUGCUAAAAAUAGGUGAUUUUCUGCAAAUUGGUUGUCAAGGCUGAAGGAUUUGGGAUUCGCAUGUUCAAGGCCUGUUUCCAAGUUUGAUUCAAACUCUGGACAGUUUUAGAGGAAGAUUUGGAAGAUUUGAAAUUUCAUUAUUAGUUUUAUGGUUGAAUUAGGAAUCUUGGAAUAAUUUCUUUUGUGAUUUAUUUUUCUAUUUAGGAGACUAGUUGUUAUUUAGUAGUAGACUUCAAUUAGAAAACAAAGAGAAAAAGAAGGCCGGAAUCCCGCUUGAUUAAUACCUUGGCCAGGGAACAAUCUCGGUGGGGAGGACGGCCACUUAGCCUCUCAAUUCAUCUUGCUUUUCGUUAGUUUGAGAGGAAAACCAAUUGCAACUAGAUUCAAUGGAGUCUGGCAGAAUUUCUUCUAGGAUGCGUAGCUAAAUCCUCAAUUUUUAGUCGAAGGUCAAUUUGAAAAUUCGGUUCCAAAUAUCUGUGAAAUCGAAUUAUUUUACUUAUUUCUUUUAUUUAUUGGUAUUCGCACGUUUUCUGAUUUAACUUUUUAUGAUUGUUUUGUUAUUUGAAUGUCAAGGGUCCGAUAUUCGAAUUAACUUAAUAAUCUACUGCCAAAUUAACCGGUUAAAUCCGUAAUUGUUUGAUUGAUUAAUAUCAGUGGCGACUAGCGUGAUUGGUCCCAUGUUAGGAAAACGUCUGAUCUAAUUUAAACAAACCGUCGUAGCGUGUUUGUUGAUUAGGGUUGGACUUUUCUAAUUCUUAAUUCAAUUGAGAAAUUAAAUCUCCCGGUCGUACCUAAGAUUAUUUUUUUGUUAGCGAAAUAGUUAAUGGUCGUACCUUGACUAUCGAAAAAGUAAGGAAGAGUUGAUUGUUUAUCGCGUGUACGACAACUAUAAUCAAUCUAUUAAUGAGUAAUUGAAUUAUCUUUGCAUCAGUAAUCAGUUGAAUGGACCGUGUCUGAAAAGUUGUACCUUUGGCUAGAGUCUUAUCUGUUGUUGAUUCAUUCAUAUCUAUCUUCAUGCGUUGUUUUAAUUUAGUUAAUUAGUUAUUUUUAUAAAAACCCCUCAUCUCUGGACUCUAAAAGAAAUAAAUUAUUUCUAGUUCCUGUGGAUUCGAUCCUACUCACCGCUAUAUACAAAAUUUGUAUUUUUUUGAAUAAAUAAUUAUUAUUACACAGGCUUGACACCUGUCAAGGCAAAAUUUCCUUAACUUCAUCAUCUGUAGACGUAAACUUUCUACGGGUGAUAUAAUAUAAGGAAAUUUUGCCUAUACGAUGUGAUAGCAUUUUUUCAAAAAAGACAAGAUGGAAAAUUGCUCCCUUGAACGGAAAAAAUCAUGAUCUUUCCUCAAACUAGUCUACUAGUCAAUUCUUUACAAAAGAAUACUCGCUCCUAAACAUAGCCUGUUCAUCUACACUGUCCCGCAGAAUUCUAGAAAGUUAGGCAAAACUAGACAAGUUGACAGGUAUAAUCAUACCCAAGAUCAGGAACAAGCAGUUGCACAUUUCAAAAUUCGCUGCUGCAACAGCUAAUUUGAUGACUUACAACACUACACGGUCAAACUUUGAAUGGCAAUGGAUCUUUUGUUGUACGUCAUGAUGUAAUUUUCAUGUUACAUACAUUAAUAGGUUGAUAUCUAUAUUCUUUAAAUUAUCAUGAUAAUACCCUUAAUUAGAUUUAACUGAUAAAAAGAACACGUGUUAAUAUACAAAAGUGUGUAACGUGAAUGUUACAUUACUGUAUUGCAGAAGACCUAUAGUCUCUUCAUAUCUCUUCCUGCACGUAUCAAUUCGUUUCCUCUAGAUAAUAAUCUCCCAACUCGUUUCUUUACAAAUGCACCUUUUAUGUUUUAUUACCUCCAAAAGCCUUUACAGGGUCUUUACCCUAAAAAUCAAUUCACCGACUCGCAUUUGAUGUCAGAAAUUCUUAAGACGAAUUCUACUUUACUCAAAGAUUGACUGUUAAUAAUGAGACAGCGACCAUUUUGUAUUAUUAGACCGUCCUUCUUGAUAGGUAAAAGAAAUAGAGAGGAAAGUGGGUCCGUAUAUGGUCUUUUAUUCAUAGAUAAUACAACAUUACGCCAUCGAGCAUUCACACAAUAUUUCAAAGUCAUAGCAUGCCUAAGGCCCUGUUUGAUAGCUCAAUUUCGUAAUUAAAUUUAAUAGAUUCAAAUUUUAACACAUUUAAAUCAUUUGAUAACAAAAAAUUGAAUAUUUAAAUUAAUUAAGUAACACUGAACUUUCUAAACAAAACUUGCUUUCAAAAUUAAGUGAUAAGUUAUUCACUUAUCUUUGAAUGUGAUAUGCACUCAAAUAUAUUAAAUUUAAUAAUUUAAUGGAUUCAGAUUUCAGAUUUCAGUUUUAUUACACACCCUAAGUUGCAAAAUAAUACCAAAACUUGUUAUUAUAUAGCUUGAGAUUCAAAAAUUUAGAGCAUAAUUCUCAACCUAACACAAUCGAAUAAUGAAUAUUCACGAUUGUUUCAAAGUACAAUUUGAGGACAACCCAUUCCAACGCGUACACGAUUUUUAACUUUUCUAAAGUUGUUGAGAGCUGUUAAAAGAGAUUUACCAUGUUUACAUCUUCCAAGUCUUGGAAGUGAAAAAUGAAGCCACUGAGUGCUAUAAAAAGGGGGCUAGAGGCUGCCUAGAAGCAUAUCAGCCUAAAACAAGAAUUUGUAGUAACAAUGGGGAGCAAAGCAAAAGCAACGGGGUCUAGGCUGACUCCUCUUCUUACCACUGUUUUAGUGGUAUUUGUCGCCCUUGGCUUGCCCUUGGAAACUGCAGCUGAUUAUUACAAGUAUUCAUCUCCUCCUCCUCCUCCUUACCACUAUUCUUCACCACCACCUCCAGUGUAUUCACCUCCACCAACCCCUGCUUAUAAGUUACCCCCACCAUCUCCUCCAGUUUACAAGUCCUCACCACCACCUUACCACUACUCACCACCUCCGGUGUAUUUACCUCCACCAUCUCCAGUUUACAAGUCACCACCACUACCCCCUCCGGUAUACAACUCCCCGCCUCCACCAGUGUACAAAUACAAGUCCCCACCACCACCUCCUCCAGUUUACAAAUCUCCAUCGCCACCAGUUUACAAAUACAAGUCACUCCCACCACCUCCUCCGGUAUACAAGUCUCCUCCGCCACCUGUUUACGAGUACAAGUCUCCUCCACCACCUCCUCCAGUGUACAAGUCCCCACCACCUCCAGUUUACAAGUACAACUCACCUCCACCUCCUCCCCCAGUUUACCUGUCUCCACCUCCACCCUAUCAUCACUACUACGGUUCUCCUUCUCCUCACCACUACUAAGCAAGUGCAUAAGUUUUGAGGUAAUAAUACCUAUCCAAAACUUUAUCAACACAAACUGCCAUGUAUAUUAUCAUGCUAAGGACGUACACUUGAUCCAUGAAAAUGACUAGUAGAAGAUUUUUUUUAAGAACCAAAGAAAUACAUUAUUUUUUCGGUCUGUUUUCAAGAAUUUGAGCAGUAUACAGAUUAAAGAGUGUUUUUUUUUUUGUAAACUUGCUUGUCAACUUAAAAAUGCACAUAGCUGAAAGCCAACUGAAUAUUUGCAGGCAAAGGAGAAGGCAAUCGGUGUUUGAGACCUUCAAGAAGAUGUAGAAGAAUAAGAAUAAAAGCCCAAUGCGAGGAUGAUUCCAAGUUUCUACGUUACCAUUUCUACAUCUAAAUUGACUUUAGCUCCUGAGUUCCAUGUUUAUGGGGUUUGUACCGUUUUACGUACCAUGCAGUACAUGCUUGCAAGGUUUUCUGUCCUGUUGGCAAACUGCAGGUCCAUAUAAUAAAUGAAUACUAUUUACAUUACGACACUUUUCUCUUUUUCUCUUAUAUUUUGUCUUUAAUAUUGUUGAUCAUUUUUUUUUUAUCAAAAGCAUCAAAUGCUUAGGUAAUUUGGUCUAAUGCUAAUUGUUUUACUUUUAUUUUUCACCUACACCCCUUUUCAACUCAAAGGAUGCUAUAGUUUGUGAUAAUUGUUUAAGACCGAAGCAUGAUACUAAUAAAUAUCUCAUUGAAAGUCAAGGAAACUAACAUUAGGAAAAGUUUAAAUCUUGAUUUGAUGAAACUAUUUAUUCGUGGAAUUUAGAGAUACAAAACUCAAAUUGUGACGGUGUUGUUGCUAAAUUAUUAAGGACAUUAUCACCAUUAUUUUUCCCUGAUCACUAGUUUCAACUGCAAUGAUCUCAAUCUUUUUGUGACUAAUUCUUUCCUUAAUAAUUUAUAAAGACAAAACUCACAAAGAAUAUGUGACUAAUUCUUUCCUUUCGUCUUCUAAAGAAAAUGCCAACUGUUAGUUUAUCAAGGGGAAAAAGGAUCGACAUCAGUUAUUAUUGAAACUAGUAAGGAAUAAAUAAUGGUGAUAAUGUCCUUAAUAAUUUAACAACAGCACCAUCAGAAUUUGACUUUGAGCUUCGGUCUUAAACAAUGAUCACAAACUACAGCAUCCUUUGAGUUGAAAAAGGAAGUAGGUGAAAAGAAAAGUAAAAAAUACAAUUAGCAUUCCCUCAAAUUGUAGAAAGUUAGGUAGCAUUAUAGACAAGUUGAUAGCGGCAAUUUUACAUUUCAAACUUCACCUAUUCAAUAACUAAUUCGAUGGCUUGCUACAUGGUCAAUCUUUGGACCCCUUCCUGCCUCCAGAUAUCCCUUUCCUCAAUCAGGGGCUUCUACAAUUACCAGUUUCAAUUGUAUGGUAUAGUGUAAAUAUCAACAAAUUAGAUGUAGAUGCUAACAUAAUAAAUGUGAAUGCUAAGACAGCAACAUACAAUCGAACCUGCAAUUGUAUGAACCCCAAUCUCGCUUCCUAGUCCACCAUCUUUCUCUAGGUAAUAAUCUCCCUUCUAAUUUAUUCACAAAAUGCACCUUUCAUCACCUCCAAUAGCGUCGACAUGAUCUUUACCCUAGAAGACUAUUCACCGACUCUCAAUUGACGUCAGAAAAUCUAAGAGUAAUUCUACUUUACCCUAAGAUUGAUAUCAACAAGACAAGGACAAUUUAGAAUUAUUACACGCCUCUUCUUAAUAGGAAAAAGAAAUAGAGAAGAAAGUCAGGCCAGGUCUAAUUUCUUUUCAAAGGCAAUACAACAUUACGAAAUCAAGCAUUCAUUCAUACAAAUAUUUCAUAGUCACCGGUUUGCUGAGUAGAAAAAUUUAGACAAAAACUUAAUAUUAUAUUGUUUAAGAGUUAACAAUUUAGAGCUUAAUCUCCUUGUACUUUGGAGUUAACAAUUUAGAGCUUAAUCUCCUUGUACUUUGGACUAAACUUGAACGUGAAAGGAAAUCCCAAAACCAUAUUGGGCAUGAAUUCACACUUAAUAUACCCAAUAAAAGAUGGCGACUGGUGAAAGGCAGUGGAGACUGGUGGAGAGAUUUGAGGAAUAGAAGCAGACGGAAAAGCAACAAAUUUUUGCCGAAAAACGGUCACUUUCAUGGUUAAUUUUGCUACUCUCCAAUUGUACUUGACCAAUUACAACAAUUUCAUGGAGUUUGAUACGUGAAAAGAAUUUUUUAUAAAUUUUAUUUUGAUCCAUAAUGUUAUCUUUACAUAUAUAAAACAUUUUACAAUUUUGAUUUUGGCGCAGCUAACUUUUGGUUAACAAAAAUGCUCAUGUUUAAAAAACCAGAAAUAAAACAAAACAAGAAACAAAAGAAAUAAGAGGGUAGCAUAGACAUUUUGGAUUUUUCCGUUAAUUUGGAUGAUUUCCACCCACGUUCUAAUUUAAUCCAAAACACAAAGGAAUUACGUAGAGGUUUUAAAUAAUGAGGGAGCUUCAUGAUCGAACCCCAAACCACAAGGCGAUUUACUAUAUUUUACUCUUAAAUUUUGGUUUCAUCUCAUAGCAUACAAGAGUUCUAUUUCACUAUCUGUAGACAAAGACUUUCUAUGGUUGAUGUACCAUAGGAAAAAAUCUGCCUAUACAACGUGAUAGCAUUUUUUCAAAAACACAAGAUGGAAAAUUGCCCCUUAAACGGGGAAAUUCAUGAUCUUUCGUCGAACAAAGAAUACUCACGCCUAUUCAAGAUGGAAAAUUGCCCCCUUAAACGUCUAUUUGUCAAUUCUUGAAAAAAGAAUACUCACGCCUAAAACACGGCCUCUUCAUCUGCAGAAUUCUAAAAAGUUAGGUAAACUCUAUAAACAAGUUGAUAGGUACAAUCGUACCCAAGAUCAAGUACAGAUAGUUGUACAUUAACUGCUGCAAUAACUAAUCUGAUGACUUAUAAACAUAUCAUGGUCAAUCGUUGAAUGGUAAUGAGUCUUUUGUUAUGCAUUAGUAUUAGUGUGUACACUCUAAUAGAUUGAUACUUAUACUCUUUAAAUUAUCAUAAUAAUACCCUUAAUUAACUUUAACUCUUAAAAAGAAUACAUGUUAAUACACGAGUGUGUGUAACCUGAAUUGUUACUUAUAAAUUAGUGUGUAAUAGAUAGGGAUGGCAAUGGGGGCGGGUGCCCGCGGGGGGCUCUCGGGGCGGGGGUUGGGGCGGGGGGGAAUUUUUUCCCCCCGUUUAGAAAUGGGGCAGGGGACGGGGGAGUAUACCCCCGCCCCAUCCCCCGCAAAAAAAAAAUUAUAUAUAAUAUGUAAUUUAAUUAGUUAUAAACUUAUGAUAAUGAUAUUAUUAGUUAGAUGUAUUAUAUAAUGUAUAUUAGUGUAUGUAAUAUAAUUAAUAUUAUCAAUUAUAUGAAUAAUUAGACAUGUCUACUAAUAGAAUUUAUGAAUUAGUUAUACUAAAUUUACUAAUACAUUUAUACUAAAUUUCUAAUUACACUUAAUAGAAUAACACUUUUUUCUAAAACAAAAAAGCACAAACACAAUAAUGAAUUAGUGAUUGUAUGAUAGGGUGUAAUUUUACUAUUUAUUUUAUUAUUAAUUUCCCCUAUCACCUGACCUGAUGUGGAUUAAUUGCUGGAUUCUGCUCACUUUUAGUACUUUGUAUUUAUUUCAGGGAGUAGAACGGAAAUUUGAUAACAGGUGCUAAUUUGGCAGAAAAAGAGUCCAGAUGAUAGAGCUUGCCCCAAGGGCAUUUUUGGAAAGGAGAACUUGUGCCCAUCUUGGUAAUUUGGGAGAAAAGGGAAACAGACAAAAUGGGUCUAACAUGGAUUGGAAGCGGCCGCACAGUAGCAGGGAAGAGGGCAGACGUAAAAGCAAUUGCAGGGGGGAAAAGGAGUUUUUUUAGUUUUUAGCUUAGCAUCUGAUUUUCCCUGGGAGACUUUUGUUAAAGAUUUCCUUUUGGCUGAUAUUACGCAUGGCAGAUGGCUUUUAACUUAUUCCUCCAUCUUUGACUUUUCUUCUUUAGCUUGUGGCAGUGGAUUGCUACUUACGAAUGUCAGCACUUAGCCAUUCGUGGCUUUUGAUCUUUUCUUCCUUAGAAAUUCUGAGUAACCUCUUUUCCUUUGUGCGCCAGACGAAGUGAAAACUAUAAACUUUUGUAGUUUUUCUAUUCAUUCAAUAUAUUGAGACGAGUUGGAUUCUACCAAAUUUCAACGGACAUGGCCGCUGGUUUCUCUUCAAUUUUAUAUGGGCUUUGUUCAUCCAACAUGAACUAAUUUCACCACUCUAGUCAAGGAGCAACGAAGGCUCUGAUUUGCCUAAAAAUUGUGAGAUCGUUUUAAUUUAAUCUUUUCCUUUUAUUUAUUGGUAUCCGCACAUUUCUUGAUUGCUAUGCUUAUGGUUAUUUAAUUAAUUGAUUGUCUUGGAUCCAGAUAAUUAAUUGAUCUGAUAGCCUAUUGUCAAUUAGGGCAUUUAAAUCCGUAAUUGUUUAAUUGUCCUGAAAUAGUGACAACUGGCACGAUUAGAUUCGUGCCAGGGGGGAUAUGCGGGCUAAUCUAAAAUAACCCUGGUAGUGUGUUAUUUGGUUAGAAUAGGGCUCCUCUAAUACUAAGGCAAUUGGGGAAUUAAAUUCUACGGGCGUACCUAGGAUUAUUUCUUAAUUAGAGCAGUGAUUAACGGGCGUACCUUGAUCACCGACACAGUAAGGAGGGGUUGACCGUCAUCGCUUGUUUGGCAGUUAUAACCUAUUUAUCAGUAAAUAAUUGGGAUUGCCUUGCAUCAAUGAUCAAUUAGGUGAACCAUUGUUGAAGUUACUUCUUGGUUAGAUCUUUAGUUAAUAUUACCUUGAUUUUGGUGAAUUGCCAUUUGAUUUUUAGUUGCCUACUUUAUUUUAUUUUUAAUUGUUUCCUUGCUUUAAUUGAGUUAGGCCUUUAAUUAUUGUUAUUCUAAGUUUAGUGAAUUGUGGUUUAAUUCCUAAUUAGUUAUUUAUUUUUACUUUCUUAUUUGAAUUUAUUUGCUUGUUAUCAUUCCUACGAAAUCACCCCCCUGUGUUACUUUGGAUUUCUUAAGAAACAAAUAUACCCAAUCCCUGUGGAUACGACCCUACUUGCUCUGUUCACGAAUUCAUAAUUAUUUGUGAAAAGAAAUAACCAUUCCACUCGGGUAUAUCGGAUCAAGCAAAUUCUUCGGGAACAGGGUGAAUCAAGUAACCCAAUGCACACCUAGAGUCCCUGCUCCAGUACUUGGAAUUGGGUUUUGGUCAUUUUAACUGGCAAUUAGGUUUAAUUUUAUUAUUGCACAGGCUGACGACCCUGUCAAUUUUUGGCGCCGUUGCCGGGGACUGGCGUUAUUAUUUGUUUCUUUUUAAAUUCAUUCUUUGUCCUAAUUUUCUGGUUUUCUUCUAGUGUAUGCCUCGAUCUUCUCGUACAGGUAAUUUGAUUUUUGACCCUGAGGUAGAGAAGACCGCAUGUAGAACGAGAAAGGAAACCAGACAGCUCAGAGAAGAGCACUCCAGUGCUACAUCUCAGAGACCCGAGUCAGAAGUUGAACUAACAGAUUCGUUUGGUAACACUUCGAGUGACUCUGACCAGGAGGAAGACACCAUGGCUAAUGCACGAACAUUAAGGGAGUUGGCUGCUCCUGAUUUAACUCAGCAGCCUUUAUGCAUUACUUUCCCCACUUUAAAUGAUAACAUUCCAUUUGAACUAAAAUCUGGUCUGAUUCAGCUUUUACCCUCUUUUCAUGGUUUACCAGGUGAAGAGCCGUAUAAGCAUCUGCAGGAGUUUGAUGUCGUGUGUAAUAGUAUGAAACCCUCGGGAAUCACAGAAGAGCAGAUAAAAAUGAGGGCAUUCCUCUUCUCCUUGAAAGAUUCUGCGAAGGACUGGCUGUACUACCUGUCACCAGGUAGCAUCACCACGUGGGACCAAUUGAAGAAAAAAUUUUUGGAUAAAUAUUUUCCUGCGUCCAGGGCUGCAAGUCUAAGGAAAGAAAUUUGUGGGAUCAAGCAGCAUCCAGGGAAGUCACUUUAUGAGUAUUGGGAACGGUAUAAGAACUUGUUGCGCAGGUGCCCCCAACACCAAAUAAGUGAGCAAUUGAUCAUACAGUAUUUUUAUGAGGGGCUCCUUUUUAGAGACAGGAGCAUCAUUGAUGCCAGGGGGGAGGGUUGGGAUGGGUGGUACGGGGGGAGGGAGUGUAAGCAAGAGGUCUCGGGUUCGAGUCCUCCCGCUUACACACAAAAAAAAAGAUGCUGCAAGUGGAGGGGCACUGGUAAACAAAACCCCUCAGGAAGCACGGGAGUUAAUAGAGGGGAUGGCAGAGAAUUCACAACAAUUCAGUACAAGAGAGGAUGUCCCAAUACGUAAGGUGAAUGAGGUAGAGACACCCUCUAUGCAGCAGCAGCUAACUGAGUUGACCGCGUUUGUUAGGCAACUGGCUGUGAGAAAUGCAUCACAAGCCAGGGUGUGCGGGAUUUGCACUGGUAUGGGUCAUUCUGCAGACAUGUGCCCAAUGAUUCAGGAAGAAACUGCAGAACAGGUGAACAUGGCUGACCACGCGCCCGCGCCAAGGAAGCAGUACGACCCUUACUCAAGCACCUACAACCCCGGGUGGAGAGAUCAUCCCAACCUCAGUUAUGGAGAAAAUAGGCAGCCCAACAUUACACCGAACAGGCAGUCUAACUUUGUGCCAAAUAGGCCACCAGGGUACCAGCAGCAAUAUCAACCCCGACCACCUCCGUCCCCAAGCUCUGGCCCAUCUUUGGAGGAGAUGAUGAAACAAAUGAUGACAACUAUGGCUCAAAAUCAGCAAAUGACGGAGGCAACCAUUAUGCAAAAUCAGCAAAGGACGGACUCCGAAAUGAAGGAUAUAAGGAAUCAGAUAAGUCAAAUGGUCACAACAAUCAACCGUUUGGAUUCCCAGAACCAAGGUAAAUUGCCAUUUCAGCCCGAAUUAAAUUCGAAGAACGUGAGCGCAAUGACCCUAAGGAGCGGGAAAGAAAUUCAGGGGUCUGAACCUGUGAUCCCUAAGGAUAAGGAUGAGGAAAAGAUCGAAAAUGAGCUUGAAAGGGAGGACAGCAAUGGUGCAGAUCUAAAGGUACUUCCUGACCCAAUAAUUACAGCUAAAACUAACCCGCCUCCUUUUCCUAGCAGGUUGGAAAAAUCGAAAAAAGAGGAUAAGGAGAAGGAGAUCUUGGAGGUUUUUCGCAAGGUUGAGAUAAAUAUCCCCCUCUUAGACGCAAUCAGACAAGUACCAAAAUAUGCCAAGUUCCUAAGGGACUUGUGUGUCAACCGAAGGCAGUUGAGGGAAGAUGAACGGGUUAUUGUUGGGGAGAAUGUGUCAGCAGUCCUGCAGAGAAAGCUCCCACCAAAGUGCGGGGACCCAGGUAUGUUUACUAUUCCCUGUAGGAUAGGUAAUACUGUGAUAGAAGGGCCAUGUUGGAUCUGGGAGCAUCAAUUAAUCUCAUACCUAAAUCUAUCUAUGCUUCUCUAAAAUUAGGUCCAUUAAAAGAAACUGGAAUAAUCAUUCAAUUAGUUGACCGAACUAAUGCAUAUCCUGAUGGGUUGGUUGAAGAUGUGUUGGUAAAAGUUAAUGAUUUGAUGUUUCCAGCUGAUUUUUAUGUACUUGAUAUGGAUGAUGAUCACUCCCCUGAUCCCUCACCUCUGUUAUUGGGUAGACCCUUUAUGAGCACAGCACAGACGAAAAUUGAUGUUAAUAAGGGUAUCUUGUUCAUGGAGUUUGAUGGGAAAAUUGUGCAUUUCAAUAUCUUUGAUACUAUGAAAUAUCCCUCAAACUCCAACUUUAGCACAGUUUUCUCUGUGAGUGCUAUUGACCCUGUAGUGCAGGAAGUGUUUGAAACUGAUGGCAGGGAUGAGUUGGAGGUGGCUUUGACCAAGCACCUCGAGUUGGAGACAACUCCUGAGGUGGAAUGGAGCGAGGACCUAAAAUGCACAAUAGGUGCAUUACACUCAUUGCAGUCCACCACGAAAAGGUAUGAAGUCUUACCUAUUUUUACUCCCGAACCUCACCAGAGGGUGUUGCCAUCUGUGGUGCAGGCACCUGUACUAGAAUUUAAACCUCUAUCAGAGCACCUGAAAUAUGCAUAUCUGGGUGAUAAUGAGACACUCCCGGUGAUUAUCUCAUCGACACUGUCAAAAAUCCAGGAGGAGAAACUGAUCCGGGUCCUUAGAGAGCAUAAAGAGGCGAUAGGUUGGACAAUCGCAGAUAUUAAGGGGAUCAGCUCGGCCAUCUGUAUGCACCGGAUUAGACUAGAAGAGGAUGCCAAACCUGUUAGGCAGGCUCAAAGGAGGCUCAACCCCCUAAUGAUGGAAGUUGUAAAGAAAGAAAUUUUAAAAUUGCUAGAUGUGGGGAUUAUUUUUGCAAUAUCAGAUAGCCCUUGGGUAAGCCCGAUCCAGGUAGUCCCAAAGAAGGCAGGGGUGACGGUGGAGGCAAACCAAACGGGUGAGCUCGUGCCAGUGCGCAAACCCACUGGAUGGAGGCAGUGUAUAGACUACCGUAGGCUAAACGCCGUCACCAAAAAGGACCAUUUCCCUCUCCCUUUCAUUGACCAAAUGGUUGAACGUUUAGCUUGUAGAGCUUAUUAUUGCUUUUUGGAUGGAUUUUCAGGAUACUUUCAGAUAGCAAUUGCUCCAGAGGAUCAAGAGAAGACAACCUUCACGUGCCCGUUCGGGACCUUUGCUUAUAGACGAAUGCCAUUUGCGUUGUGCAAUGCACCUGCAACAUUCCAGAGGUGUAUGGUAAGUAUUUUUUCUGAAUAUGUGGAGAAAAUUAUUGAAGUUUUCAUGGACGAUUUCAGUGUGUAUGGUGAUAGUUUUGAUACGUGUUUAGAUAAUCUGAAAUUGAUCCUGAUAAGGUGUAUAGAGACUAAUCUUGUGCUUAAUUGGGAAAAAUGUCAUUUUAUGGUUGAGCACGGGAUAGUCCUGGGUCAUAUUGUAUCGUCUAAGGGCAUAGAAGUUGACAAGGCUAAAAUAGAUAUUAUUUUUGCAUUACCUUACCUCGCGAGUGUGCGGAAGGUGCGUUCUUUUCUUGGACAUGCAGGUUUUUAUCGAAUGUUCAUCAAGGAUUUUUCAAAAAUUGGAGCCCCGUUAUUCCAACUCCUACAAAAGGAUGUGACCUUCGAAUUCGAUGAUAAGUGUGAGGAAGCCUUCAACAAGUUGAAAGAAUUGUUGACCUCACCCCCAAUUAUCCAGCCCCCUGAUUGGAGUCUACCAUUUGAGAUCAUGUGCGAUGCCAGUGAUCAUGCCGUAGGGGCUGUAUUGGGGCAAAGAGUAGGGAAGGCAGCUCACGUCAUCUACUAUGCAUCCCGAGCAUUGAAUGGAGCCCAAUUGAAUUACUCCACUACUGAAAAGAAGCUUCUUGCAGUUAUUUUUGCUUUAGAAAAAUUCAGGUCAUAUUUGCUAGGUGCUAAAGUAAUUGUAUUUUCUGACCAUGCAGCAUUAAGGUACCUAAUGACCAAGAAAGAUGCCAAACUGAGGCUCAUUAGGUGGAUAUUGCUACUGCAGGAAUUUGACCUGGAGAUACGGGAUAAAAGGGGCUCAGAGAAUUUAGUAGCUGACCAUCUGAGUCGUAUACCCGUUGGAGAGGAUAAUGAACCAUUGAGGGAUGCGUUCCCUGAAGAGCACUUAUUUUCUUUAAAUUCUCAGUUGCCUUUGUAUGCCGAUCUGGUCAAUUAUUUGGUAACUGGUAAUUUUCCUGCAGGUUGACCAAAAUCGAAGAGGGAUAAAUUGAAGAGCGACGCCAAGUAUUUUAUUUGGGACGACCCGUACCUAUGGAAGAGGUGUGCAGAUCAAGUGAUGCGGAGAUGUGUAAGUGAAAUGGAAUUUCAAUCGAUUUUAGCUUUUUGUCAUACUUUUGCCUGUGGAGGUCAUUUGGACCCAAGAGAACUGCUCAUAAGGUUUUAGAAAGUGGAUUUUAUUGGCCUUCAUUGUUUAAGGAUGCCUAUGUGUUUUGUAAGUCAUGUGAUCGCUGUCAAAGGGUAGGUAAUAUACCCCGUAGAGAUCAAAUGCCCCAAGUCCCGUUGAUUUUUAUUGAAAUUUUUGAUGUCUGGGGUAUAGAUUUCAUGGGGUCUUUUCCUACUUCAUUUGGUUUUUUAUAUAUUUUGCUGGCAGUUGAUUAUGUGUCUAAAUGGGUGGAGGCUAAGGCCACUCGAACUAAUGACUCGAAAGUAGUUGCAAAUUUUGUCAGGUCUAAUAUUUUUGUGCGAUUUGGAAUGCCUAGUGCUAUUGUCAGUGAUAGGGGAACGCACUUUUGCAACAAAAUCAUAGCUGCGUUGUUUCGCAAGUAUGGUGUACUCCAAUGGGUCUCAACGUCGUACCACCCUCAGACCAAUGGUCAAGCGGAGGUGUCGAAUCGAGAGAUCAAGUCUAUCUUGGAGAAAAUGGUGCGCCCCGAUAGGAAAGACUCGAGUCAAAGGCUGGAGGACGCACUUUGGGCCUAUCGGACGGCGUACAAGACUCCUAUAGGGAUGUCACCGUACAGGUUGGUAUUUGGGAAGCCGUGUCACCUUCCAGUGGAGUUUGAGCACAAAGCUUUUUGGGCGAUAAAGUAAUGCAACAUGAAUUUAGAGGAAGCCGGUGCCCAACGAAAGUUGGAUUUGCAAGAAUUAGAAGAGAUCCGGAACGAGGCUUACGAAAAUGCACUAAUUUAUAAGGAGAGAAGCCGGAUAUUUCAUGAUCAACAAAUUUCAAGAAAAUCCUUUGAAGUUGGUCAGAAGGUCCUACUAUACCAAUCCAGGCUCAAGCUAUUCCCAGGUAAACUACGUUCCCGUUGGAUUGGACCUUUUCUUGUUACUCAUGUUUUUCCAUAUGGUGCAGUUGAAAUCCGGAGCGCUAAAACAGACAACAAAUUUGUGGUGAAUGGACACCGUCUCAAGCAUUACUACGAAGGAUUUUCAGGUGAAAAGGUGGAGACAAUAAGUCUAGACGCGCCACCGUGUCCUAAUCAGUGACAUUUUACUAUGUCUAGCCAAAGACAUUAAAGACAGGCGCUCAUUGGGAGGCAACCCAAUUGUCCCUUUUAAUUAUUUGUUUGAUUUCGUGUGAUAGUUUAAAUAUGUUUUCCUUGAAUUCGACUGAUUUUGGGUUUCAGUUUUCGUUUUUGCUGAAUUGUAGGUGACCUUCAGUCUUGACGCGCCCGCGUGAUGACAUGCAGGAAGCUCACGAUCAGAAUCGUCUGAAAGCUCUCUUGCCCUUUUGACGCACCCGCGUGAUGACGUGCAGGAAGCUCACGAUCAGAAUCGUCUGAAAGCUCUCUUGCCCUCUUGACGUGCCCGCGUCACGUUCGCAGGAAAGGUACGGGUUUCAAAAAUUUAAAGAAAAAAUAAUAAUAAUAAUAAUUUAAAAUUUUGAAAUUAACUUCCGUAAAAAAAAAAAAGAAGAAAAAAAAUUUCACCGUGGCUUAAAUAGAGCCUAAAGAAGAGAAAAAAGAAACAAUUUCUUUCUUUUUUUUUUCUUUUUCUUCUUUCUUCCUUCUUUCUUUCUUUCUUCUUUCUCUUUUCCCUCUCUCUUCUCCCCUGUUUCUUCUCCCCUGUCCGUCGCCCGUGCGCCCCAUCGCUGCUCCACCUCCACACGCACGCCGACGCUGCGAGCCACCUGCGACCCCAGCGCCAGAUCUGGACCAUCGCCGAAACCCGCAGCCUCCGCCACCUCCACCUGAGCUCUGCCUCGCGCGCAACCCAGCUGCUCUGCGCCCGAAGCUCCACCGCCGCCACAGCCUCCCCACGCAGCUCCCUGCUCACGCGGCCACAAGCCCAUUGGAAACGGGACAGAGACUGCCGCCGAGCCACUUGCCCGCGUGACCGCCGCUGUUUUCCACCACCUCCCUCACGCGAGCUCUUUCCCUCUCAGCAGCAAUCCACUUCACAGCGCACCCGCUGCGCGCCGUCGCAGCCCUCGCAGCUCCAGCCCGUCUGGUCUAGUCCGCCGCGCGCACCAACCACCCACGGACGCUACCCCCAUCGCUAACCCACGCGGCCUCCACUCCAGUCUGUCCGCCGCCGCUGCUCGUGUCUCCCUUGCGCACCUCACGCCACCCGCUACUGUCCCCUUCCGUUUGGUUAGCAUCCACGGUGGAGGUAAUUGGAGGUUAUUUUCUCAAUUGUGUGACUUCCGCCUGUGAUACUGGUUGCAUUAUUUUUGCUGGGAAUUGCUACUUCUUUUGGGUUGGGUUCAACUGUGCAAUUAAUUGGCCAACUGGAGCCAUUUGUUGGGAUUUUGGGUGAGCUGAAAUACUGCAUUUGUGUGUUACAUUGGGAGGUUUAUUGGGUACAUUCUAACCGCUGUUUUCCAUUGUUACUCUCGCUGGGGUGUCUAUUAAAUUGCGAUUGAAGUAUUUUGGAUAUUGCAUGUUGAGAUUGAGGUUUCAUUGAAUUUGGCCUACGUUCUGCCCCCAGUGGUACUGGUGGGAAUAUUUUCAAUUGAAUUUGUUACCUCUAGUUGGUUGGCUACAUUAUUAUGGUCGAAUUCCUAAGUUGUCGUCAUUGCAUUUGUUGAUCUUGAUUUGGGGCAUUAACCGGCCAACUGGAGCCAUCUGUGCGUUUUUAGGCGCUAUUAUUGGUUUCUUCUCCCUUAACUUUGUCAACUAUAUUUGGUUGGGUAUUUGGUUGACUGCCACGGACUUGUAACUGUGUUUUGCUUCUAAUUGACCAGUUGCACAGCAGUUUUUUUUUAAUUGAUAGGGUGGUUAUACCUCUGGAUAUUUGUAUCCACUGGUUUGAGGACAUGGUGAGACCAAAAUCCUCCUCUAGGUCUAGGACCCCUAGAACCUCGCAAUCCCAACCCCAAGCCUCUACUCUAGUCAAUACCCCUAUAAAUCAACCUACUGCUCCCGGUGUCCGAACCUGGUUAGGUAGGGGUAGAGGUGCCCACGUGGCUUCCGCCACUCACUUGGGAGGGCAUUUGGAAUUCACUAGAGCCGCCGAUCAGCGACGCUAUGCUCAAGCUUGUGAGCGGCGUAUCAUUCCGUGCAAAUGCGCGGACCACAUUACUAUGGUUUUUCUGGGGAUCCAAGGGGAGGUUGAGCGCAUGUACACCGCCAUUGGAUGGCGCCCCUAUCUGGAUAUUUUCCAGCCAGCCUUUGUCGAGUUGACUAGAGAGUUUUACACCACUUUUAAGUUUGAAUUACCGACUAGGUAUACUGUUGCGACUCCCGAUAUCAUUCACUUCCGUCUCAUGGGCCAGGAAUUCAAUUUCUCUAUCACCCAGUUCAAUCUGGCUUUCGGUUUCAUCACUCGGGAGUAUGCAGAGACUAGGGAAUACGGUGAGAGUGCCUGCGAUUUUGUGGAACCUUUCCUUACCGCCUACCGUGAGGUGUGGGAGGACAUGUCUGUGGACAUGCAGCGUUACGAUCCCUCUCGGUCUCGGAGCUCCUUUCUAGAGGACCCGAGUGCUCGGUAUGUUCAGCGGCUUUUAGCAUAUAGCUACUCGGGCAGAAAGAACAGCUUCGGUAUUAUCUCUCGGCCGGAGCUCUUCUUCCUUUGGUGUAUGAAGAAUGGGUUCAAGGUCAAUUUGGGUUGUUGGUUGGCGGCACAGUUCAAGACCGUCAUGGCAAAGAAGAACAAGCCGUUGAUUCUUGGGUCGUAUAUCACGUACUUGGCGGUCCAGCUAGGCGUUCUGAAUCUACAGGAUCACGAUUUGCACUUGGCCUGCGACAUGGAGUAUCUCACUGCUGACCGGCUAGAGAAGAUGGGGGUUCUGGAGCUUGUCGAUGGCCACUACCGAUUUGUGCCCCCGGGACCGCCCCGCGCCCCGCCUCGCUCUUCCUCCACCCAUUCGGCCCCAGUUGGCGGUGAUCCUGGCCCGUCGACAUCCGCUCAGCUCCCUCCACCAGCAGGGGCUGAAGAUUGGCACCAAAUCAGGACGCAGAUUCAGAAUUUGGACGCCCGGAUGAUUAGCAUCGAGAGCAACGUGGCGGCUAUAUCACAGAAUCUGGCGGCAUUCCUGCAGCACUCGGGUUUCCCGCCCCCAAUCCCACCUCACCCUCCACUAUGACCCGGUUUCAGGGAAGUUUGGUUACUUUCUCCCUCACUUUUGUUGUUUUUUGACACAUUGAGGACAAUGUGUCCUAUAGGUGUGGGGGGGUCUAUAGUCUUUCUAGUUUUUAGUAGUUGUUAGUUUUUAGUUUUUUAGUAGUUUUAGUUUUAUUUCUAGUUGCGUAUUUUCUUUCUUUUCUUAGUGCUUAUUCCCCAUGUGAAAAGAAAAAGAAAACAAAAAAAAAGAGAAAAAAAUGUUGGUUUAUUGACUCUAACUCUACUUUUGCCAAGUUUUUUUUAAAUAAAAAUGUAUCGGGUUAAUGUGGUUGGAUCCAGAAUAUCUCCCUGGUGAAUAUCGGAUUGCUUGGCUCUUUUGAUUUCUGUGUUAAUUUCUCUAGGCAUAGGGAAUGACUGUUGGCAUUUUAAUGUGAACUGGUCCAAUAUUGACUCCAGUUCUCUAUGUUUGGCAAUAAUGAGGCGAGCUGUUCCUAUUUUUGGUUCUUAGUGUUGUUAUUAUGUGUUUUUGGCUUUGUUUGGCUGUGAAUAAUCUGGACUGUACUCCGCUAUGAGUUACUACUGAGUAACCGAGGAUCGGCACCUAAAAGUGUCGAUUCUCGCGUCAAAAGGUGGUACUUUAUAUGAGUACGUGGUCGUAUAGCAGUAGGAGCUGAGUAACCGGGCUCCUUCAUCUAAAAAUGUUGGAGUUCGCGUCAAAAGGCCCCGACGGCUAACGACUAAGUCUUUUUGUGUUAAUUAUUAUUGCUUUGAAAAACAAAAAAAAAAAAGAACGAAAAAAGAGAGAAUAAAUAAUAGGAAGGCUUGCCGGUUUAUGGACUUAAUAUGGAGACUUGUGUGAAUAUUUGGACCAUUAGCUAAUAAAUGUUGUGCGCCAUUCCCUUUUCUUAGAGUAGUUAACCUGGAAAUUGAAGGAAUUUGCAGUUUAGGGGCUAACCGGGGGGGAGGCUUCUUGGAUUUUAAUCACCAAUGCUCGAUAUAUGUUUUUCUCUUGAAGAUCUUGGCAAUAUAGGAGAUUGGACAAUGGCCAUCAUCGAAUUUUGGUGUUCGUUUACUAUUCUUAUGCUUGAGGACAAGCAUGGUUUAGGUGUAGGGGGAAUUGAUAGGGUGUAAUUUUACUAUUUAUUUUAUUAUUAAUUUCUCCUAUCACCUGACCUGAUGUGGAUUAAUUGCUGGAUUCUGCUCACUUUUAGUACUUUGUAUUUAUUUCAGGGAGUAGAACGGAAAUUUGAUAACAGGUGCUAAUUUGGCAGAAAAAAGUCCAGAUGAUAGAGCUUGCCCCAAGGGCAUUUUUGGAAAGGAGAACUUGUGCCCAUCUUGGUAAUUUGGGAGAAAAGGGAAACAGACAAAAUGGGUCUAACAUGGAUUGGAAGCGGCCGCACAGUAGCAGGGAAGAGGGCAGACGUAAAAGCAAUUGCAGGGGGGAAAAGGAGUUUUUUUAGUUUUUAGCUUAGCAUCUGAUUUUCCCUGGGAGACUUUUGUUAAAGAUUUCCUUUUGGCUGAUAUUACGCAUGGCAGAUGGCUUUUAACUUAUUCCUCCAUCUUUGACUUUUCUUCUUUAGCUUGUAGUAGUGGAUUGCUACUUACGAAUGUCAGCACUUAGCCAUUCGUGGCUUUUGAUCUUUUCUUCCUUAGAAAUUCUGAGUAGCCUCUUUUCCUUUGUGCGCCAGACGAAGUGAAAACUAUAAACUUUUGUAGUGUUUCUAUUCAUUCAAUAUAUUGAGACGAGUUGGAUUCUACCAAAUUUCAAUGGACAUGGCCGCUGGUUUCUCUUCAAUUUUAUAUGGGCUUUGUUCAUCGAACAUGAACUAAUUUCACCACUCUAGUCAAGGAACAACGAAGACUCUGGUUCGCCUAAAAAUUGUGAGAUCGUUUUAAUUUAAUCUUUUCCUUUUAUUUAUUGGUAUCCGCACAUUUCUUGAUUGCUAUGCUUAUGGUUAUUUAAUUAAUUGAUUGUCUUGGAUCCAGAUAAUUAAUUGAUCUGAUAGCCUAUUGUCAAUUAGGGCAUUUAAAUCCGUAAUUGUUUAAUUGUCCUGAAAUAGUGACAACUGGCACGAUUAGAUUCGUGCCAGGGGGGAUAUGCGGGCUAAUCUAAAAUAACCCUGGUAGUGUGUUAUUUGGUUAGAAUAGGGCUCCUCUAAUAUGUAAGGCAAUUGGGGAAUUAAAUUCUACGGGCGUACCUAGAAUUAUUUCUUAAUUAGAGUAGUGAUUAACGGGCGUACCUUGAUCACCGACACAGUAAGGAGGGGUUGACUGCCAUCGCUUGUUUGGCAGUUAUAACAUAUUUAUCAGUAAAUAAUUGGGAUUGCCUUGCAUCAAUGAUCAAUUAGAUGAACUAUUGCUGAAGUUACUUCUUGGCUAGAUCUUUAGUUAAUAUUACCUUGAUUUUGGUGAAUUGCCAUUUGAUUUUUAGUUGCCUACUUUAUUUUAUUUUUAAUUGUUUCCUUGCUUUAAUUGAGUUAGGCCUUUAAUUAUUGUUAUUCUAAGUUUAGUGAAUUGUGGUUUAAUUCCUAAUUAGUUAUUUAUUUUUACUUUCUUAUUUGAAUUUAUUUGCUUGUUAUCAUUCCUACGAAAUCACCCCCCUGUGUUACUUUGGAUUUCUUAAGAAACAAAUAUACCCAGUCCCUGUGGAUACGACCCUACUUGCCCUGUCCACGAAUUCAUAAUUAUUUGUGAAAAGAAAUAACCAUUCCACUCGGGUAUAUCGGAUCAAGCAAACUCUUCGGGAACAGGGUGAAUCAAGUAACCCAUUGCACACCUAAAAUCCCUGCUCCAGUACUUGGAAUUGGGUUUUGGUCAUUUUAACUGGCAAUUAAGUUUAAUUUUAUUAUUGCACAGGCUGACGACCCUGUCAUUGUAUUUGUACCAAAAGUGAAAACUUAACUAUUUUAGUUGUAUUUAUUUCAUCAUGUUGGAUUGUAUUCAAAUAAUUUUUGUUUGAUUGUUUUUAUAAGUUUCAAUUGUAAAAUUAAAAUGAAUAAUAACUUGAUGAUGUGUUGAUAUUUUAGUACUUGAUUAUUUAUUAAAAUUUAAUUAUAAUAAAAUUUUAUUAACUCAACGAGAAAAAUUUUAUUAAUCCCGUGGGGGCACCCGCGGGGAAAGCGGGGCGGGGCGAGGGGAGUGGGAGGCGGAGGACGGGGCGGGGGCGGGGGAUGGGGGAGGGGUCCCCCGCCCCAACCCCGCCAUCCCCCGUCCCGUUGUCAUCCCUAGUAAUAGACUGGCAAGCAUUGUGGUGGUCAUUGAGCAACUUAUAGGAGAAAUAGUCCUAUAAGCUGUUCAAUGACCAAUCACAACUUGCUAAUUGGAUGACUAAUAUAGCUCUAGCUGUAAUGUUUUAAUUAAAUUACAUCACUAACGUUGGGAUGACUUUUUAACCAAAAAAAAAAAGCCUUAGUUCAAGCUUUUCCCUUUAUUGUGCAUUUUUUAAAGCAUUUGAAAGGCACUGCAAAUCUGUCAUUUUGGACAUUUUAUUAUUGACUAACAAUGAAAGCCGUGGACGUCUACCCAUAACCAACACAAGAUUAAAUUAAUAUUAGAAAAAAUAAUUGAGUAAUUGGAAAAAAAAAAAAAAGAAGAGUCUAAUUUUCAUUGAAACCCACCGACAAACUAUACGUGUCCAUGGCUUUUGAAUAGUGCAUUCAACGUUUAAUUGUAUGGUCCAGUUCAUUGCAGAUUACAUGGAGUAAAGAUUGCGCUCUUUCCUUUUCACCCCUUUUGGAAUCGAUACUGUGGAGAAUUGGGUUUUUCCCUCCUUUUUUUCUUUUCUUUCCUUCUGUGGUUUGCAAAACAUACGUAAAAAUAUGAAAUCCGAAGCAUUCUUUAAUUGGUAUUAAGUAUUGUUGUUGAAAUUAAAAAGAAAAAAGAAAGAACAACAAAAUUCCCAAUCUGGGUUGAUUGUUGAGCUCUAGAUUGGUUGCAUCGUGCUUCCAUAGAAGCAAGAUUUGUAAAAUCGGAAUCCUACAUAGGAUCGAUUUUAGUUUCACAGGAUCGGAUUGUAAAAUCGUAAGAUCCUACCAAAAGCUCUCAAUUGCAAUUAAAGGUUGCAAUUCUUUAAUAAAUUACAAAUAUACCACAAAUAUUUUCAUUUACUUGCAAAAUGGAGCUUCGUAUUUCACAAAUUUACAAAAAAAUUGUAGGAUCGUACGAUCCUACCGAUCCUACGAUCCUACACGAUCCUACCGAUCCUGCUACGAUUCUAUGCGAUCCUACAAAGAUUAAUAUGAUUUGCGACUCUGCAUACGAUCCGGAUCGAUUUUGGUUAUCCGGAUCGUAGGAUCGUAUGAUCCUACGAUCCGGAUCGCGAUUUUGACAACUAUGCAUAGAAGCUCUCUUAGUGUGAUACACUGCUUUCAAUCAGUUUAACACGGGAAAAAAAAAAAGAGAUGAAAAGCAAAUUUGGUGGAGAUAAUUUCAGAAACCUCCCCUGAAGAUUUUGACUAUUCUACUGGUUUCCCUUCAGAUUUUAAAAAUUACACUAAUCUUCCUUGAAGUUAAUUAUCUUGUAACAUUUAAAUUCAAUCAAUAAUUUAAAAAAUGAUAUUAUGAGAGAGAAAAUAAUAUGAUUUUAUCAUUGCCCCCCAUCUUACUACAUUAUUUAAUUAAUUUAAUAGCAACCCACACAUUAAAGAAAAAUAUUAAAAUUUGUUGUUUAUCAUUAAAGAUCAAAUCGCUUAUAACAUCAAAUAAUAGUAUAUUAUUUAUAUUUUUCACUUAAUAUAAUAUCCAAAUUACUCUUUUCAAUUACAUACCCAUUGUUAGAGAAUCAACAACAAAUAACCAAAAAAUUUGCAACCAAAAUAUUACAAAAAAAAUAAACUUUAACAUCAUAAAUAUUCUUAUCAACAUAUUAAAGUUAGUUACUGAAAUUUUUAUGCUGUUAAACUUCACUCUUUUUGAAUACAGAUUUUUUUGAUUAUUUGUUAUUAAUUAUGUUUGAUGAUGGGUUUAUAAUUGAAAAGAACAAUUUGAAACUUACAUUAAGUAAAAUAUAUAGAGUGAUAUACUAUUUUUUAUAACAUAUGUGAUUCAAUCCUUCUUGAUAGGAUUGGUAAUAGAGGUAGAGGGGGGAGUCGGCUGCAUCCGGUCUUCUUUUCAUAGAUAGUACAAUAUUGCGAAAUCAAUCGCAUUCACACAAUAAUAUUUCGAAGUCAAUGCAUGGCUAAGUUGCAUAAAAGUACGAACACUUGUUAUUAUAUAGCUUAAGAUUCAAAACUUUCGAGCAUAACCCUCCACCCAACACAAUUGAAUAAUGAAUAUUCACGAUUGUCAAAUCUGUCAAAGCACAGUUUGAGGACAACCCAUUCCAACCUGCAAAAGAUUUUUUACUUUUCUAAAGUUGUUGAGAGCUGUAAAAAGACUUACCAUGCUUGCAUCCUCCGAGCCUUGGGAGUUAAAAAUGAAGGCACUGAGUGCUAUAAAAAGGGGAAUAGAGGCUGCCUAGAAGCAUAUCAGCCUAAAACAAGAAUUUGUAGUUAAGAUGGGAAGCAAAGCAAAAGCAAUGGGGUCUGGGCUGACUCCUCUUCUUGCCACUGUUUUAGUGGUGUUUGUUGCUCUUGGCUUGCCCUCACAAACUGCAGCUGAUGAUCACUACAAGUAUUCAUCUCCUCCUCCUCCUUACCACUAUCCCUCACCACCACCACCAGUGCAUAUACCUCCACCUCAUCCUGUUUACAAGUACAAAUCUCCACCACCCCCACCACCACACCCAGUUUACAAGUAUAAGUCACCACCACCACCUCCUCAUCCGGUAUACAAGUAUAAGUCUCCUCCGCCACCACCACACCCAGUUUACAAGUACAAGUCACCACCACCACCUCCUCAUCCGGUACCACACCCAGUUUACAAGUAUAAGUCACCUCCACCACCUCCUCAUCCGGUACCCACAGUUUACAAGUAUAAGUCACCACCACCACCUCCUCAUCCGGUAUACAAGUAUAAGUCUCCUCCGCCACCACCACACCCAGUUUACAAGUAUAAGUCACCACCACCACCUCCUCAUCCGGUGCCACACCCAGUUUACCACUACAAGUCACCACCACCACCUCCUCAUCCGGUACCACACCCAGUUUACCACUACAAGUCACCACCACCUCCUCACCCAGUUUACAAAUACGAGUCUCCACCACCACCAGUUUAUAAGUACAAGUCACCACCACCUCCUCCACCAGUUUACAAGUAUAAAUCUCCUCCACCACCACCACCAGUUUACCACUACAAGUCUCCACCACCUCCUCCCCCAGUUUACAAAUACAAGUCUCCACCACCUCCUCACCACUACUAAGCAAUUGCUUCUGAGGUAAUAACACUUGUUCAAUAUACCCACUUCUGCAUGAUAAAGCAUAUCUCUAUCAACACAAACUGUCAUGUCUAUCAUGCUAAGUGCCUUCACUUCAUCCACCAAAAUGACUGCUAGAAAAUUUUUUUUAUGUUACCAAAGAAAGGCAUCAUUUUUUCCCUCUGUUAUCAAGAACUUGUACAGUAUAUAGAUUAAAGAGUAUUUUUUUAACUAGCUUAUCAACUGAGAAAUGCAUAUAGCUGAUAGCCAGCUGAAUAUUUGCAGGCAAAGGAGAAGGAAACCAUGUUUGAGACCUUCUUGAAGAUGUAGAAGCAUAAGAAUAAAAGCCCAAUGUGAAGAUGAUGAUUUCAAGUUUUUCUACGUUACCAUUUCUUUAUCUAAAUUGGUUGUAGCGCCCAAGUUCCUUUGUUUAUGGGAUUUGUAUCGUUUUACGUACCAUGCAGUACAUGUCAUGUUUGUAAGGUUUUCUAUCCUGCCGGCAAACCGCAGGUUCCAUGUGAUAAAUGAAUACUAUUUAUGUUACGACACUUUUCUCUGUUUCUCUUAUAUUUUGUCUUUAAUAUUCUUAAUCAUAUUUUUAACAAAAAUAUUCAAACACUUAGGCAAUCUGGUCUAAUGCUAAUUGUAUGUUUUACUUUUCUUUUUCACCUGCUCCCCUUUUCAACUCAAAAGGAUGCAAUAGUUUGUGAUCACUGUUUAAGACGGAAGCAUGAUACUAAUGAAUAUCUCAUUGAAACUCAAGGAAACUAACAUUGCGAAAAGUGUAAAUCUUGAUUUGAUGCAACUAUUUAUUCGUGGAAUCUAUAGUUACAAAACUCAAAUUCUGACUGCGCCAUUGAUAAAUUAUUAAUGACGCUAUCAUCAUUAUUUAUCCCUAACUAGUUUCGACUACAACUGAACCCAAUAUUUUCCCCAUGAUAAAAGUUUUUGACUAUUUUACUGGCCUCUCUUCAAAUUUUAAAAAUUACACUAAUCUUCAUUGAGAUUAAUUAUCUUGUAACAUUUAAGUCCAAUUAAUAAUUAAAAAAUGAUAUUAUGAGAGAGAAAAUAAUAUAAUUUUAUCAUUGCCCCCCAUCUUGCUAUAUUAUUUAAUUAAUUUAAUAGCAACCCACACAUUAAAGAAAAAUACUAAAAUUUGCUGCUUUUCAUUAAAGAUCAAAUUGCAUAUGCCAUAAAACAUAGUAUAUCAUUCUAUAUGUUUCACUUAAUGUAAGAUCCCAAUUGUUCUUUUCAAUUACAAACCCAUUGUCAAACAUGAUCAAUAACAAAUAAUCAAAAAAUUUGCAACCAAAAUAUUACAAAAAAAAACUUUAACAUCAUAAAUAUUCUUACCACCUCUAGUGCAUUCACCCUCAUAAAAUAAUUCAAGACCCUACUGUCAUAAAAUGACUGAUCAACUCCUGUAAACCUAAUUUGACAACAUUUAAAUGGAGAACUUUAGCUAAAAGAAUUAUGGUCAAGCUAAAGAAAAAACCAGUUAUUUUCCAACAUAUGCAACCAUUGAUCAGGGGAAAAAAAAAAGCAAAAAGACAUCUUCAAUCAUUUAAUAGCUUACAGGGCAAAUUAACCCUUGAGUGAAAACUGGUUGCUCUAGAAUUAAAAUUUUACCUUAGUUACCCAGGCAACUUUUUUGUUGCCUUUUCUUUUUCUUUUUUGGGUAUAUAGCUCCAGUUUUGCCCCCUCUGUCAAGCUUAUAUAAUUAUUAAGAUAAUAAAAGUGCCUUUAAUAGUAUUAAUAUAUCCAUUGACUUGAGCUGUCAUCGAUCGGUUUGGGCUACUUCGAUUCCAUGAGAACAAAUGGUAAUAAAAGUACUCAGAAAAUGGGGAGUCAUGAAACCCUUUUGUUCUAUUCAUUGCUAAGAUGCUUUUCUCUAUAAAGAGACUUCCUAACGAAAAUACUUUGUAGAUUUCUUUACUCCAAGUGGUGCAUGGAAAAUUAAUAUUUUCAAUUAUCAAAUAAAAUUCCCUUUUUUCGGCGUAGAUUUCAUCCAUCCAGCUGUUAACACAUUCUAUAAAUCCGAAUUGACUAAUCUUUUCGUUUCCAUUUUCCAACUUGCGAAUACGGCAUAUAGUGUCUGCUAAACACUAUAUAUUCUCUGCCAAAUAUGAAUACAUAUCACUUUUCUGAGCAAGUGCAGAGUCAUUAUCAUUUUUAUUCCCACCUAACAAAUUAGGGAUAAAAAAGUUAAUAAUCUUUACAUGCUAUCAGGUCACAAGUUAAUAAUCUUUUAAAGAACAUGUUAAAUUAAUUUAUUGGUAUGAAUAGUAGUCAAAGAAGUAUGUUAAAGUUAGUAAUCUUUAAAAUAAUAUGUUAAAAUCAUUCGUACAAAUUAGUCAGAGAAGUAGCAUAAACACCGCGAUGCAAUUAAUACUUUCAAUCUCAAGGUCUCUAUUAUGGAAAUUUGCAUCGGUCAAUAUACACUUGGCAUAAUAUAAUCUCCCAACUCAUUUCUUUACAAAUGCACCUUUAAUCACCACCAAAAGGUGUGGACAUGAUCUUUACCCUAGAAAACUAUUCACCGACAGGCAAAUUGACGUCAGAAAUACUGAGGAAUUCUAGUUUCCUUCGGGUUCAUGCCAUGUUGUAUCCUUCAACUGUAACUCGAUUUCUAAGCUGUAAUUUGUGACAUAAUAGUCCUUAAACUAUGAAACCCUUCUUACUUAAUUACAAUGGUUAAUACAAUGCCCGUGACUAGACAAGUAUGAAGCAACCAUAACAGAAAAAAAAUCCAAAAUUAGAGAAAAGAAAGAAGUUUCGCGACCACCACCAGUUUACAAGUCACCUCCACCACCUCCUCCAGUUUACAAGUCACCUCCACCACCUUACCAUUAUUCCUCACCACCACCUCCAGUGCAUUCACCCCCACCACCACCAGUUUACAAGUCUCCGCCACCACCUUACCAUUAUUCCUCACCACCACCUCCUGUGCAUGCACCUCCACCACCAAUUUACAAGUCACCUCCUCCAGUUUACAAGUCUCCACCACCACCUUACGAUUAUUCCUCACCACCACCUCCAGUGCAUUCACCCCCACCACCACCAAUUUAUAAGUCUCCCCCACCGCCUCCCCCAGUAUAUAAGUCACCACCACCACCUCCUCCAGUAUACAAAUCACCUCCACCACCUCCUCCAGUUGACAAAUCUCCACCACCACCAAUUUAUAAAUACAAGUCUCCUCCACUACCUCCUCCAGUGUACAAGUCAUCACCACCACCUGCUUACAAGUCUCCACCUCCUCCAGUUUACAGUUCCCCACCACCACCAAUCUACAAGUCUCCACCUCCACCCUACCAUUACUACUACAAUUCUCCUCCUCCUCCUCGUCACUACUAAGCAAUUGUAUCCAAGUUUUUGAGGUAAUAACGCUUAACCAAUAAAUUAACUUUCGCAUGAUAAACCUUAUCUCUAUCAAGACAAACUGCCAUGUGUAUCAUGCCAAAUACGUACACCUAGAUCCAUGAAAAUGAAUGGUAGAAAGUUUUCUUAAGAACCAAGAACAGCAUUAGUAUUCCCUCUGCUUCCAAAAACUUGUGUAUUAAAUAGAUUAAUGAAUUGUUUAACAUGCUCAUCUACUUGAAAAUGCACAAUACCCAUAACCCACUGAAAUUUUUGCAGGAAAAGGGAAAGAGAAUCUGUGUUUGAGAGCUUCAUGAAGAUGUUGAAGAAUAAGAAUAAAAGCCCAAUGCAAGGAUGUUUUCAAGUUUUUCUAUGUUUCCACUUUAAUUUGUAAAUUGAAUUUUGCGACUCAAUUAAUUCCCUGUUUGUGAGGUACGUAUUGUUUUACGUACCAUGCCGUACAUUUUUUUUUUCCAACAAACGGUAUCAUGUUAUAGAUAUUAACACUUGACCUUACAAGGAUUAGUUACAAAAAGGGGAUACUACCCUCAACUCUGUCCUAGCUAAAUCAGUCAGCCAUAUUGGGAAAUUAGUUUCCCAUUCAAUAUCAUGUACAAGCUUCACAGCAUAUUGUGCUAAUUGAUGGCUGAUGUGAUUUUCAGUUCUAGGUAUAAACACAAAAGAACAUUUUUCAAAAGCUAGACUAAGUUCCUGCACAUCUUCUAAGAUAGUUGCAGUCGUGUAGUCAUACUCCUUGCGUUUAGUAAUCUGCUCUACCACUGAUUUGCAGUCUGUAUGGACUAUAAUUUGUGUCCAACCUGCUUGGGUAGCCAUCAGCAGAGCAUUUCUCACAGCCCGAGCUUCCACUUCACUUGCCGAUCCCUUUCCCUGUGUGACAAUUCCUUUUGCUUUCAAAAGCUGUCCUUUCCAAUUUCUUGCUAUAAUCCCUUGUCCGGUCCUGACUCGUUUAGCUGAUAUCGCUGCAUCGGUAUACAGCCUUAUCUCUUCCUUCCUUGGCCGCACUCUCCUGGUAGGUAAGGCAUCAUUCAGCUUCCCUGCGAUCUCCUUCUGGUCUGUACUCCCUACCUGUUCAAACUCAAGCCAUUCCUCCUGUGCUUUCCUUACUAUUUUUACUGGAUCCUGGUUGGCUUGUUCAAAAAAUUUUUUGUUCCUGGCUUUCCAAAUUUGCCAAAGGAUAUUGAUAGUAAGACUAACUCUCUCCUGACCUUGGUUCAGUGCCAGCGAUUGUGUGACUUGUUCCCACCAUAACCAAAAGUUAUAUUGCAUACCCAGUAAUCCAUCCCACCUGACCGGUGCUAGCUUCCACGUUUCCACAGCCUUUUCACAGAAGAAAAACAAAUGCUCAAUAGUUUCCAUAUCUUCACCACAGCAACCACAUCUGCCUUCCCCUCUAUGUAGCCUUUUCGACAUCUGUUCAUUGACUGGCAGACAAUUUUGUAAGCACUUCCACAUGAAGUGUUUUAGUUUGGCCUUCACCUUCAAAUGCCAUAGCUGCUUCCACACAUUUCGUUUUCGUAUCUCCCAACUUGUUUCUGCCUCUUGGCCUGUCCUUGUACCUGCUUUUCCUUCCCGUUGCCUUGCUAAAGCAUAACCAGAUUUCACGCUAUAAAUUCCAGCUUUGGAAUGCCCCCAUACCAACCUAUCCUUUCUUCUUCCUAUACUUGUUGGAAUUCCCUUUAUGUGCUCUGCAUCUUUUGCACAAAACCACUUGAGAAGCAAAUCAUUUUUCCAUUUCCCUUCCUCUAUCAGCUCACUUACCCAUUCCAACUUGCAUCCCACAGGUUGUGUGGUUGAUGCAAAGCCGGUAUCUGAACCAACUAUCCAUCUGUCCCGCCACAUGUUGACUGACUUGCCAUCUCCAAUUCUUUUCCAAAGACCAUCAUACAGAAAGGAGGCUGCACUAUGAAUACUCUUCCAACACCAUGAGGCUGAAGAGACUGGCUUCUUGUCCAUCCAUUUUUCAUCACUCAUAUACUUCGCCUUCAUUACCUUACUUACUAACAAAUUUGGAGCCAUUAAGAAUCUCCAAAUUUGUUUUGCCAGUAAUGCUGUGUUGAAGGCCUCCAAAUCUCUAAAGCCUAAACCUCCUCUUCCCUUAACUUCUAAGAGCUUCUUCCAGCUUGCCCAAUGUACACAGGUACCCUUUUCUCCCUUCCCCCACCAGAAACUCGCUAUUUUACCUGUGAUUUGUCUACACAAACCCCUUGGAAGUCUAAAGCAAGCCAUCACAUAUGUUGGCAUAGCCAUAAUCACUGAUUUGACCAGAAUUUCUUUCCCUCCUUGGCUCAACAGUUUUUGUUUCCAACCUUGCAACUUGUUACUAAUUUUGUUCUGGACAAAUGCAAAGACCUGUGUCUUUGAUCUUCCAAUUGCCAUUGGGAGUCCUAGGUAGGUUCCAUUCCUUGCCUCUUUAAUGUUAUCUAAUACCUCCCUCACUCCAUUCUUCCUUUGAUCAGUGGUAUUUUUGCUAUAGAAGAUAGCUGACUUUUCAAAAUUCACCACCUGUCCGGAUGCUUGACCAUAUCUUUCCAAUAUGCUUUUGACCUUCCUCGCCUCCUGCUUGGUUGCUUGGCAGCAUAGUAGAGAAUCAUCUGCAAAAAAUAGGUGAGAAACCAUCGGACUGUCCUUGCAUAUUUUGAUCCCUGUAAUUUCCUUGUUCAUCAUAGCUUUAUGGAUCAAACAUGAAAGACCUUCAGCGCAUAUAAUAAACAAGUACGGGGAUAGGGGGUCUCCUUGUCUAAGCCCUCUACUCGGUUGAACACAGCCUACCUUUUGCCCAUUUAAGUUGAAGGAGUAAGUCACAGUAGAUAGGCAAGACAUGAUCCAUUUAACAAAAAUUGGACAAAACCCCAUUUUCAUCAUAACUCUCCCCACAUAUUUCCAUUCGACUCUAUCGUAAGCUUUGGACAUGUCCAGUUUAAGAGCCAUAAAUCCUACCCUUCCCUUUCUCCUAUUUUUCAAAAAAUGCAGGAUUUCAUGUGCAACUACUACAUUAUCAAGAAUUUGACGGCCUGGGAUAAAAGCGGAUUGAGAGGGACUAAUACAAUGAUGCAAGACACCUUUCAAUCUAUUAGCUAUGAUUUUAGAAAUGAUUUUAUACAGGACAUUGCACAAGCUAAUAGGUCUAAAAUGCACCACAGAUUCAGGAGUAUCAACUUUAGGAAUCAACGAAAUAAUAGUAUCAUUCACAGCUUUGAGCAAAUGCCCAGUAUGAAAGAAACUCUUAAUAGCUGCUACCACAUCAUCCUUGAUAAUAUCCCAAUAGUGUUGAAAAAAUAGAGGAGACAUACCAUCCGUUCCUGGUGCUUUAUUAGGGUGCAUCGAGAACAAAGCUUUCCUGAUCUCACUUUCCUCCACUUGUCGUAUCAGUUGUCCAUUCAUAUGACUCGAAAUAGUGCUUGGAAUUUCAGCUAGAAUGUCCUCAAAGCAGUCCGGGUUAGUAGUGGUAAAAAGGUCUUUAUAGUACUCACAAAGUUCCUCCUCAAUCUCAUGUUCCUCCUUGCACCAUGUCCCAUCUUUUUUCUGCAAUAUAGUGAUCUUAUUUCUCCUCCUCUUUGCCAUGACCGAAGAAUGGAAAAAAGCUGUAUUCUUGUCCCCUUCUUUGAGCCACUUGUUCCUGGAUUUUUGACUCCAAAACAUCUCUUCCUCUGCAUAAGCUUUAUUCAAUUGUGCUUUUAGUUCAGCCACUUGUACUCUUUUCCCUUCAUCCUUUCUUGCUUUCACUUCAGCCAAUUUCUCCUUUAACACUUUAAUUCUAACCUUUGAGUUUCCCUGCACCUUUUUCCUCCAAUCCAGAAUAGCCAUGCGACAUUCCUUUAUUUUUGUAGCCACUCUAAACAUCCUGGACCCUGACUUCACCUUUGUCCAUGCUCCUUGAAUCACCCUUUUUGCUUCUGGAUUUAGCGUCCAUCGUUGAUCAAAGUAAAAUCUCCGUUUUCUCCUUGUGUUUUCCGGGUUUGUAUCCACAAGAAGCAUUAGAUGAUCAGAGGCUUCAGUAUCUAAAUGAGUACACUGUGCCUUUUCAAAUCUUUGCAGCCAUUCGGUGCUGCAUAAACAUCUAUCCAACCUCUCUUUCACUUCCCCAUCCCCCUCCCAACUAUUGCACCAAAUCCACGGGACCCCUUGAUAACCUAAGUCAACCAGGUUAUUGUCUUUGAUAAACCUGUUGAACUCCCUAAAACAUCUUUCAGCUCUAUCCCUUCCUCCCCACUUCUCCUCACUAGACCUCAAAUCAUUAAAAUCUCCUACAAUGAUCCAGCCAUCCCCCCAGUCCCUCAUCCUGUCCUCUAAAUAUUUCCAUUGUGCUUUUCUAAUGUUACUAUCUGUGCUUGCAUAAACACACACUAGCCCCCAGUAUCCUUUAGUAUCCUUGUCCUCAACUCUAGCACUAAUACACCAAUCAGUACUUACAAUCUGGUCUAAAAUCACCUCAUUGUUCCAGAAUAAUGCUAGACCGCCUGCUUUACCUAUUGAAUUCACAAAAAAGCUAUUGUCAUACUGAAUCUUCCUUUGAACCUUGCCCAUAAACCCUUCCUGAUUCUUAGUUUCACAAAGGAACACCACCUUAGGAGAGUGGAAGUUAGUCACUUCCUUUAGUUGGGGACUUGUCAAGGGGCCUCCUACACCUCGACAAUUCCACACCACAACCUUCAUUUACACUUUGGAGGCUUUCCGGGGCUAGCCUCCAUUUCCCCUAUUGUACUAACAUUUAUUAGAUCCAGUUUCAUAACCUUUACCUUCGGUACAUUAUCAUCAUCCUCCUCUAUCGGUUGUGUUCCCUGAAACAUACCAUCAGCCUUCCUUUUAGCACACGAAACCUGCGUUACUUGUCCAUUUGUAUCUGCCUUUAAGGAUGUUUUAGCCGGCCUCCCUCUUCUUUUAAAACUGCUUCUUUUUUCAGCUUUGUUAUCUUCUUCCCCUGGAGUAGCCUCCUUUCUUGGCAUUCUUGCAUUUGUCUCCUCCUGCUUUAUUGACCCUACCCGCAAACUUUCACAUUCCUGUUUUGAGCUGUCCGUUUCCAUAUCCUCAUAAUCUACUGGUGGGAUUACGCUGCUCCCUCCUUUACUCCCUUCCUGUACCCUACCCUCCUUUUCACCAUUUCCCUCCAUUAAGACCACAGCCAAACUUUCCACCCGUUGGUUUGCCUUUCCAUACUGCCUGCUGUCUUUUAGAAUCUCAUCCCACCUCUCUUCAUAUUGUCUCGUCAUCAUUUUCUCCUUAUCCCCCCUUUCCUUUCCCCCCAAGACUCUACCAUUUUUUCCCCCAAGAGUUAAUGUAUCUCCAGCCAUUUGUACUCCAGUUUGAACUUCACUACUAGGAGACCCUGCCCCCACCCUCCUUGCAUCAAUUUCACUUACUCCUUCCAGCCGUCCCUUUAAGGGAGAUACCAUUAUAUUUCCAGCUCUCAUCCAGGCACCAUAUUGUUCCUCUCGCUUCUCCCCCCCACCCUUCCUACCACAGUACAAGUCCUAUCACUAUGCCCAAUGAUACCACACCUAUAACAGAAAUCAGGGCAGCGUUCAUACCUGAACUCAACCCACACUGCCUGGUUCUUACAGUUGAUCUUUGUCCCUCUAACCAGUGGUUUCGUUAUAUCUACCUCAGCCAUAAUCUUCAUGUGGCGACCCUCUUUCCCACCACUUCCUGGGAGAAUCACUCCCCUCACUGAUUUAAAGAUCCCUCCUAUUUUCAAACCCACUGCUCUGCUCAACCAGUGCACCGGUAGGUUCCAUAGUUGAAUCCAAAGAAAGGAAUGCUGGAAAAAGCUGCUGUUUGUAUCAUACCCCUCUACCCACUCCUUCACUAUCAGCAACUGGUUGUCCAUGACCCAAGGCCCUCCAGAUAAGAUCUUUUUCUUUUCCCCUUCAUCUCCCAGAUGGAAAUGGAAUAAGUUAGGACCUAACUCAGUCACUUUCAUCUUUGAGGGGUAUCCCCAUGCAUGAUUUGUAAAGUUCUUUAACCCCGUAAAGUUGGCAAUUUUUUCACCAAUCAGCUUUCCUACCAGGCUUCCUUGACACUCAGAGACGCCUUCUUCCAGGUCCUCACCACUCAGAUCGACACCUCCUAACUCUGUUUCAGACAAGUCAAAAUUUUGAAAGGCUCUUUCUAAAGCAUCCGCCAUUGCUGUGACGAGAGCUCCUUGAGAAACCAAGCACUAUUUCUGAGCUAUGAGUGACCCACUGACAGACCUGUGAAGAAUUGCAAAGACAGACAAAGCUGUGUUAUCCGUACACACUAAAAACCAACCAGAAAAACAGAGAGGAACUCGACAGAAAAAGCACAGGCACAAGAAGAAACGAAAGAAAAAAGAAAAACCAACAAACCACUAUCCCACUCCCGACCACAUAACAGCAUUAAAGAAAGGGACACAAAUACGACACUCCAACUUCCGAUCACAUGCUCUGACUCAAUGGAUCAUAUCUUGCCCAAAGCGUUUACUCCUCCAACCGAUUCCAAACCACUACAGACAUUGUCUCCCAUUUUGAAGCCGGAAGAAAGGUGGCUUCUGGACAGGGAACAUGAAAGCAAAGGUUGAACUAAAGAUUUGAUUUUAGAUCUGAAAAUUACGCUGUAGGAAAAAGUGCUAUGUGUUUGUACCUCACCCACUCUCCCACACCGAGGAGGGGAACCUCUAAAGUUAGAGAGAGAAGCUCUCAAGUUAGAGAGAAGCUUUGGAAGUUAAUUACCAACGUACCAUGCCGUACAUGUUUGUAAGGAUUUCUAUCCUAUUGGCAAAAGUCGGUUCCAUACAAUUAAUCAAUUCAUUUCACUUCUAUUGGCUCUACUAUUUAUGCAUGUUACGACACUCUUUCCCUUAUAUUUUGCCUUUAAUAUUAUGAGUCAAUAGUAAUAAUGGGCCUUUUUCUUAAAAUUAUACUAUUAUACAUAGGUAGUUUGGUCUAACGCUAAAUUCAUGUUUGUCUUUCUUUUAUUCCCUUUACAUCUCAAAGUAUACUAUAGUUUGUAAUCAUUGUGGUGAUGAUAUUACCAGCUGGUACUUAUAGUUUAAGGCAGAGACAUGAUAUUAACAACUAUCUCAUUGAAACAUAAGUCAAAAUCAUGACAAGUGUGAGUCUUGGUUAAUGCACAAUUUGUUAGUGGAAUUUAUAUUUAUAAAACUCAAAAAAAAUUUUUGACAAUGCUAUUACUAAUUAAUUAAGGACUUCAUUGCUAUAAUUUAUCGCUUACUAAUUUAAACUAUAAAUGAUCUCAAUACUUUUCUCCAUGAUGUCGAUUUCUUUAGACUACGAAAGGGAAAAAUUAGUGACAUAUCCCUUACUGAUUACAACAUCAGCAAAAAUUAGUUAUAAACUUUUCCGGUGGUUUUAAAUCCCUCGGGCACUAAGGUUUUUUGCACAUCGAGUGAAUUAAGGAACAUAGGCAAUUCGUUCUGCAUACCAAGUCCUUGUUUAAGAUGCACGUACUAAAAUGCAUCCACUUCAUUAAUUUGGAAAAUUGCCAUAGUUUUUUUUAAGCAUUUUGAUUUUUUACAUGAUUCAAAAUUUUCUUAUUGGAUACAAUCACUUUGUGUCAAGAACACAUUUUCAAUCAUCUUUUUUAUCUUCUCAAUAAGAAAAUAAAAAUUUAUUCAUGCUUUUCUAACAUAUCCAAUCAUUGAUCUGAAAAAUAAAGAAUUAAAAAAAAAAGACAUUUUCAAUCAUUGCUUACGGGGCAACUUCCCCAUGUGAACCUCAUCAAACAAAGCCAAUAAUAUGAAGGAACAUCUAAAUACACUUUUGCCCUAAAGGCUGGUUGCCUUGGGGUCAAAAUUUAACCUUCGGGAGUAUAAUUACCCGCCAAAUUUAUUAUUUUUUUUAUGGGUAUAUAGUUCCAAUUUUGCCUCCUGUUAAGCUUAUAAAUAUAUUACGACCCAGAAAAUAAAGGAAUCUUGAAUAGUAACAUGUCCAUUGACUUGAGUUGUUAUCAAUUUGGCUACUUCGAUUCCAUGAGGCCAAUCCAAUUCACACUAGCUAGAGAAAAUGGUGAUAAAGGCACUUAGAAAUUUAUAUGUAAUAUUGAUUGGUAGUAACUGAUAAGUAUAUAUUUUACGUGUUUUAAAUAUGUUUUAUUAGUUAGUUUUGGUGUGUUUUAACUACUUUUAUAACUAAUUAACUAGGAAUCUAGUGAAAAUAUGCAUUUUGUGGUUUGAAGUGUAAAAAUUGUAUUUCUAUGGAUUUUAAUGGUGAAAACUUCAUGUUUUUGUAGGUUUAAUGAUUCAAUCAUCAAAUGACAUGAUUUGAGAAGAUAAUUAGAUGAUUGAUGAUGUUUUGAAGUGAUAAAAAGAGAAUACAAAGUGCAAGAGAGGAAAUGCAAUCAAGAAUAAAAGAAGAAAAUUUUUGUAGCUUUGACAUAUUGUCGUAUUUCGGCAAUAUAUUGAGCUACAAUGAUCGGAUUAAGGUGAUUCUUAAACCAUUUGAAGCUAAAAUAUAGAUCUACAUUUGGCAUGAAGGCAUCGAAACCCAUGUCAGUCAUUUUCCUUGUCAAAAUGUUGAAAUACAGAAGUGCAACUCUGUUCUCGAAAGCUAAAACAGAGCUCUGGCUAGUCGAGGGUAUUUUCAUCAUUUCUUAGUCCACAGAGCUCCAAAUGAGAUGAUUCUUAAGGCAUUAGAACCCUAACUCAAAGAGCUACAACUUUCAUAUUUUGUACAAGAGUUAGUUCGGCCUCUAUCAUUAAGAAAAUAGUAGUUGAAGUGGUGCCAAAUGCAUAGAAGUGAAAACGCGAGCUAUCAAUACUCGACCUGAAGUCGCGUAUUCCUGAGGUCAUGCAUUCUCUUCUAUUUUCUGCAACUUGCCCUGCUUUCACAUAACUUUUUCAUCUCAAUUCCAACUAUCAAUUUCGGCUAUAUCUGAUCAAGAAAAGUGUGGAAAGUUUGAAAGACAACUCAUAGGAGUUUCAAGAGUCAAAAAUUACAAUUAGAAACAACUCAUUUGGCUCUUGAAUCCUCUAUAAAUAGAGGCCUUUGAAGAACAUUUUCACAACUUUGGAAGGUUAGAGAAACUCCACAAAAACAUAGUCUUCACUAGAAUUUCCUUAGUUCAUUAGUUAGGGUAGUAUAGUAUAGUUAGUGUAGCUUUUCCUUCUUGUAUUUAUAGUUAGGUUUGAAUGAAGAUUCAGGAGCAAAGAUAGAGAGGUUGAUCUCAUGUGACAAGGGUGAUAUCUCUUCUACUACUUUCUCUUUUGUAUUUGAUUUCAUAUUUAACUAUACUACAAAUUUGGCUUUGUUUUUUUUUUUUUAUCAUGUUUAGUUAAAGUUUAUGCCUAGAGUAUGGAUGACCUUUUUAUAUCUUGUUUGUGAUAUUUAACUGGUUAUUUGAUGAUGUUAUUUUUGAGCAAGUUAUUUAUCACUUUUGCUUUUCUAAUCAUGAUUAACUGGCCAUUAGUUGUGAUUAUCUAAAAGUGUUAAGUUUGUAAUGAGAAUUGGAGUUUAACACUAGUUCAAGGAAGUGAUAAAUUUAGGGAGUUCACUCAUGAGAGUAGAGGAACACCUUUGUGACCUAAGUGACUUGUUUCAUAUAAUUUCAUAGAAAAAAUGAACUUGUAAUUAAUUUCAUAACCACGAGAGUAAGUAUGGUUUAGCUAUAUGUAUAGUUGAUUCACUACGAGAGUAGGUUUCACAUACAUUAGAAAAUUACAUCAUAACUAGUCAAGAUAAUAUCAUUCAUUUAAUCAGUAAUCUCAUUUGCAUGAGUAGUAAGGCAUUCCAUAUCUCUAGGAGGUUUUUAGUAUUAUUUUCAUUACUUUUAUGUUUAUGGUAGUCUAGAUAAUAAUGGAGUUCGAAAACUACUAGUAAUUGAAAAUUUUCCCUGUGGGAUCGACCUUUAAUACCCUAUACUCGCUCUCGACUCGUAUACUUGAGAAAAAUCACGUGUGCGGUAUUUAGAAUUUAUAAAUGUAAAACUUGACUGUAGAUGAACUAAUUGAUAUAUGUAUACCCCGCACUCGUCAGUAACCAGCUUGUAUUGAUCCCACUAUUGUGGAUAAUUGUGCUCUUAUGAAAAAAAAUUAUAAAAAAAUUAGCAAAAUUUAUGAUAACAAAUUAAAUUUAUUCAUACAAAUCAGUGAAAGAAGUAGAAUUUUAAAGUCCAUGAUGAAAUUAAUACUUUCAAGGGCUCUAUUAGGAAGACUUCACUUGUUGGUGAAACUACACUAGCACAGUUAUAUGCACAUUUACUGUUUUGGUAUCUAAUUUCCUUGCCUUAAGUUGGGUGCAGAUGUUUAUAUUACAAAUAGAUGGUAUCAUAAAAUUGUUGUAUUCACGUUUGUUCUUUUUUUUCUUCCUUAAGUUUUUUUCUUUAUUCUCGUGACUUCAAAAAUACGAACUCAAGAAAUUGGCUGCUUAAUCAAUAUGUCAUACAGGCUUCGCUAGUGAGGUAUAACUUCACAACUAGAGUCAAUAGAAAUUAUCAAAUGAUUUUUUAACAUCCAAAUUAAGCAAUAAAUUUUGUUUUCAUUUUAUGACAUAUAAUAGUACUACUUCAUGAGAGAUUUUAUAGUUUCUUUUAGGUAUCAUACCUACAAGUGAUAUUUGUCAUUGGAUAGUGACAGAAGUGUUAAUGAUUGUAAGAUUAAAUAUUGUUAAAUAUUGAAAUUUAAACUAUUUAUCUUUAUUGAAAGAUACAAGUUAAAGAAUCGUUCAAGGGGGCAAUUUUCCAUCUUGUCUUUUUGAAAAAACGCUAUCACAUUGUAUAGGCAUGAUAGGUUCAAAUUUGUCAUUAAAUUUAUGAUUGAUUUUCCUUUUAUUCAAGCCAAAUAUUGUUUUAAUUAUCAAAUUCUACUUAUAUUUGGUUAAUUGUACUAAUUGUAGGGCGGUAGAGCAAAAGUUGCUAAAAAUAGGCGAUUUUCUGCAAAUUGGUUGUCAAGGCUGAAGGAUUUGGGAUUCGCAUGUUCAAGGCCUGUUUCCAAGUUUGAUUCAAACUCUGGACAGUUUUAGAGGAAGAUUUGGAAGAUUUGAAAUUUCAUUAUUAGUUUUAUGGUUGAAUUAGGAAUCUUGGAAUAAUUUCUUUUGUGAUUUAUUUUUCUAUUUAGGAGACUAGUUGUUAUUUAGUAGUAGACUUCAAUUAGAAAACAAAGAGAAAAAGAAGGCCGGAAUCCCGCUUGAUUAAUACCUUGGCCAGGGAACAAUCUCGGUGGGGAGGACGGCCACUUAGCCUCUCAAUUCAUCUUGCUUUUCGUUAGUUUGAGAGGAAAACCAAUUGCAACUAGAUUCAAUGGAGUCUGGCAGAAUUUCUUCUAGGAUGCGUAGCUAAAUCCUCAAUUUUUAGUCGAAGGUCAAUUUGAAAAUUCGGUUCCAAAUAUCUGUGAAAUCGAAUUAUUUUACUUAUUUCUUUUAUUUAUUGGUAUUCGCACGUUUUCUGAUUUAACUUUUUAUGAUUGUUUUGUUAUUUGAAUGUCAAGGGUCCGAUAUUCGAAUUAACUUAAUAAUCUACUGCCAAAUUAACCGGUUAAAUCCGUAAUUGUUUGAUUGAUUAAUAUCAGUGGCGACUAGCGUGAUUGGUCCCAUGUUAGGAAAACGUCUGAUCUAAUUUAAACAAACCGUCGUAGCGUGUUUGUUGAUUAGGGUUGGGCUUUUCUAAUUCUUAAUUCAAUUGAGAAAUUAAAUCCCCCGGUCGUACCUAGGAUUAUUUUUUUGUUAGCGAAAUAGUUAAUGGUCGUACCUUGACUAUCGAAAAAGUAAGGAAGAGUUGAUUGUUUAUCGCGUGUACGACAACUAUAAUCAAUCUAUUAAUGAGUAAUUGAAUUAUCUUUGCAUCAGUAAUCAGUUGAAUGGACCGUGUCUGAAAAGUUGUACCUUUGGCUAGAGUCUUAUCUGUUGUUGAUUCAUUCAUAUCUAUCUUCAUGCGUUGUUUUAAUUUAGUUAAUUAGUUAUUUUUAUAAAAACCCCUCAUCUCUGGACUCUAAAAGAAAUAAAUUAUUUCUAGUUCCUGUGGAUUCGAUCCUACUCACCAUACAAUCCAACCUGCAAUUGUAUGAACCCCAAUCUCGCUUCCUAGUCCACCAUUUUUCUCUAGGUAAUAAUCUCCCUUCUAAUUUCUUCACAAAAUGCACCUUUCAUCACCUCCAAUAGCGUCGACAUGAUCUUUACCCCAGAAGACUAUUCACCGACUCUCAAUUGACGUUAGAAAAUCUAAGAGUAAUUCUACUUUACCCUAAGAUUGAUAUCAACAAGACAAGGACAAUUUAGAAUUAUUACACGCCUCUUCUUAAUAGGAAAAAGAAAUAGAGAAGAAAGUCAGGCCAGGUCUAAUUUCUUUUCAAAGGCAAUACAACAUUACGAAAUCAAGCAUUCAUUCAUACAAAUAUUUCAUAGUCACCGGUUUGCUGAGUAGAAAAAUUUAGACAAAAACUUAAUAUUAUAUUGUUUAAGAGUUAACAAUUUAGAGCUUAAUCUCCUUGUACUUUGGAGUUAACAAUUUAGAGCUUAAUCUCCUUGUACUUUGGACUAAACUUGAACGUGAAAGGAAAUCCCAAAACCAUAUUGGGCAUGAAUUCACACUUAAUAUACCCAAUAAAAGAUGGCGACUGGUGAAAGGCAGUGGAGACUGGUGGAGAGAUUUGAGGAAUAGAAGCAGACGGAAAAGCAACAAAUUUUUGCCGAAAAACGGUCACUUUCAUGGUUAAUUUUGCUACUCUCCAAUUGUACUUGACCAAUUACAACAAUUUCAUGGAGUUUGAUACGUGAAAAGAAUUUUUUAUAAAUUUUAUUUUGAUCCAUAAUGUUAUCUUUACAUAUAUAAAACAUUUUACAAUUUUGAUUUUGGCGCAGUUAACUUUUGGUAAACAAAAAUGCUCAUGUUUAAAAAACCGGAAAUAAAACAAAACAAGAAACAAAAGAAAUAAGAGGGUAGCAUAGACAUUUUGGAUUUUUCCGUUAAUUUGGAUGAUUUCCACCCACGUUCUAAUUUAAUCCAAAACACAAAGGAAUUACGUAGAGGUUUUAAAUAAUGAGGGAGCUUCAUGAUCGAACCCCAAACCACAAGGCGAUUUACUAUAUUUUACUCUUAAAUUUUGGUUUCAUCUCAUAGCAUACAAGAGUUCUAUUUCACUAUCUGUAGACAAAGACUUUCUAUGGUUGAUGUACCAUAGGAAAAAAUCUGCCUAUACAACGUGAUAGCAUUUUUUCAAAAACACAAGAUGGAAAAUUGCCCCCUUAAACGGGGAAAUUCAUGAUCUUUCCUCGAACAAAGAAUACUCACGCCUAUUCAAGAUGGAAAAUUGCCCCCUUAAACGUCUAUUUGUCAAUUCUUGAAAAAAGAAUACUCACGCCUAAAACACGGCCUCUUCAUCUGCAGAAUUCUAAAAAGUUAGGUAAACUCUAUAAACAAGUUGAUAGGUACAAUCGUACCCAAGAUCAAGUACAGAUAGUUGUACAUUCACUGCUGCAAUAACUAAUCUGAUGACUUACAAACAUAUCAUGGUCAAUCGUUGAAUGGUAAUGAGUCUUUUGUUAUGCAUUAGUAUUAGUGUGUACACUCUAAUAGAUUGAUACUUAUACUCUUUAAAUUAUCAUAAUAAUACCCUUAAUUAACUUUAACUCUUAAAAAGAAUACGUGUUAAUACACGAGAGUGUGUAACCUGAAUUGUUACUUAUACAUUAGUGUGUAAUAGAUAGGGAUGGCAAUGGGGGCGGGUGCCCGCAGGCAACCGCCCCGCGGGGGGCUCUCGGGGCGGGGAGGGGGGAAUUUUUUCCCCCCGUUUAGAAACGGGGCAGGGGACGGGGGAGUAUACCCCCGCCCCAUCCCCCGCAAAAAAAAUUAUAUAUAUAUAAUUAUAUAUAAUAUGUAAUUUAAUUAGUUAUAAACUUAUGAUAAUGAUAUUAUUAGUUAGAUGUAUUAUAUAAUGUAUAUUAGUGUAUGUAAUAUAAUUAAUAUUAUCAAUUAUACGAAUAAUUAGACAUGUCUACUAAUAGAAUUUAUUAAUUAGUUAUACUAAAUUUACUAAUACAUUUAUACUAAAUUUCUAAUUACAUUUAAUAGAAUAACACUUUUUUCUAAAAAAAAAAGCACAAACACAAUAAUGAAUUAGUGAUUGUAUUUUUACCAAAAAUGAAAACUUAACUAUUUUAGUUGCAUUUAUUUCAUCAUGUUGGAUUGUAUUCAAAUAAUUUUUGUUUGAUUGUUUUUAUGAGUUUCAAUUGUAAAAUUAAAAUGAAUAAUAACUUGAUGAAUAAUAAUGUCAAUCGUUGAAUGGUGUGUACACUCUAAUAUUAUGCAUUAGUAUUAGUGUGUACACUCUAAUAGAUUGAUACUUAUACUCUUUAAAUUAUCAUAAUAAUACCCUUAAUUAACUUUAACUCUUAAAAAGAAUACGUGUUAAUAACUCUUAACCUGAAUUGUUACUUAUACAUUAGUGUGAAAUAGAACGGCAAGCAUUGAGCAACUUAUAGGAGAAAUAGUCCUAUAAGCUGUUGGAUGACUAAUAUAGCUCUAGCUGUAAUGUUUUAAUUAAAUUACAUCACUAACGUUGGGAUGACUAAUGGUUUAAAAAUAAUUGAGUAAUUGGAAAAAAAAAAAGAGACUAAUUUUCAUUGAAACCCACCGACAAACUAAACGUGUCCAUGGCUUUUGAAUAGUGCAUUCAACGUUUAAUUGUAUAGUCCAGUUCAUUGCAGAUUACAUGGAGUAAAGAUUGUGCUCUUUCCUUUUUCACCCCUUUUGGAAUCGAUACUGUGGAGAAUUGGGUUUUUCCCUUCUUUUUUUCUUUUCUUUCUUUCUGUGCUUUGCAAAACAUAGGUAAAAUUAUGAAAUCCGAAGCAUUCUUUAAUUGGGAUUAAGUAUUGUUCUUGAAAUUAAAAAGAAGAAAGAAAGAACAACAAAAUUCCCUGAUUGGUUGCAUCGUGCUUCCAUAGAAGCUCUCUUAGUGUGAUACACUGCUUUCAAUCAGUUUAACAUGGAAAAAAGAAAGAGAUGAAAAGCAAAUUUGGUGGGGAUAAUUUCAGAAACCUCCCCUGAAGAUUUUGACUAUUCUACUGGUCUCCCUUCAGAUUUUAAAAAUUACACUAAUCUUCCUUGAAGUUAUAACAUUUAAAUUCAAUCAAUAAUUUAAAAAAUGAUAUUAUGAAAGAGAAAAUAAUAUGAUUUUAUCAUUGCCCCCCAUCUUACUACAUUAUUUAAUUAAUUUAAUAGCAACCCACACAUUAAAGAAAAAUAUAAAAUUUGUUAUUUAUCAUUAAAGAUCAAAUCGCUUAUAACAUCAAAUAAUAGUAUAUUAUUUAUAUUUUUCACUUAACAUAAUAUCCAAAUUACUCUUUUCAAUUACAUACUCAUUGUUAGACAAUCAACAACAAAUAACCAAAAAAUUUGCAACCAAAAUAUUACAAAAAAAAAUAAACUUUAACAUCAUAAAUAUUCUUAUCAACAUAUUAAAGUUAGUUACUGAAAUUUUUAUGGUGUUAAACUUCACUCUUUGUAAUAUUUUGGUUACAGAUUUUUUUUGAUUAUUUUUUAUUAAUUAUGUUUGAUGAUGGGUUUGUAAUUGAAAAGAAUAAUUUAAAACUUACAUUAAGUGAAAUAUAUAGAGUGAUAUACUAUUUUUUAUAACAUAUGUGAUUCAAUCCUUCUUGAUAGGAUUGGUAAUAGAGGUAGAGGGGGGAGUCGGCUGCAUCCGGUCUUCUUUUCAUAGAUAGUACAAUAUUGCGAAAUCAAUCGCAUUCACACAAUAAUAUUUCGAAGUCAAUGCAUGGCUAAGUUGCAUAAAAGUACGAACACUUGUUAUUAUAUAGCUUAAGAUUCAAAACUUUAGAGCAUAACCCUCCACCUAACACAAUUGAAUAAUGAAUAUUCACGUUUGUCAAAUCUGUCAAAGCACAGUUUGAGGACAACCCAUUCCAACCUGCAAAAGAUUUUUUACUUUUCUAAAGUUGUUGAGAGCUGUAAAAAGACCUACCAUGCUUACAUCCUCCGAGCCUUGGGAGUUAAAAAUGAAGGCACUGAGUGCUAUAAAAAGGGGGCUAGAGGCUGCCUAGAAGCAUAUCAGCCUAAAACAAGAAUUUGUUGUUAUGAUGGGAAGCAAAGCAAAAGCAAUGGGGUCUGGGCUGACUCCUCUUCUUGCCACUGUUUUAGUGGUAUUUGUUGCUCUUGGCUUGCCCUCAGAAACAGCAGCUGAUGAUCACUACAAGUAUUCAUCUCCUCCUCCUCCUUACCACUAUCCCUCACCACCGCCUCCAGUGCAUUUACCUCCACCAGUGUACAAAUACAAGUCCCCACCACCACCUCAUCAUGUUUACAAGUACAAAUCUCCACCACCCCCACCACCACACCCAGUUUACAAGUAUAAGUCACCACCACCACCUCCUCAUCCGGUACCACACCCAGUUUACAAGUAUAAGUCACCACCACCACCUCCUCAUCCGGUAUACAAGUAUAAGUCUCCUCCGCCACCACCACACCCAGUUUACAAGUAUAAGUCACCACCACCACCUCCUCAUCCGGUACCACACCCAGUUUACAAGUAUAAGUCUCCUCCGCCACCAGUUUACAAAUAUAAGUCUCCUCCACCACCACCUCCAGUGUACAAGUACAAGUCUCCACCACCACCAGUUUACAAGUACAAAUCACCACCACCUCCUCCCCCAGUUUACAAAUACAAGUCUCCACCACCACCAGUUUACCACUACAAGUCACCACCACCUCCUCACCCAGUUUACAAGUACAAAUCUCCUCCACCACCAAUUUACCACUACAAGUCACCACCACCUCCUCCCCCAGUUUACAAAUACAAGUCUCCACCUCCUCCUCACCACUACUAAGCAAUUGCUUCUGAGGUAAUAACACUUGUUCAAUAACACUUGAUAGCCAGCUGAAUAUUUGCAGGCAAAGGAGAAGGAAACCAGUGUUUGAGACCUUCUUGAAGAUGUAGAAGCAUAAGAAUUAAAGCCCAAUGUGAAGAUGAUGAUUUCAAGUUUUUCUACGUUACCAUUUCAAUAUCUAAAUUGGUUGUAGCGCCUUAGUUCCUUUGUUUAUGGGAUUUGUAUCGUUUUACGUACCAUGCAGUACAUGUCAUGUUUGUAAGGUUUUCUAUCCUGCCGGCAAACCGCAGGUUCCAUGUAAUAAAUCAAUACUAUUUAUAUUACGACACUUUUCUCUGUUUCUCUUAUAUUUUGUCUUUAAUAUUCUUAAUCAUAUUUUUAACAAAAAUAUUCAAACACUUCAGCAAUGGUUCACCUAGUUGAUCAUCGAAGCAGAGGCAAUUCCAAUUAUUUAUCAAUAAAUAGGAUAUAACUACCAAACAAGCGAUGGCAGUUAACCCCUCCUUACUGUGUCGGUGAUCAAGGUACGCCCGUUAAUCACUGCUCUAAUUGAGAAAUAAUCCUAAGUACGCCCGUAGAAUUUAAUUCCCCAAUUGCCUUACAUAUUAGAGGAGCCCUAUUCUAACCAAAUAACGCACUAUCAGGGUUAUUUUAGAUUAGCCCGCGUAUUCCCCUGACAUAAAUCUAAUCAUGCCAGUUGUCAUUAUUUUGAGGUAAUUAAACAAUUACGGAUUUAACACCUCAAUUGACAAUAGAUUAUUAAAUUAAUUAAUUAUUCGGAUCCAAGACAAUCAAUUAAUUAAACAACCAUAAGCACUACAAUCAGAGAAUAUGCAAAUACCAAUAAAUAAAUAAAAAAUAAAAUUAAAUCGAUCUCACAAUUUUUAGGCGAAUCAGAGCAUCCGUUGUCCCUUGACUAGAGCAAGGAAAUUAGUUCAUAUUUGAUGAACUAAACCCAUACAAAAGGGAAGCGAGAAAUGCAGCCAUUAUCCUUUGAAAUCUGGAAAAUUCAACUUGUCCGAAUAUCGAAUAGAUAGUAAUACUACAAAAGGUAAUUCAUAGCUUCCCUUUCGUCUGACACACAAGAAGAAAAAAAAGGGCUGCUAAUAACUAAAGGAGGAAAAGUCAAAGUCCUAAGCUAUGCUACAAGACGAAAAACUAAAGAAGACAAAAAGGCAGUGCUCAUUCCCUGCAAUCUCAAUUCCUAUUCUAUCUAAGUGCUCUCCAAUGUGCGGCGGCUCCCCUUCCGGAGAGGACGAAGUGGCACCCUUUUUUCCUGCGCAAUUUUCCUAUAUAAAGUAGUGCUCCUUGCAGCGGCUCCUGUGCGAAAAAAUGAAGACUUCGGCCCAAUUUGCCUAACAAGGGCUCACGUUUUGUUGUUCUAAAAAUGUCCCUAGGACAAACUCUAUCAUCUGAACUCUUUUCUUGCCAAAUUAGUACCUGUUAUUAUAUUUUCGUUCUACUCCCUGAAAUAAAUGCAAAAUAUCAAAAGUGAGUAGAAUCUAGCAAUUAAUCCACAUUAGGUCAGGUAAUAGGGAAAAUUAAUAAUAAAAUAAAUGAUAAAAUUGCAAUCUAUCACGGGACCACUGUGGUAAGGUGUGUUUCGCCUAUUAUAAGGAGUUCGGAGAGUUAGACGUGUUGGAGGCGGAGGCGCGGUCACUCCUGCACGCCCUCCAGCUGUGUGCAGAUCGCGAGGUACGGGCGUUGACUGUAGAAUCUGAUUCAAAGGUGCUUGUUCAACUAGUUUGCUCGGAUAUGAGGUCGAAGUGGCCGGUGUGUAUCGUAUUGCGGGAAAUAAGACAUUUGAUCCGGCGGAUGGGUGCAUCCCUUCAUCAUAUAUUCCGUGAGGCCAAUUCGGUGGCGGACGCAUUGGCUUCUCUGCAAUUGGGAGGGCAGCAGUACUACACCUCAGGCGUGGCGCUGCCUUUCAGGCCCAGAGGAGAGGCUCUGCUGGAUCGUCAAGGAGUACCUCGCAUCCGUGAGGCGCUCACUAAGGUUUGAUAGGCUAUGUCCUCCUUUCAAAAAACUUAUUUCAUCUACUCCUUGUAAUCAUUUUUCUUAUCAAUAAAUUGAGGCUUUUUAUUUAAAAAAAAACAUAUAAUUUAAGGCAAAAAUAUGAUCCUAGCGAGUAUCGCACUGAGACAUUAGGAAACAUCAUUAAAAGAGUAUUUCUUGAGUUAGUGCAACUAUUUCUUAGGGGAAUUUAUAGUUACAAAAUUCAAAAAUUUGAGAUUCUAUUACUGAUUAAUUAAGGGCGUUAUCACUAUUUUUCUUAUUAUCACCAUUAUUUACCCCACAUACUAUAAGUUUUUUUAGGGCACAGGAAAAGAGGUGGGCCGAUGUUUAGUUAUGUACAAAAGUUCAAAAUUUGUAGAUAACUUAUCAUGUGCCCUUAGAGCGUAGAAUACAGAAAAAAUAUCUUAAACUAUAACUAAUCCUAAUAUUUUUCUCUAUGAUAAACUAGCUCUUAUCCAUUUCUUUAGAUGAUGAAAGGAAAUAGUUAGUCACCUGUCCUCUAGUGAUUACAACAGCAUCAAAACAAAUUAGCACUCUUUUCCCGUAGUUUAAAAAUCCCUCAGCCACUAAGAUUUUGCAUGUCGAACGAAUUAAGGAACAUAGAAGGUUCGUGCUGCACCACAGUGUCCUUGUUGACGAUGCAAAGACAGAAAUGCAUCCGCGUAUACUUCCUUAAGCAUUUUGAUUACUUUAUGAUUCGAACUUUUCUUGUCUGACAGCUGGACUUAAUUGAAAAACACAAGUAACAAUAUUUCAAAGUUGAUUCGUCAAAGUUUACCCAAUUGGUGAAACUUUCUUCAUAGAGCUGACUUUGUAUUAGGUGACAAUGAUAUGGAAUUGAUGUCCUUCCCUUUUUCCUUUUUUUGUGUUGAAGACGCACAACGUUUUCAAUGGCAAAUUUAUAUGGGCUUUUCACGACAAAAUGUGUUCUGAAAAGUUCAUUCCAGAGGUUAAAAUUUUGUGUGUUAAAAAUUUGCUUCUCAGGACUUUGAUGGGAAAGUCUUGGUGUUUCCAAAAAGUUUAAGCAGGAUGCUUCUGGCUUUCUCUCCAUGUAUUUGUGAGUUAGAUCUAAAAUUAUCAGGGCUCCAGAGAUCUCUUGAAAUCGCAGCAUAUAUUGAAGUCUUUCCAGAAGGAGUCUUUUUUUUUUUUUUUAUGAAUUAUGAUAGAUAAUUAAUCUGACGGUGCAUAUAUAUAUAUAUGUGAUUUGCAGUAGGGUGUUUGACGAAAUGGUUAGGCUUCCUAAGUAAUGAUAGGAAUGCCAUUUGCAAAGAAGGACAGGGGGCUGGUGCUGUCAUAUUUUAUGCGAUUUGAUCCGUUGUUGUAUAAGUUUAAACUUUUGACGUGCAAUUGUGCUAUAAUAUUAUACUAAAUAUAUGUGUGAAAUAUUUUGUCUAUAUACAUCACUUUUAUCAUGAAUACAACAGCUGAGUAUAAUAAUAUAGUAUAAUGUAAUUGUACACCAAAUAAUGUAGCAAAUAUAACAAUUGAUCCGAAUUACACGGAACCAUAACAACAAGAUCACCGCCUCCCAAAUUUUACAAAAUUAGGUUUUUUUUUUUUCUCUUAGAUUAUUGAAAAUUUUCAAAAAUAAUCUACAUAAUUUAAGCUUUUGUCCUACAAAAAUUUGAAGAGAUUUUACAUUACAAGCUUAAGCUUAGAUAUAUUAAACUUUGCCCCCAAGAUUAAUUUUCCGUUUUUAUCUAUGAACCGAUCCAUAUAGCUAGUUAGACUGUAGUCCUCACAUUUGUGGGAUUUAACACCCAAGAUUCUCCUUCUUGGAAUGUAAAAUGUAGAUCUUCUAUGUUAAUAAUUCAAGACCCUACUGUCAUAAACGAAAUGACUGAUCAACUCCUGUAAACCUAAUUUGACAACAUUUAAAUGGAGAACUUUAGCUAAAAGAAUUAUGGUCAAGCUAAAGAAAAAGCCAGUUAUUUUCCAACAUAUGCAAUCAUUGAUCAGGAAAAAAAAAAAAAAGCAAAAAGACAUCUUCAAUCAUUUAAUAGCUCACAGUGCAAAUUAACCCCUAAGCGAAAACUGGUUGCUCUAGAAUCAAAAUUUUACCUUAGUUACCCAGGCAACUUUUUUGUUGCUUUUUUUUUUUUCUUUUCCUUUUUGGGUAUAUAUAUAGCUCCAGUUUUGCCCCCUCUGUCAAGCUUAUAUAAUUAUUAAGAUAAUAAAAGUGCCUUGAAUAGUAUUAAUAUAUCCAUUGACUUGAGCUGUCAUCGAUCGGUUUGGGCUACUUCGAUUCCAUGAGAACAAAUGGUAAUAAAAGUACUCAGAAAAUAGGGAGCCAUGAAACCCUUUUGUUCUAUUCAUUGCUAAGAUGCUUUUCUCUAUAAAGAGACUUCCUAACGAAAGUACUUUGUAGAUUUCUUUACUCCAAGUGGUGCAUGGAAAAUUAAAAUAUUCAAUUAUCAAAUAAAAUUCCCUUUUUUCGGUGUAGAUUUCAUCCAUCCAGCUGUUAACACAUUUUAUGUAUCCGAAUUAUAUAUUCUCUACCAAAUAUUGUAACUUUUCUGAGCAUCUUUACAUUUUUAUUCCCACCUAACAAAUUAGUUGUUGAGCAUCUUUACAUGCUAUCGGAUCACAAGUUAAUAAUCUUUUAAAGAACAUGUUAAAUUAAUUUAUUGGUAUGAAUAGUCAAAGAAGUAUAUUAAAGUUAGUAAUCUUUAAACACCACGAUGCAAUUAAUACUUUCAAGCUCAAGGUCUUUUUUUUUUUUUUUUUUGGUACUGUACUUCCUUGCUUUAUAGUAUGCACGUUUAUUUCUGUGGAUUGCUUAAGCUUAUAUUGUUAAUAAUUGGGCAUUUAACCAUAAAUUAUAAUGAUUAUGAAGUCAUAUAUAUAUAUAUAUAUAUAAGAAAAUUACCACAAUUAUUCAAUUUUUUUUGCAAAUUCAAAUUUUAUUAAUAAGAAAUAGGCAGUAAGCUUUUACAAACGGAAAAAAAAAAUCCUACAACAACUCUAGGACCUUUGAAAGAAAGAAAAAAAAAAGAAAAGAAAAGCUUAAGGACUCUACCUCAUAGAAGCUAAACAAUCCUACAAAUAAACUGCAAAAUAAAUCACAAUAACGCAAAAUUUUUGUCUUUCUUCCGUAUGAAAUGAAACUACGAAGUCAAGAAUUGACUCCUUUAACCGCUAUUGCCAGCGGGCUCCGUCAGCAAGAUACAACUUUGCAAUUUGAUUCAAUAGAAAUCCUCAAAUAGCUAUUUUGACAGGCAAAUUAAGCAUUAAUUUUGGUAUCCCUUCAUAAAAUACAAGAGUACUUUUGAUUAUAUCUAUAGAUCAACUUUCUAGGCUAUUUUGAUGUAUUAUAAGAAAAUCUGCCUCAACAAUUUUGAUAGCAUUUUUCCAAAAGCAGAAGAUGGAAAAUUGCCCAUUUGUACUGGGGAGUUCGUGAUCUUUUCCUCCUUCUAGUCUACUUACAAUUCUUGGAAAAAGGAAUACUCACAUCUCAAACAACUGCCUGUUCAUCUGCAAUGUCCUGCCGAAUUCUAGAAAGUUAGGUGGCAAUGCUAAUUACAUUUCAAAAUUGACUGCUGCGAUGACUAAUUCGAUGGCUUACUACAUGGUCAACGUUUGGAUCCCUUCCUGUCCUUUUUGGAUGCACAUUUUUUUUCUCUAGGCAAUAUAUAAUCUCCCAACUCAUUUCUUUACAAAUGCACCUUUAAUCACCACCAAAAGGUGUGGACAUGAUCUUUACCCUAGAAAACUAAUCACCGACAGGCAAAUUGACGUCAGAAAUACUAAGAGGAAUUCUAGUUUCCUUCGGGUUAAUGCCAUUUUGUACCCUUCAACUGUAACUCGAUUUCUAAACUAUAAUUUGUGACAUUAUAGUCCUUAAACUAUGAAACCCCUCUUACUUAAGUACAAUGGUUAAUACAAUACCCGUGACUAGACAAGCAACCAUAACAAAAAAAAAUCCAAAAUUAGAGAAAAGAAAGAAGUUUCGCGACCAAAGUAUGUAUCAAGGCAUAGUAUAGAAAUAAAAGUGUCCAAAUUAAGAGUUUAGGGAUAAAAGAGAUCAAGAUAUAGUUUAGGGAUUGAUUUGUCUCAAUUAGAGUUUUGAUGUCAACUAAGAAGAGAGAUAUAGUUGAAGGGUAGAAUAUAGAUAUAACAGUUCAAUGAUUGAUAUCAACGAGACAAUGACAACUUUGGAUUAUUACCAACCUCUUCUUGAUGGGAAAAGGAAAUAGAGAAGAAAGUCGGGCCUGGUCUAAGCCUGCUUCGGAGGCAAAACAACAUUAUGAAAUCACCGGCAUUCACACAAAUAUGUCAAAGUCACCGGCAUGCUAAGUUGCAUAAUUUAUACAAACACUGAAUAAUAUAUUGUUCUUAAAAUUUUUGUUUAAGAUUUAACAAUUAGAGCACGGUACACGAAUUAGCAAUAUUAAAUAAUGAAUGUUCACGAUUGAUAAAGUUAUCAAAGUACAGUUUGAGGACAACCCAUUCCAACGUGUACAAGAUGUUUAGCCUUUGAAAAGUUAAUUAGAGAAGGUGACGAGAUUUUACUAGGCUUAAAUCUUCUAGGCCUCGGAAGUAAAAAAUGAAGGCCUUUGAGUGCUAUAAAAAGGGGGCUAGAUGUUGCCUAGAAGCAUAUCAGCCUCAGACCACAUUUUGUAGCAAUGGGGAGCAAAGCAAAAGCAAUGGGGUCUAGGCUGACUCCUCUUCUUACCACCGUUUUAGUGGUAUUUGUUGCUCUUGGCUUGCCUUCAGAAACUGUGGCUGAUUACUACAAGUAUUCAUCUCCUCCUCCUCCUUACCAUUAUUCCUCACCACCACCUCCUGUGCAUUCACCUCCACCACCGCCAAUUUAUAAGUCACCCCCACCACCUUACCACUACUCCUCACCGCCACCUCCAGUGUAUUCAUCUCCACCACCACCUUCGCCAGUUUACAAGUCUCCGCCACCACCUUACCAUUAUUCGUCACCACCGCCUCCGGUGCAUUCACCUCCACCACCACCUGUUUACAAGUCACCUCCACCACCUUCGCCAGUUUACAAGUCUCCGCCACCACCUUACUAUUAUUCGUCACCACCGCCUCCGGUGCAUUCACCUCCACCACCACCGAUUUACGAGUCACCUCCACCACCUCCUCCAGUUUACAAGUCUCCGCCACCACCUUACCAUUAUUCCUCACCACCACCUCCAACGCAUUCACUCCCACCACCAGUUUACAAAUCACCGCCACCACCUCCUCCUAUGUAUAAGUCCCCUCCACCACCUUAUCAUUAUUCCUCACCACCACCUCCAGUGCAUUCACCCCCACUGCCACCAAUUUACAAGUCUCCGCCACCUCCAAUCUACAAGUAUAAGUCACCACCACCUCCUCCCCCAAUUUACAAGUCACCACCACCACCUCCUCCAGUAUAUAAGUCCCUACCCCCACCAGUGUAUAAGUACAAGUCUCCACCACCACCUCCUCCAGUAUACAAAUCACCUCCACCACCUCCUCCAGUUUACAAAUCUCUACCACCACCAAUUUAUAAAUACAAGUCUCCUCCACCACCUCCUCCGGUUUACAAUUCCCCACCACCACCAAUCUACAAGUCUCCACCUCCACCCUCCCAUUACUACUACAAUUCUCCUCCUCCUCCUCCUCAUCACUACUAAGCAAUUGUAUCCAAGUUUUUGAGGUAAUAAUGCUAAACCAAUAUAUUAACUUUCGCAUGAUAAACUUUAUCUCUAUCAAGACAAACUGCCAUGUGCAUCAAGCCAAAUACGUACACUUCGAUCCAUGAAAAUGACAAGUAGAAGGUUUUCUUAAGAACCAAGGAACAGCAUUAGUAUUCCCUCUGUUUCCAAAACUUGUGUAUUAAAUAGAUUAAUGAAUUGUUUAACAUGCUUAUCUACUUGAAAAUGCACAAUACCCAUAACCCACUGAAAUUUUUGCAGGUAAAGGGGAAGAGAAUCUGUGUUUGAGAGCUUCAUGAAGAUGUUGAAGAAUAAGAAUAAAAGCCCAAUGCGAGGAUGUUUUCAAGUUUUUCUAUGUUUCCACUUUAAUUUGUAAAUUGAAUUUUUCGACUUAAUUAAUUCCCUGUUUGUGGGGUACGUAUUGUUUUACGUACCAUGCCGUACAUGUUUGUAAGGAUUUCUAUCCUAUUGGCAAAAGUCGGUUCCAUACAAUUAAUCAAUUCAUUUCACUUCUAUUGGCUCUACUAUUUAUGCACGUUACGACAUUUUUUCUCUCUUUCCCUUAUAUUUUGUCUUUAAUAUUAUUGAGUCAAUAGUAAUACUGGGCCAUUUUUUUUAAAACUUAUACUAGUAUACAUAGGUAGUUUGGUCUAACGCCAAAUUCAUGUUUGUCUUUCUUUUAUUCCCUUUACAUUUCAAAGUAUACUAUAGUUUGUGAUCAUUGUGGUGAUGAUAUUACCAGCUGGUACUUAUAGUUUAAGGCAGAGACAUGAUAUUAACAACUAUCUCAUUGAAACAUAAGGAAAAAUCAUGACAAGUGUGAGUCUUGGUUAAUGCACAAUUUGUUAGUGGAAUUUAUAUUUAUAAAACUCAAAAAAAAAAUUUUGACAAUGCUAUUACUAAUUAAUUAAGGACUUUAUUGCUAUAAUUUAUCGCUUGCUAGUUUAAACUAUAAAUGAUCUCAAUACUUUUCUCCAUGAUGUCGAUUUCUUUAGAUACGAAAGGGAAAAAUUAGUGACAUAUCCCUUACUGAUUACAACAUCAGCAAAAAUUAGUUAUAAACUUUUCCGGUGGUUUUAAAUCCCCGGGCCCUAAGAUUUUUUGCUCAUCGAGUGAAUUAAGGAACAUAGGCAAUUCAUUUUGCAUACCAAGUCCUUGUUUAAGAUGCAAGUACUAAAAUGCAUCCACUUCAUUAAUUUGGGAAAUUGCCAUAGUUUUUUUAAGCAUUUUGAUUUUUUACAUGAUUUAAAAUUUUCUUAUUGGAUACAAUCACUUUGUAUCAAGAACACAUUUUCAAUCACCUUUUUUUAUCUUCUCAAUGAGAAAAUAAAAAUUUAUUCAUGCUUUUCUAACAUAUUCAAUCAUUGAUCUGAAAAUUAAAACAUUAAGAAAAGGACAUUUUCAAACAUUAAGAAGUAGUAUUUUAAAGACCAUGAUGAAAUUAAUACUUUCAAGGUCUCUAUUAGGAAGACUUCCUUUAUUAAUACUCUACUAGGCAGAGUUAUAUGCACGUUUACUGUUUUGGCCUUAAGUUGGGUGCAGAUGCUUAUAUUACAAAUAGAUGGUAUCAAAAAAUUGUUGUAUUCACGUCUGUUCUUUUUUUCUUCCUUAAGUUUUUUUCUUUAUUCUCGUGACUUCGCUAGUGAGGUAUAACUUCACAACUAGAGUCAAUAGAAAUCGUCAAAUGAUUUUUUGACAUCCAAAUUAAGCAAUAAAUUUUGUUUUCAUUUCAUAACAUAUAAUAGUACUACUUCAUGGGAGAUUUUAUAGUUUCUUUAGGGUAUCAUACCUACAAUUGAUAUUUAUCAUUGGAUAGUGAAAGAAGUGUUAAUGUCUCUAAGAUUAAAUAUUGUUAAAUAUUGAAAAUUUGAACUAUUUAUCUCUAUUGAGAGAUACAACUUAAAGAAUCCUACCCAAAAGAGACUAGAAUUUUCUCUGUUUUUCAUCAUCUGUAGACAUAAACUUUCCACGGUUGAUAGCAUUUUUCAUCAUCUAUAAGGAAAUUUUGCCUAUACAAUGUGAUAGCAUUUUUCAAAAAGACAAGAUGGAAAAUUGCCCCCCUUGAACGGAAAAUUGCCCCCUUGUCAAUUCUUUAAAAAAGAAUACCGUCCCGCAGAAUUCUAGAAAGUUAGGCAAAACUAGACAAGUUGACAGGUAUAAUCAGACCCAAGAUCAGGAACAAGCAGUUGCACAUUUCAAAAUUCGCUGCUGCAACAACUAAUUUGAUGACUUACAACACUAAAUGGUCAAACUUUGAAUGGCAAUGAAUCUUUUGUUGUACAUCAUGAUGUAAUUUUCAUGUUACAUAAUAGAUUGAUAUCUAUGUUCUUUAAAUUAUCAUAAUAAUUAAAUUUAACUGAAAAAAAGAACACAUAUCAAUACACAAAAGUGUGCAACGUGAAUGUUAUUUUAGUGUAUUGCAGAAGACCUAUAGUCUCUUCAUAUCUCUUCCUGCACGUAUCAAUUCGUUUCCUCUAGAUAAUAAUCUCCCAACUCAUUUAUUUACAAAUGCACCUUUUAUGUUUUAUUACCUCCAAAAGCCUAAAAAUCAAUUCACCGACUCGCAUUUGGUAUCAGAAAUUCUUAUUACGAAUUCUACUUUACUCAAAGAUUGACUGUUAAUAAUGAGACAACGACCAUUUUGUAUUAUUACACCGUCCUUCUUGAUAGGCAAAAGAAAUAGAGAGGAAAGCGGGUCCGUAUAUGGUCUUUUAUUCAUAGAUAAUACAACAUUACGCCAUCGAGCAUUCACACAAUAUUUCAAAGUCAUUGCAUGCCUAAGGCCUGCUUGAUAAUCUAAUUCCGUACUUAAAUUUAAUAAAUUCAAAUCUUAACACAUUCAAAUCGUUUGAUAACAAAAAAUUGAACAUCUAAAUUAAUUAAGUAACACUGAAUUUUCUAGGCAAAACUUGCUCCCAAAAUUAAGUGAUAAGUUAUUCACUUAUCACUGAAUAUGAUAUGUAUUCAAAUGUAUUAGAUUUAAUACUUAAUAAUUUAAUGAAUUCAAAUUUCAUAUUUCAUAUUUCAGUUUUAUCAAACACACCUUAAGUUGCAAAAUAAUACCAAAACUUGUUAUUACAUAGCUUGAGAUUCAAAAAUUUAGAGCAUAAUUCUCAACCAAACACAAUUGAAUAAUGAAUAUUCACGAGUGUCAAAUCUAUCAAAGUACAAUUUGAGGACAACCCAUUCAAACGCGUACACGAUUUUUAACUUUUCUAAAGUUGUUGAGAGCUGUUGAAAGAGAUUUACCAUGUUUACAUCUUCCAAGUCUUGGGAGUAAAAAAUGAAGCCACUGAGUGCUAUAAAAAGGGGGGUAGAGGCCACUUGAGAUCCUCGGUGACAUGUUUUCUAUGCCAAUCCAAUGCCACCAAUAGUGUUGCGCCAAGUGUCAUGUUAUUAUUUACACUUGUGUUAAACUAAGCCAAGUUGAAUUAUUAGAAAAUUAAAGUGUAAAUAAUAACAUGACACUUGGCGCAAUACUAUUGGUGACAUUGGGUUGGCAUAGAAAAUAUGUCACCGAGGAUCCCAAGUGGAUAGAUGCUGCCUAGAAGCAUAUCAGCCUAAAACAAGAAUUUGUAGUAACAAUGGGGAGCAAAGCAAAAGCAACGGGGUCUAGGCUGACUCCUCUUCUUACCACUGUUUUAGUGGUAUUUGUUGCCCUUGGCUUGCCCUUGGAAACUGCAGCUGAUUAUUACAAGUAUUCAUCUCCUCCUCCUCCUCCUUACCAGUAUUCCUCACCACCACCUCCAGUGUAUUCACCUCCACCAACCCCUGUUUAUAAGUUACCCCCACCAUCUCCUCUAGUUUACAAGUCCUCACCACCACCUUACCACUACUCACCACCUCCUGUGUAUUCACCUCCACCAUCACCAAUUUACAAGUCACUGCCACCACCCCCUCCAGUAUACAACUCCCCGCCUCCACCAGUGUACAAAUACAAGUCCCCACCACCACCUUCUCCAAUUUACAAAUCUCCACCGCCACCAGUUUACAAGUACAAGUCACCCCCACCACCUCCUCCGGUAUACAAGUCUCCUCCGCCACCUGUUUACGAGUACAAGUCUCCUCCACCACCUCCUCCAGUGUACAAGUCCCCACCACCUCCAGUUUACAAGUACAAGUCACCACCACCUCCUCCCCCGGUUUACCAAUCUCCUCCACCACCAGUUUACAAAUACAAGUCACCACCACCUCCUCCCCCAGUUUACCAGUCUCCACCUCCACCCUAUCAUCACUACUACGGUUCUCCUCCUCCUCACCACUACUAAGCAAGUGCAUCUAAGUUUUGAGGUAAUAAUACCGAUCCAAAACUUUAUCAACGCAAACUGCCAUGUAUAUCAUGCUAAGGACGUACACUUGAUCCAUGAAAAUGGCUAGUAGAAGAUUUUUUUUAAGAACCAGAGAAAUACAUUAUUUUUUCGCUCUGUUUUCAAGAAUUUGAGCAGUAUACAGAUUAAAGAGUGUUUUUUUUAAACUUGCUUAUCAACUUAGAAAUGCACAUAGCUGAAAGCCAACUGAAUAUUUGCAGGCAAAGGAGAAGGCAAUCGGUGUUUGAGACCUUCAUGAAGAUGUAGAAGAAUAAGAAUAAAAGCCCAAUGCGAGGAUGAUUUCAAGUUUCUACGUUACCAUUUCUACAUCUAAAUUGACUUUAGCUCCUGAGUUCCAUGUCUAUGGGGUUUGUACUGUUUUACGUACCAUGCAGUACAUGCUUGUAAGGUUUUCUGUCCUGUUGGCAAGCCGCAGGUCCAUAUAAUAAAUGAAUACUAUUUAUAUUACGACACUUUUCUCUCUUUCUCUUAUAUUUUGUCUUUAAUAUUGUUGAUCAUUUUUUUUUUUUAUCAAAAGUAUCAAAUGCUUAGGCAAUUUGGUCUAAUGCUAAUUGUUUUACAUUUAUUUUUCACCUACAUCCCUUUUCAACUCAAAGGAUGCUACAGUUUGUGAUCAUUGUUUAAGACCGAAGCAUGGUACUAAUAAAUAUCUCAUUGAAAGUCAAGGAAACUAACAUUAUGAAAAGUGUAAAUCUUGAUUUGUGAAACUAUUUAUUCGUGGAAUUUAGAGAUACAAAACUCAAAUUGUGACGGUGUUGUUGCUAAAUUAUUUUUUUUUUAUAAUAAAACACAGUUCAUUCAAGGAUUACUGGAAAUCGUCCAGCACAAUUGAGAUACAUUGUUGCCCAGGUGGCAGAUAAAUAUGCACUAAAAUUAUAGAUAUGCAAUUUAACAAAUACAUAAGAUUUGAGAAAUUAAGGACAAAUCUAAAAAGGACCAUAAAUUUGAAAAACAUUUCAUCCUAGAAUAAGUCGCUGCAACUCUCUUUGUGCAUGCUGUAAUCGUCAGAUCUACUAAUCAACAGUUGUAAGGUCCAGUAAAGAUGGUGAGAUCUGCCGAGAUUGAUCCAAAUCUGAAAUAUUCCCUCAGAUCUGCUAUCCAAUUGGUUCAAACUCAAUACUGAAAGUGAAAUCUGAUGAGAAGACUGAAAAAAUUGUAGAUCUAACAUAUAGAUCUAAAAAAACUCCAAGAUUUGAAAAAGUAAAGAAACAAAACUAAAUAAAACUCUCAUUAAGAUAGUUUAGGAGAGACUAAAACUCUCAAUAGGACACCCUAGGAGAGAAGAAAACUCUCACUAGGAUAACCUAUGAGAGACUUUAUUGAAUGAAAGGAAAAGCAAAGGACAAAGGAAGAAGAAGGGAGACCUUGGCUUAAGGCCAAGGUCUCCCUCCUAUGGAGGAGGAAGGGUAGAGGAGGAAGCCUAGAGAGAAGGAAGAGAAUCCCUCCGCUAGAGGGAAGGAAGAGCCUCUGAGAGGGUACCCGUGUUGUUGCUAAAUUAUUAAGGACAUUAUCACCAUUACUUUUCCCUUACUAGUUUCAACUGCAAUGAUCUCAAUCUUUUUGUGACUAAUUCUUUUCUUAAUAAUUUAUAAAUACAAAACUCACAAAGAAUAUGUGACUUAUUCUUUCCUUUCGUCUUCUAAAGAAAAUGCCAACUGUUAGUUUAUCAAGGGAAAAAGGAUCGACAUCAGUUGUUAUUGAAACUAGUAAGGAAUAAAUAAUGGUGAUAAUGUCCUUAAUAAUUUAACAACAGCACCAUCAGAAUUUGAGCUUUGUAUCUAUAAAUUCCACGAAUAAAUAGUUUCAUCAAAUCAAGAUUUACACUUUUCAUAAUGUUAAGUUUCCUUGACUUUCAAUGAGAUAUUUAUUAGUAUCAUGCUUCGGUCGUAAACAACGAUCACAAACGAUAGCAUCCUUUGAGUUGAAAAGGGUAGUGAAAAAGAGAAGUAAAAAAUACAAUUAGCAUUCCCUCAAAUUGUAGAAAGUUAGGUAGCAUUAUAGACAAGUUGAUAGCCGUAAUUAUACUAAAAAUCAGGCAAAAGCCAGCAAUUUUACAUUUCAAAAUUCACCUAUUCAAUAACUAAUUCGAUGGCUUGCUACAUGGUCAAAAUUCACCACAUAUCCCUUUCCUCAAUCAGGGGCUUCUACAAUUACCAGUUCCAAUUGUAUGGUAUAGUGUAAAUAUCAACAAAUUAGAUGUAGACACUAAUAUAAUAAAUAUGGAUGCUAAGGCAACAACAUACAAAAACAUAAUAAAUUUUGGCAUUCCUUAAAAAAUUACGUCCCCAAAUCAAUCUCAUACACCCAAUUUCUAAUUUAUUUAACUCAUUCCGUCUAUUAACUGCACCAUACAAUCCAACCUGCAAUUGCAUGAACCCCAAUCUCGCUUCCUAGUCCACCAUUUUUCUCUAGGUAAUAAUCUCCCUUCUAAUUUCUUCACAAAAUGCACCUUUCAUCACCUCCAAUAGCGUCGACAUGAUCUUUACCCUAGAAGACUAUUCACCGACUCCCAAUUGACGUCAGAAAAUCUAAGAGUAAUUCUACUUUACCCUAAGAUUGAUAUCAACUAGACAAUGACAAUUUAGAAUUAUUACACGCCUCUUCUUAAUAGGAAAAAGAAAUAGAGAAGAAAGUCAGGCCAGGUCUAAUUUCUUUUCGAAGGCAAUACAACAUUACGAAAUCAAGCAUUCAUUCAUACAAAUAUUUCAUAGUCACCGGUUUGCUGAGUAGAAAAGUUUAUACAAAAACUUAAUAUUAUAUUGUUUAAGAGUUAACAAUUUAGAGCUUAAUCUCCUUGUACUUUGGACUAAACUCGAACGUGAAAGGAAAUCCCAAAACCAUAUUGGGCAUGAAUUCACACUUAAAUAGACCCAAAAAAAGAUGGCGACUGGUGAAAGGCAGUGGAGACUGGUGGUGAGAUUUGAGGAAUAGAAGCAGACGGAAAAGCCACAAAUUUUUGCCGAAAGAGGGUCACUUUCAUGGUUAAUUUUGCUACUCUCUACUUGUACUUGACCAAUGACAGGUUGUCAGUCUGUGCAAUAAUAAAAACCUGUUCAAACUAAAAGUAAUUUCUGUAGAUAGUGGUAAGCAGGGUCGAAUCCACAGGGAUUAGGUGUAACUGUUUCUUUUCAAAUUCACAAUAACAAAGGGGGUGUUUUUAUGCAGAAUGUGACAAUCAAAGAAAUUCAAUUAAAAGUAAAAUAAUAAAAAUAAAAUAGCCAACUAGAAAUUAAAUAACAAUUUACUAAAAUCAAAUGAGUGAUAAUUAAGGAUCUAGCCAAGGAAUAACUUCAGCAGUGGUUCACCUAAUUGAUCAUUGGAACAAAGGCAAUUCCAAUUAUUUACUAAUAAAUAGGUUAUAACUGCCAAACAAGCGAUGACAGUCAAUCACUCCUUACUGUGUCGGUGAUUAAGGUACGCCCGUUAAUCACUGCCCUAAUUGAGAAAUAAUCUUAGGUACGCCCGUAAGAUUUAAUUUUCCAAUUGCCUUACAUAUUAGAGGAGUGUCAGGAACAAGGAAAUAGAAUGGGACGUCGUUUAAUGCAAAGGGUUGUGCGUUUAAGGCCUUAGAAGCAAUACUACGUCGUUCUAAUAACAUAGGCGGUGCUGGUGUGAUAGGCCAAGUUAGUUGAGGGUCAAUUACAUAAAUAGCCUUCUGUAACAGAUUUUUGGUUAUGUUUUUGAAUGAAAAGUAUCUCGCUGCUUUCUCUCUCUUGUCUGUUAUUUCCCUCCCUUUUCUUCUUUCUCUCUUCCCUCUUCUUAAUCUUGUUUCUUUCUUCUGAUUCUUCCCCCAAAUUCAAUACAAUUCCAGAAAUUAACCUGCAAGUCUGACAUUUGGUAUCAGAGCGGUCGAUUCUUGGCCGCGAAGGUAUCAGAAAUGGCUGAGAGCACGCGAUUCAGGACACUGGAGGAGCAACUCAAGAAGCAGGAGAAUCGGUUGCAAGAACUGGCGGAAUCCAUGGCUGCACUGCAGAGUACGAGUUCCGAGGAGUUGCGGCAUAAGCUACAGGCGGAAAUGGAGCAGAACAAUGCAAAAUUGGACGCGGUGGUGGGAAGUCUGGACCAGAAGUUCAAUAAAAUGGAACAGAGACUCAGUACAGUGUUGAAGCUGCUGAUGAAGGAGAAAGGUCUCCCUGAUGUCGAAGGAGGAAUUUCUGAUCCAAUCUUGCCGACUCCUCCAUCUCAUCUGAGGUUAGCAUCCUCAGUCGAAGGGAUUGGGCACCAACAAGAGUACAGAGGUAGGCAAUUCACUCCUAAUGUACCUCGAUUAGAACUGCCAAUGUUUAACUCUGGAAACCCUAGGGAAUGGACCAGGAAAUGCCAGAAAUAUUUUUUGAACUAUCAGAUAGCAGAGAGUCAAAAGGUAGAGGUAGCAGAGAUGUUUUUGGAAGGUAGAGCUGACAAUUGGUUUCAAGGAGUGAAAUUGGUGAGGCCAGGGUUGUCUUGGGGGGAAUUUAGUGAACUUUUGUGUGAAAGAUUUUCUGGAAGUAGUUCUCGUGACAUUGUGGAGGAAUUUAACAAGUUACAGCAGAAAGGAACUGUUGAGGAAUAUGAGGAGAAAUUUGAAGAACUAAAAGCUCUAAUGCUGAUGAAAACCCCCAGGUUGGAUGAACUUUACUUUGUUUCCAGUUUUAUUAGUGGCCUCAGGGAAGAAAUUAGACCUAUGGUGAAGAUGUUUAAGCCUCAAACACUGAUGAAGGCCUUUGAAGUUGCGGAGUUGCAGGAGUGUUCCCUGGAAAUCCAAUCGAAACAAAACAGAACUUCAAGGAGGACAGCAAUGGAACCCAAGUUUGGAAUGUAUAAGGGCACUACGAGUGAUUAGGGUCGCCAAAAUUCAUAUAAGUUGCCUGGAGUCACUCCUGUCUCCAGGAGGACUAAUGCAGUACACAAGGAAUUUAGUAAGAUAUCAGCGGAGGAAAUGCAGUAUAAGCGUAAGCACAGCCUGUGCUAUAGGUGUGGAGAGAAGUUUGGAAUAGGUCAUCAGUGUAAGAAAGGAAGUCUGAACUGUGUGAGCACUGAGGAAGAGGAGGACACUGAAUUUGAGGAUGCGGAAGGGGAACAGGAUGAGUUAACAGGAAGGGUCGGGGAACUUGCAGAAGUCUCUUUGAAUGCUUUAUCUGGUGCCAUAAGGAGGAAAUCCAUCCUGUUGAUAGGGAACUUAGGGGGGCUUCCAGUCAAAAUUUUGGUGGACACAGGCAGUUCUAACAGCUUCAUUCACCACAGGAUUGUCAACCUACUGCAUCUACCAUAUCAGGCAGUCAGUCCAUUUACUGUGACUCUAGCAGAUGGAACUGACAUUACCAGUGGAGCCAUCAGUCCCAGCGUGUCUUGGUUAAUUCAGGACUAUCAAUUCCAAUUUGACUUAAAAGUAAUGGAAUUAGGGGGAUGGGAUAUAAUUCUGGGGGUGGACUGGAUGUGCCAGUAUAGUCCCAUUACAUUUGAUUUCCACUCUCUUAGCAUUGCCCUUAGUGAUAGGGGUUCUUUACUACACCUCCAAGGACUUGUGAAGCAACCUACUAUGGAACUGGUGAGGGGCAGGGAUCUCAGCUCGUUUAUACAGGAGAAGCAAAGAAACUGUGCAGCCAUGCAUGCUGAUAGGGCCAGGGAAACAGGAGAGCAGCUUCCAAAAGCUAUAGAAAGGAUCCUGGAACAGCACUCUCAGGUUUUCUCCACCCCAACAGGAUUACCCCCAGAGAGGGAAUUGGACCAUCAGAUCAACCUCAAACCAGGAGCUGAACCCUUCAAGCUCAAACCUUACAGGUACCCCCACUCACAUAAAGCAGAAAUUGAAAAAAAAGUUGCUGAGAUGCUCACUAAUGGAAUUGUUAUACAUAGCACAAGCCCCUAUGCCUCCCCUGUAUUGUUAGUAAAGAAAAAGGAUAACUCCUGGAGAUUAUGCAUAGAUUACAGGAAGCUGAACGAGCUGACUAUAAAGGAUAAGUUCCCUAUUCCCAACAUAGAUGAACUAUUGGAUGAAUUACAUGGAACCAGAUACAUGUCCAAACUGGAUCUCAGAGCUGGUUACCAUCAGUUGAGGGUGAAAGCUGUUGAUACCCCUAAGACUGCCUUCCAGACACACCAUGGCCACUUUGAAUUCUUAGUGAUGCCUUUUGGACUCACAAACGCGCCAGCUACAUUUCAGUCCUUGAUGAACAGAAUAUUUCAGCCAUAUCUCAGAAAGUUUGUCCUAGUCUUCUUUGACUACAUAUUAGUGUACAGCCCCACACUAGAGAUGCAUGCACAGCAUCUACAGAUUGUGCUCAAUAUUUUAGAAGAAAAUCAGCUGUAUUACAAGAGGUCAAAGUGCUCUUUUGCCCAGUCCUCAAUUGAAUACUUGGGGCACGUGAUCUCAGAGGCAGGAGUGAGUAUGGAUGUGGCUAAGGUGGAGUGUAUCAAGUCCUGGUCUGUUCCUAGUACAGUCAAGGAGCUGAGAGGGUUUUUGGGAUUAAUUGGUUACUACAGGAGAUUCAUUAAAGGCUAUGGAGUGAUUAGCAAACCCUUGACUGUAUUGUUGAAAAAGGAAGGUUUUGCAUGGAACCAUGAAGCUCAAAUGGCCUUUGAAGAUUUGAAAAAGGUUAUGACCACAGCCCCAGUGCUGAGCAUGCCUAAUUUCGAACUUCCUUUUGUCAUAGAGACUGAUGCCUGUGGAAUAGGUAUUGGAGCAGUGUUGAUGCAGCAAGGACAUCCUAUUGCUUUCCUUAGCAAGGCAUUAUCAGUUCAGAAUUUGGGGUUAUCAGUCUAUGAAAAAGAGCUUUUUGCCUUAGUGCUAGCUGUAACUAAGUGGAGGCAUUACCUGGUGGGUCAUCACUUCAUUAUCAGGACAGAUCACCAAGCUCUCAAACAUUUGAUAGAGCAAAGGCUUACUCAUCCACUCCAGCACAAGUGGCUAACUAAGCUACUUGGUUUGGACUAUGAAAUACAGUAUAAAAAGGGUGCAGACAAUGGGGUGGCAGACGCCCUCUCCAGGAGAAGGAUUGAGGGAAACACUGUUGACUGUGGAGAGACUGGGCAUCAGACCUGCGCCAUAACCUCAGCUCAGCCUAGUUGGAUGCAGGAAAUGCUAGAAAGCUACAUUGGAGAUGCAGAGGCUCAACAGAAGUUAUCUGAGCUAUUGCUGGAUCCCAAUGCAGAUCCAGAUUAUCAGUUAAAGAAUGGGAUGCUCAAGUUUAAAGGGCGGCUGUACAUAGGAUCUGCUAACAACAUUAGGACCAAGGUGGUCAGAGCAUUGCAUGACUCAGCCCUUGGGGGGCACUCAGGUCCUGGAAUCCGUAAGGAUGUCCUUCAAUAUGUGAGAUCUUGUGAUGUGUGUCAAAGGAACAAACAUGAAAAUGUUCCUUAUCCUGGGUUGCUGCAACCAAUUCCUGUACCUCAGCAGGCUUGGUCACACCUCACCAUGGAUUUUAUUGAGCAACUACCCCCAUCCCAUGGAUUUGAUACCAUUUUGGUGGUGGUGGAUAGGUUAACCAAGUUCAGCCACUUCAUUCGACUCACUCACCCUUUUUCUGCACAGCAGGUAGCACAGCUUUUCCUUGACAACAUAUACAAGCUGCAUGGACUUCCUGAGACCAUUAUAACUGACAGGGACAUAAUCUUUCUUAGUAAGUUUUGGCAAGAGUUAUUUGGUAUGGUAGGGGUAAAGCUGCACUACAGUUCAUCGUAUCACCCUCAAUCAGAUGGUCAAAGUGAAAGGGUCAAUCAGUGUUUGGAAAACUAUCUCAGGUGUAUGUGCAGUGAGCAUCCUUCUCACUGGAGCAGUUGGCUUCCUACAGCUGAGUUAUGGUACAACACUAACUUCCAUACUAGCUUGCAGGUGACACCAUUCGAAGCACUAUACGGGUAUAAACCAAAUCACCUUCCCUUAGGACCUUUUCAUGAUAGCCUGGUACCUGCUGCUGGUAACAUGGUGCAGACUAGGCUCCAAAUUCUAUCCCUCAUCAAAGAGAAUCUAGCCACCGCCCAGAAUCGAAUGAAAAUGUUUACUGAUAAGCACAGGACUGAACGUGUCUUCCAAGUGGGGGAUUGGGUAUUUCUCAAGCUGCAACCUUACAGGCAACAAUCAGUGGCCUUACGGAAGAAUUUGAAGUUGGCUGCCAAAUACUUUGGACCUUUCCAGAUCCUUGCGAGAGUAGGGGAAGUCGCCUACAGACUUAAGUUGCCAGAGGGAGCUCGAGUUCAUUCCGUGUUCCAUGUGUCCUUACUUAAAAGGAAAGUGGGAGUUACACAGCAGGUAAAGCCCAGCUUGCCAGAAGUAGACGCAUCAGACCAAUGUUUGCUGAAGCCAGAGAAGAUUCUCCAGAGGCGUGUUAUCAUACGAGCUGCCAAACCAAUCAUCCAGUACCUGGUGAAGUGGAACAACUUACCAGAAUCCGAAGCAUCAUGGGAGGAUAAAAGCUUCAUUGACAGACAAUUUCCGGAAUUUCAAGCUUGAGGACAAGCUUUGCUUAAGGGGAAGAGAUUGUCAGGAACAAGGAAAUAGAAUGGGACGUCGUUUAAUGCAAAGGGUUGUGCGUUUAAGGCCUUAGAAGCAAUACUACGUCAUUCUAAUAACAUAGGCGGUGCUGGUGUGAUAGGCCAAGUUAGUUGAGGGUCAAUUACAUAAAUAGCCUUCUGUAACAGAUUUUUGGUUAUGUUUUUGAAUGAAAAGUAUCUCGCUGCUUUCUCUCUCUUGUCUGUUAUUUCCCUCCCUUUUCUUCUUUCUCUCUUCCCUCUUCUUAAUCUUGUUUCUUUCUUCUGAUUCUUCCCCCAAAUUCAAUACAAUUCCAGAAAUUAACCUGCAGAUCUGACAAGGAGCCCUAUUCUAACCAAAUAACACACUACCAGGGUUAUUUUAGGUUAGCCCGCGUAUUCCCCUGACAUGAAUCCAAUCAUGCCAGUUAUCACUAUUUUGAAACAAUUAAACAAUUACGGAUUUAACGUCCCAAUUGACAAUAGAUUAUCAAAUUAACUAAUUAUCCGGAUCCAAAACAAUCAAUUAAUUAAAUAAUCAUAAGCACUGUAAUCAGGGAAUAUUUGAAUACCAAUAAAUAAAAAGAAAGGACAAAAUUAAAUCGAUUUCACAAUUUUUAAACGAACCACAACCUCAGUUGUUCCUCGGCUAGAUUGAGAAAAUUAGCUCAUGUUCGAUGCGAAAAAUCCACAAGAAAUUGUUAAGAGAGCCGCGGCCAUUGUCCCUUGAAAUUGGGGAAAUUCAAUUCGGUUGAACUACGAAAGAAAAGUAAGCUACAGAGAGUUGCCGAUUGGGUUUUGCUUGUCCCUAACAUGCGAGGGAGCAAAGCCACGAAAGGACGACAAAGGUCAAAAAGAAAGGCUACAGAGCAUGUUCCAGGUCUUUUUGUGCUCUCCACAUCCGAGCCAACGAAAAGAAAUAAAAAACUACCAGGAGCUAAAGGAAAACCGCAAGAAAAGUCAAAGGCUAAAAAAACUUCCUAGUGCUUGUUCUCUGCUUAUCUCUUUAUCUAAUUCUAAGUCCCCGAUUUUUUGCUCCGUGCGGCGGCUCCCCCGGAGAGAAAGGAUUGCAUCCGCUGCCCUCUUCCACCAAUUACCAAAAUGGGCACACCGCUUCUUUUUCAAAAAUGCUCCUGGAUAAACUCUAUCAUCUGGACUUUUUUUCUGUCAAAUUGACAUUUAUUAUUAUAUUUUCGUUCUACUCCCUGAAAUAAAUGUAAAAUAUUAAAAAUGAGUAGAAUCCGACAAUUAAUUCACAUCAGGUCAGAUAAUAAAGAAAAUUAAUAAUAAAAUAAAUAAAUAAAUUGCAACCUAUCAACCAAAUACAACAAUUUCAUGGAGUUUGAUACACAAGCCCAAAUACACGAGAGUGUGUAACCUGAAUUGUUACUUAUACAUUAGUGUGUAAUAGAACGGCAAGCAUUAUGGUGGUCAUUGAGCAACUUGUAGGAGAAAUAGUCCUAUAAGCUGUUCAAUGACCAAUCACAACUUGCUAAUUGGAUGACUAAUAUAGCUCUAGCUGUAAUGUUUUAAUUAAAUUCCAUCACUAACGUUGGGAUGACUUUUUAAUCAAAAAAAAAAAAGCCUUAGUUCAAGCUUUUCCCCUUAUUGUGCAUUUUUUAAAACAUUUGAUAGGCACUGCAAAUCUGUCAUUUUGGACAUUUUAUUAUUAACUAACAAUGAAAGCCGUGGACAUCAACCCAUAUCCAACAAAAUAUUAAAUUAAUAUUAGAAAAAAUUAUUAAGUAAUUGGAAAAAAAAAGAAGAGGCUAAUUUUCAUUGAAACCCACCGACAAACUAUACGCUGCUUUCAAUCAGUUUUAACACGGGAAAAAGAAAAGGCAUGAAAAGCAAAAUUUGUGGGGAUAAUUUCGGAAACCUCCCAUGAAGUUUUUGACUAUUUUACUGGCCUCCCUUCAGAUUUUAAAAAUUGGACUAAUCUUCCUUAAAGUUAAUUAUCUUGUAACAUUUAGAUCCGAUCAAUAAUUUAAAAAAUAAUAUUAUGAGAGAGAAAAUAAUAUGAUUUUAUUAUUGCCCCCAUCUCACCACAUUAUUUAAUUAAUUUAAUAGCAACCCACACAUUAAAGAAAAUGACAGGUCGUCAACCUGUGCAAUAAUAAAAUUAAACCUAAUUGCCAGUUAAAAUGACCAAAACCCAAUUCCAAGUACUGGAGCAGGGACUCUAGGUGUGCAAUGGGUUACUUGAUUCACCCUGUUCCCGAAGAGUUUGCUUGAUCCGAUAUACCCGAAUGGAAUGGUUAUUCCUUUUCACAAAUGAUUAGGAAUUUGUAGACAGGGCAAGUAGGGUCGUAUCCACAGAGACUGGGUAUAUUUGUUUCUUAAGAAAUCCAAAGUAACACAGGGGGUGAUUUUGUAGGAACGACGAUAAUUAAAUAAAUUCAAAUGAGAAAGUAAAAAUAAAUAAUUAACUAGAAAUUAAACCACAAUUUACUGAACUCAGGAUAACAAUAGUUAAAGGCCUCAAUUAAUUAAAAUAAGGAAACAAUCAAAAAUAAAAUAAAGUAGGUAAUUAAAAGUCAAAUGGCAAUCCACUACAAUCAAGGAAAUAUUAACUAAAGAUCUAGCCAAGAAAUAACUUCAGCAAUGGUUCACCUAAUCGAUCAUUGAUGCAAAGCAAUCCCAAUUAUUUACUAAUAAAUAGGUUAUAACUACCAAACAAGCGAUGGCAGUCAACCCCUCCUUACUGUGUCGGUGAUCAAGGUACGCCCGUUAAUCACUGCUCUAAUUGAGAAAUAAUCCUAGGUACGCCCGUAGAAUUUAAUUCCCCAACUGCCUUACGUAUUAGAGGAGCCCUAUUCUACCCAAAUAACACACUACCAGGGUUAUUUUAGAUUAGCCCGCGUAUCCCCCUGACACGAAUCUAAUCGUGCCAGUUGUCACUAAUUUGAGGUAAUUAAACAAUUACGGAUUCAAUACCCCAAUUGACAAUAGAUUAUCAAACCAAUGAAUUAUCCGGAUCCAAGACAAUCAACUAAUUAAAUAAUCAUAAGCACUGCAACCAAGGAAUAUGCGAAUACCAAUAAAUAAAGGAAAAGAUAAAAUUAAAUCGAUCUCACAAUUUACAGGUGACCCAAAGCAUCAGUCGUUUCUUGACUAGAACGAGGGGGUUAGCUCAUAUUGGAUGAACUAAGCCCGCGGGAAAUUCCAGCAAAAGUCACGGCCGUUGUAUGCAUUUCAAGAGCCGCAAUUCGUCAAACACUUGGAAAGCGAAUGUAAGGCACGGGUAACAAUUGAAACUUUCUAAUUGUUCCUAGCAUUCGUAAAGCAAAUUCACUCCAGAAGUACAGUGAGGAAAAGUCAAAGAAAGUGGGCUUCAAUUCCUUGCUCCUGACAUGCGUGGAGACAAGCCAAUGCAAGACUACAAUAAACUAACAAGGAAAAGUCAAGAAUUGGAGCUAAGCUCCCCUGCCAUGCGCAGGAAUCCCAAAAGUAAAAAGUAAAGCUUCAAAGAAAAGUCAACAAUUCUUCCUAAGCUACAGACGGAAGAUCCAGCACAAAAGCCAGCUCCCUUUUUGAUCCCUUUUUCCCCCUUCUUAUUGCGGCGGCUCACCAGGAGAGGAGAGCCCUCCGUCCGUCCUUUCUUCCGGAAAUUACCAAAAUGGGCAUGACAUCUUCUCUUCCAAAAGUGCCCCUGGGACAAGCUUUCUCAUCUGAAUUCUUUUUUUUUCCAAUUUGGCACCUGUUAUCAUAUUUAUAUUCUACUCCCUGAAAUAAACGUCAAAUACUAAAAGUGAGUAGAAUCCAGCAAAUAAAUCCACAUCAAGUCAGGUAAUAGGAGGAAUUAAUAAUAAAAUAAAUGAAUAAAUUGCACCCUAUCAAUUCCCUCCACACCUAAACCAUGCUUGUCCUCAAGCAUAAGAAAAGUAAACGAACACCAAAAUUCGACGAUAGCCAUUGCCCAAUCUCCUAUAUUGCCAAGACAUUCAAGAGAAAAACACAUAUCGAGCAUUGGUGAUUAGAAUCCCAGAAGCAUCCCCCCGGUUAGCCUCUAACCCCCAGAUUCCUUCAAUUUCCAACUUAACUACUCUAAGAAAGAGGAAUGGCACACAACAUUUAUCAGCUAGUGGUCCGAAUAUUCACACAAGUCUUCAUAUCCAAUCCAUAAACCGGCAAGCUUCCCUAUUAUUUAGUCUCUCUUUUUUUCCGUUUUUUUUCAUUUUCAUUCUUCCCCUCUUUUUUUUUUUUUUUUAAAGCAGUAGCAAUCAACACAAAAGACUUAGUCGUUAGCCGUCAGGGCCUUUUGAUGCGAACUCCAACAUUUUUAGAAGGAGGAGCCCGGUUACUCAGCUCCUACCGCUAUACGACCACGCACUCAUAUAAAAUACCACCUUUUGACGCGAGAAUCGACACUUUUAGGUGCCGAUCCCCGGUUACUCAGUAGUAACUUAAUAGCGGAGCACAGUCAAGCUUAUUCUCAGCCAAACAAUGCACAAACGCAAAAUAACAGCACUAACAAUCAAACAUAGGAGCAGCUCGCCUCAUUAUUGUCAAACAUGGAGAACUGGAGUCAAUAUUGGACCAGUUCACAUUAAAAGGCCAUAUUCAUUCCCUACGCCUAGAAAAGUUAACAAAGAAAUCGAAAGAGUCAAACAGUUAAAUAUUCACCAAGGGGAUAUUCAGGACCCAACCACACUAACCCGAUACAUUUUGUAUUUUAAAAACUUGGCAAAAGUAGAUUUGGAGUCAAUGAGUCCACAUCUCAAUUUUAGCCUUCACAUGAAAGGCAAUCACCAAGAAGAAAGAACGGAAAAAUAAGCAACUAGAAAUGAGACUACGAAAAACUACUAAAACUAAAAACUCACUUUUUUUCUUUUUCUCUUUUUUUUUCUUUUUGAAUUUUUUUUUCAUUUUUAUUUUUUUUUAUUUUUUUUAUUUUUUAAACAUUAACUAUAAACAUUAACUACUAAAAACUAAAAACUAAAACUACUAAAAACUAAAAACACUAAAAACUGCUAAAAUGAAAAGCUGAAAACUGAAAACUACUAAAAACGGAGCACACUAGCAUAACUUUAGAUCCCCCCCACACCUAUAGGACACAUUGUCCUCAAUGUGACAAAUAAGAACCAAAAGUGAAGCACAAGUGAGAGGGGAAUCAGCCAAACUUCCCUGAAAUCGGGUCACAGCGGAGGGCGAGGUGGAAAUGGAGGUGCAAAGCCUGUAUGCAUCAGGAACUGUGCCAAAUUCUGUGCUAUGCCGGCGACAUUGGCGUCGACGUUGGUCAUCCGGGCCUGCAAAUCCUGAACCAGCUCCCUGAGAUGCUGCCAAUCAUCGGUCCCAGGUGGUGGAGGUGGCGCAGAAGUAGAGGUAGACGGCCCAGCAGUGUCCGCGGCCGACCCAGGGAAUGAAGAUGGCCCUGCCCGGGCCGAAUGGUGUGCACCCGGGGCUCGAGGUGGUCCCGGACGGGUAAACUGGUGAAAACCAUCUGGCAGACGCUCGACGACCCCCAUUUUCUCUAAGCAAACUACGUCCAAGUGCUCCAUCUCAAAUGCCAAAUGGAGGUCGUGGUCAUCCAGGUUAAGAACUCCCAACUGGGUCGCCAAGUGAGUGAUGUAGGACCCAAGGAUCAGUGGUUUGUUCUUCUUGGUCAAGACCGUCUUGAACUGUGCGGCCAACCAACAUCCCAAGUUCACCUUGAUAUUGUUCUUCAUACUCCAGAGAAAGAAGAAUUCGGGCCGAGAGAGUAUACCGGAGCUGUCCUUGCGCCCCGAGUAGCUAUAAGCUAAGAAUCGCUGAACAUAGCGGGCGCUAGGGUCCUUAAGAAAGGAGCUCCUGGACCGGGAAGGAUCGUAGCGUUGCCUAUCGACGGACAUGUCCUCCCAUACAUCAUGGUAGUGGGAGAGGAAAGGCUCUACGUAGUCACAGGCACUCUCCGCAUACUCCCUAGUCUCAGCAUACUCUCUAGUGAUAAACCCAAAUGCCAGAUUGAAUUGAGUAAUGGAGAAAUUGAAUUCUCGACCCAUGAGCCGGAAAUGAAUGACAUUCGGUGUUUCACCCGUGUAUCUCGUAGGUAAUUCGAACUCAAAGGUGGAGUAAAACUCCCGGAUCAGCUCAACAAAAGCGGGACAAGAAAUAUGGAAAUAUGGGCGCCACCCAAUGGCUGUGAACAUUUGCUCAACCUCCUCCCGUAUACCCAGGGCAGUUAGAGAGAGUCUAUGACAAGACUUACAGGAUAUUAUACGCCUCUCGCAGACCUUAGCGUACCUCUGCCGAUCGGCGGGUCUGGUAAAUGUUAAGUGCCCCCCAAAAUGAACAGGUGCAUCUACCUGAGCACCCCUAUCCCUACCCAAACGGGUUCGAACACUAGAAGAGGAGGGUAGGUUGGUAGGUGAGUUGACAGGAAUAGAGGCUUGUGGAGGGGGUUGAGACUGAGAGGUCCUAGACCUAGAGGAGGAUUUCGGUCUCACCAUUCCCCCCAAAGUAAGUUCAAGGCAACAGAAAAUCCGACAAGUAUAGAAACCAGCAAUUGACAAAGCAAAAAUCUCCCAGUAGUAACCCAGCCAAUAGCAAACAAAAGAGUUCCAGCAAGUAAUCAACAAGCAAUUCAGAAAUAUCUCAACUAAAAUCUCAAGAGAAACCCCAGCGAGUUAUCCAGCAAUUCAAGCAAUAUCCCCAAGCAAUGUGGUGGUCAAAAUGUCAUCUCCAAAUUGAACAAAUAAUCAGAGCAUUGCAACACAUUGAAAAUCUCAAUAAACGGCUCCAGUUGGCCAAGAAAAAUUGCUAACUCAUACUCAGCAAUAGUAGUGCAGCAAAGGGACAGUAACCACGCAAUAAAAACACUUAGCUUGCACUCAAAUGGUCACCCCAAAUAACAACCCAGUAUGAAACCCGCAGGCAGAGUAUUCCUCAAACCGUUAGCCUAAACCCAGUCAACAACCACGGCCAGAAAUAACCCCAUAAAUAGUGCAAUGAGUAAUCCCCAGCAACAUAAUCAGGUGUAAUCAACUGGAGCAAGCAAUUUACAUGGCAUAGAAACCUCCCAAUCAAACAAGUGCAUUAUUCUAGCGCACCCCAAAAUUCCAAGAAAUGGCUCCAGUUGGCCAAUUAAUUUCACAAUGUCACCCAACUCAGGAGAAAUAGCAAUUCCACACAAAAAUAGUCAAACCAGUACCACUGGCGAAAAAUCUUUCAAAUAUGCACAAUUUGCUACCAAAUAUCACCGGCUAACACUGAAAAAUUGAGGGCAAGUGUCAAAUACCUCCACAGGGACUACCCCAGGCGGCAGACAGAGAAGCGGCGUUGAAGCUGGUGGUCGAGCGGGGCGGCGCUCGCGUCGGCGUGCGCAGCGGCGACGGCGCGCGAGGAUGGAGUUUCGGGAGGUUGCGUGCGGGCUUGGCUGAAGACGCGGCGCGCGCUAGGGCUUCGCUGCGGCAGGCGUGCAGCAGGGGAGAAGAAAGAAAAGAGAAAGAAAGAAAGAAAAAGAAAGGAAAGAAAGAACAGAAAAGAAGGAAAAGAAAAAGGAAUUUUUCUUUUUUUUCUUUUUCUUUAGGCUACGGUUUAGAGGACAAAUUUUUCUUCUUCUUGUUUUCUACUUUUUUAUUUUUUUAUUUUUUAGUUUUUAAUUUAUUACUAUUAUUAUCAUAUUUAAUUGAGGAAAAAAAAUGUUUUUUUUUAAAUCCCUACCUUUCCCACGAACGUGACGCGGGCACGUCAAGAGGGCAAGAGAGCUCCCAGAAGUUUCAGAAUUUUCUGAUCGUAAGCGUCCUGCACAUCACCACGCGGGCACGUCAUGAGGACAGGAGAGCUCCCAGAAGUUCAGAAUUUUCUGAUCGUGAGCGCCCUGCACGUCACCACGCGGGCACGUCAUGAGGCCAGGAGAGCUCCCAGAAGUUUGAAGUUUCUGAUUCCUGCCCGUCAUCACGCGGGCGCGUCAUGACUGAAGGUCACCUACAAAUCAGCAAAAACGAAAACUAACACCCAAAAUCAGUCAAAUUCAGGGAAAGCAGAUUUAAACUAUGCUACAAAACCAACAAACAAUUAAAAGAAAUAAUUAGGUUGCCUCCCAAUGAGCGCCUUUCUUUAAUGUCUUUGGCUAGACAUGGUAAAGUGUCACUGAUUAGGACACGGUGGUGCGUCAAGCCUUAUUGUCUCCACCUCUCUACCUGAAAAUCCUUCGUAAUAAUAUUUGAGACGGUGUCCAUUCACCACAAAUUUGUUGUCUGUCUUAGCACUCUGGAUCUCAACUGCACCAUAGGGAAAAACAUGAGUAACAAUGAAAGGUCCAAUCCAACGGGAACGUAGCUUACCUGGGAAUAGCUUGAGCCUGGAUUGGUACAGGAGGACCUUCUGACCAACUUCAAAUGUUUUUCUUGAAAUUUGUUGGUCAUGAAAUGCCCGGCUUUUCUCCUUAUAUAUCAAGGCGUUUUCGUAUGCUUCGUUCCGGAUCUCCUCCAAUUCUUGCAAAUCCAACUUCCGUUGAGCACCGGCCUCCUCUAAAUUCAUAUUGCAGUGCUUUAUCGCCCAAAAAGCCUUGUGCUCGAACUCCACUGGAAGGUGACACGGCUUCCCAAAUACCAACCUGUACGGUGACAUCCCAAUAGGAGUCUUGUACGCCGUCCGAUAGGCCCAGAGUGCGUCUUCCAACCUUUGGCUCCAGUCUUUUCUAUCAGGGCGCACCAUUUUCUCUAAAAUGGACUUAAUCUCCCGAUUCGACACCUCCGCUUGACCAUUGGUCUGAGGGUGGUAUGACGUUGAGACCCUGUGGAGUACACCAUACUUGCGAAACAACGCAGCUAUGGUUUUGUUGCAAAAGUACGUUCCCCUAUCACUGACAAUAGCUCUAGGCAUUCCAAACCGCACAAAGAUAUUAGACCUGAUAAAAUCUGCAACUACUCUCGAAUCAUUAGUUCGAGUGGCCUUAGCCUCCACCCAUUUAGACACAUAAUCAACUGCCAGCAAAAUAUAUAAAAAACCAAAUGAAGUAGGAAAAGGCCCCAUGAAAUCUAUACCCCAGACAUCAAAAAUUUCAACAAAAAUCAACGGGACCUGGGGCAUUUGAUCUCUACGGGCUAUAUUACCUACCAUUUGACAGCGAUCACAUGACUUACAAAACACAUAGGCAUCUCUAAACAAUGAAGGCCAAUAAAAUCCACUUUCUAAAACCUUAUGAGCAGUUCUCUUAGGUCCAAAAUGACCUCCACAGGCAAAAGUAUGACAAAAAGCUAAAAUUGAUUGAAAUUCCAUUUCACUUACACAUCUCCUCAUCACUUGAUCGGCACACCUCUUCCAUAGGUACGGGUCAUCCCAGAUAAAAUACUUGGCAUCGCUCUUCAAUUUAUCCCUCUUCGAUUUCGGCCAACCUGCAGGAAAAUUACCAGUUACCAAAUAAUUGACCAAAUCAGCAUACCAAGGCAACUGAGAAUUUAAGAAAAAUAGGUAUUCUUCGGGGAAUGCAUCCUUCAAUGGCUCGCUAUCCUCUUCAACUAGUAUGCGACUCAAAUGGUCCGCUACUAGAUUUUCUGAGCCUUUUUUGUCCCUUAUCUCCAAGUCAAAUUCCUGUAGGAGCAGUAUCCACCGUAUGAGCCUCGGUUUUGCAUCUUUCUUGGUCAUCAGGUACCUCAAUGCUGCAUGAUCAGAAAAUACAAUCACUUUAGCACCUAACAAGUAUGACCUAAAUUUUUCCAAAGCAAAAAUAACUGCCAGAAGCUCCUUCUCAGUGGUGGAAUAAUUCAACUGGGCUCCAUUCAAGGCCCGGGAUGCGUAAUAGAUGACAUGAGCCGCCUUGCCUAUUCUUUGCCCCAGUACAGCCCCAACAGCGUGAUCACUGGCAUCGCACAUGAUCUCAAAUGGCAAAUUCCAAUCGGGGGGUUGGAUGAUUGGGGGUGAAGUCAGCAAUUCCUUCAGCUUGUUAAAGGCUCUCUCACACUUAUCAUCAAAUUCGAAGGCUACAUCUUUUUGUAGGAGUUGGAACAACGGGGCUCCAAUCUUUGAAAAAUCCUUGAUGAACCUUCGAUAAAAACCUGCAUGUCCAAGAAAAGAGCGCACCUCCCGCACACUCGCGGGGUAAGGUAAUGCAGAAAUAAUGUCUAUUUUAGCCUUGUCAACUUCUAUGCCCUUAGACGAUACAAUAUGACCCAGGACUAUUCCGUGCUCAACCAUAAAAUGACAUUUUUCCCAAUUAAGCACAAGAUUAGUCUCUAUACACCUGAUCAGGAUUAAUUUCAGGUUAUCUAGACAAGUAUCAAAACUAUCACCAUACACACUGAAAUCAUCCAUGAAAACUUCUAUUAUUUUCUCAACAUACUCGGAAAAGAUGCUUACCAUACAUCUUUGGAAAGUCGCAGGUGCAUUGCACAACCCAAAUGGCAUUCGUCUGUAGGCAAAGGUCCCGAACGGGCACGUGAAGGUUGUCUUCUCUUGAUCCUCCGGGGCAAUUGCUAUCUGAAAGUAUCCUGAAAAUCCAUCCAAAAAGCAAUAAUAAGCCCUACCAGCUAAACGUUCAACCAUUUGGUCAAUGAAAGGGAGAGGGAAAUGGUCCUUUUUGGUGACGGCGUUUAGCCUACGGUAAUCUAUACAUUGCCUCCAUCCAGUGGGUUUGCGCACUGGCACGAGCUCACCAGUUUGGUUGGCCUCUACCGUCACUCCUGCAUUCUUUGGGACUACCUGGACCGGACUCACCCAAGGGCUAUCAGAUAUUGCAAAAAUGAUGCCCACAUCUAGCAAUUUUAGAAUCUCUUUCUUUACGACUUCCAUCAUGAGGGGAUUGAGCCUUCUUUGAGCCUGCCUAACAGGUUUGGCAUCGUCUUCCAGCCUAAUCCGGUGCAUACAAAUGGCCGGGCUGAUCCCCUUAAUGUCUGCGAUUGUCCAGCCUAUUGCCUCUUUAUGCUCCCGAAGGACCCGGAUCAAUUUCUCUUCCUGGGUCUUUGACAGUGCCGAUGAGAUAAUCACUGGGAGUGUCUCAUUAUCACCUAGGUAUGCGUAUUUCAGGUGCUCUGGUAGAGGUUUCAACUCCAGUACAGGUGCCUGCACCACAGAUGGCAAUACCCUCUGGUGAGCCUUGGGAGUAAAAAUAGGUAAGACUUCAUACCUUUUCGUGGUGGUCUGCAACGAGUGUAAUGCACCUAUUGUGCAUUUUAAAUCCUCGCUCCACUCCACCUCAGGAGUUGUCUCCAACUCGAGGUGCUUGGUUAAAGCCACCUCCAGCUCAUCCCUGCCAUCAGUUUCAAACACUUCCUGCACUACAGGGUCAAUAGCACUCACAGAAAAAACUGAGCUAAAGUUGGAGUUAGAGGGGUACUUCAUAGUAUCAAAAAUAUUAAAAUGCACAAUUUACCCAUCAAACUCCAUGGACAAGGUACCCUUAUUAACAUCAAUUUUCGUCUGCGCAGUGCUCAUAAAAGGUCUACCCAAUAACAAAGGUGAGGGAUCAGGGGAGUGAUCAUCAUCCAUAUCUAGUACAUAAAAAUCAGCUGGAAACACCAAAUCAUUAACCUUUACCAACACAUCUUCAAUCAACCCAUCAGGAUAUGCAUUAGUUCGGUCAGCUAAUUGAAUAAUUAUUCCAGUUUCUUUUAAUGGACCUAGUUUCAAAGAAGCAUAGAUAGAUUUAGGCAUGACAUUAAUUGAUGCUCCCAGAUCCAGCAUGGCCCUUCUGAUCACAGUAUUACCUAUCUUACAGGGAAUAGUAAACAUACCUGGGUCCCCGCACUUUGGUGGGAGCUUUCUCUGCAGGACCGCAGACACAUUUUCUCCAACUAUGACCCGUUCAUCUCCCCUCAACCGCCUUCGGUUGACACACAAGUCCCUUAGGAACUUGGCAUAUUUUGGUACUUGUUUGAUGGCGUCUAAGAGGGGGAUAUUUAUCUCAACCUUGCGAAAAACCUCCAAGAUCUCCUUCUCCUUAUCCUGCUUCUUCGAUUUUUCCAACCUGCUAGGAAAAGGAGGCGGGUUAGUUUUAACUGUAAUUAUUGGGUCAGGAAGUACCUCUGGAUCUGCACCAUUGCUGUCCUCCCUUUCGAGCUCAUUUUCGAUCUUCUCUUCAUCCUUGUCCUUGGGAAUCACAGGUUCAGGCCCCUGAAUUUCUUUCCCACUCCUUAGGAUCAUUGCGCUCACGUUCUUCGGAUUCAACUCCGGUUGAGAUGGCAGCUUCCCUUGGUUCUGGGACUCCCAACGGUUCAUUCUGGUGGCCAAUUGACCUAUCUGAUUCCUUAUGUCCUGCAUUUCGGAGUCCGUCUUUUGCUGAUUUUGCAUAAUAGCUGCCUCCGUCCUUUGCUGAUUCUGCGCCAUGGUUGUCAUCAUUUGUUUCAGCAUCUCAUCCGUAGAUGAACCAGAUUGAGGGAGCGGAGGUGGUCGGGGUUGGUAUUGCUGCUGGUACCCUGGUGGCUUAUUUGGCACAAAGUUAGACUGCCUGUUUGGCGUGAAGUUGGAUUGCCUAUUUCCACCAUAACUGAGGUUGGGAUGAUCUCUCCACCCGGGGUUGUAGGUGCUUGAGUAAGGGUCGUACUGCUUCCUUGGCGCGGGCGCGUGGUCAGCCAUGUUCACCUGUUCCGCAGUUUCUUCCUGAAUCAUUGGGCACAUGUCUGCAGAGUGACCUAUACCAGUGCAAAUCCCGCAUACCCUGGCUUGUGAUGCAUUUCUCACAGCCUAUUGCCUAACGAACGCAGUCAACUCAUUUAGCUGCUGCUGCACAGAGGGUGUCUCUAUCUCAUUCACCCUACGUAUUGGGACAUCCUAUCUUGUACUGAAUUGCUGUGAAUUCUCUGCCAUCCCCUCUAUUAACUCCCGUGCUUCCUGAGGGGUUUUGUUCACCAGUGCCCCUCCACUUGCAGCAUCAAUGAUGCUCCUGUCUCUAAAAAUGAGCCCCUCAUAGAAAUAUUGUAUGAUCAACUGCUCACUUAUUUGGUGAUGGGGGCACCUGCGCAACAAGCUCUUAUACCGUUCCCAAUACUCGUAAAGUGACUCCUCGGGAUGCUGCUUGAUCCCACAAAUUUCUUUCCUUAGACUCGCAGCCCUGGACGCAGGAAAAUAUUUAUCCAGAAAUUUUUUCUUCAAUUGGUCCCACGUGGUGAUGCUACCUGGUGACAGGUAGUACAGCCAGUCCUUCGCAGAAUCUUUCAAGGAGAAGGGGAAUGCCCUCAUUUUUAUCUGCUCUUCUGUGAUUCCCGGGGGUUUCAUACUGUUGCAAACGACAUCAAACUCCUGCAGAUGCUUAUACGGCUCUUCACCUGGUAAACCAUGAAAAGAGAGUAAAAGCUGAAUCAGACCAGAUUUUAGUUCAAAUGGAAUGUUGUCAUUUAAAGCUGGGAAAGUAAUGCAUAACGGCUGCUGAGUUAAAUCAGGAGCAGCCAACUCCCUUAAUGUUUAUGCAUUAGCCAUGGUGCCUUCCUGCUGGUCAGAGUCACUCGAAGUGUUACCAAACGAAUCUGUUGGUUCAACUUCUGACUCGGGUCUUUGAGAUGUAGCACUAGAGUGCUCUUCUCUGAGCUGUCUGGUUUCCUUUCUCGUUCUACGCGCGGUCUUCUCUACCUCAGGAUCAAAAACCAAAUCACCUGUGCGACAAGAUCGAGGCAUACACUAGAAGAAAACCAGAAAAUUAGGACAAAAUUGAAUUUAAGAAGAAACAAAUAAUAACGCCAGUCCCCGGCAACGGCGCCAAAAAUUGACAGGUCGUCAACCUGUGCAAUAAUAAAAUUAAACCUAAUUGCCAGUUAAAAUGACCAAAACCCAAUUCCAAGUACUGGAGCAGGGACUCUAGGUGUGCAAUGGGUUACUUGAUUCACCCUGUUCCCGAAGAGUUUGCUUGAUCCGAUAUACCCGAAUGGAAUGGUUAUUCCUUUUCACAAAUGAUUAGGAAUUUGUAGACAGGGCAAGUAGGGUCGUAUCCACAGAGACUGGGUAUAUUUGUUUCUUAAGAAAUCCAAAGUAACACAGGGGGUGAUUUUGUAGGAACGACGAUAAUUAAAUAAAUUCAAAUGAGAAAGUAAAAAUAAAUAAUUAACUAGAAAUUAAACCACAAUUUACUGAACUCAGGAUAACAAUAGUUAAAGGCCUCAAUUAAUUAAAAUAAGGAAACAAUCAAAAAUAAAAUAAAGUAGGUAAUUAAAAGUCAAAUGGCAAUCCACUACAAUCAAGGAAAUAUUAACUAAAGAUCUAGCCAAGAAAUAACUUCAGCAAUGGUUCACCUAAUCGAUCAUUGAUGCAAAGCAAUCCCAAUUAUUUACUAAUAAAUAGGUUAUAACUACCAAACAAGCGAUGGCAGUCAACCCCUCCUUACUGUGUCGGUGAUCAAGGUACGCCCGUUAAUCACUGCUCUAAUUGAGAAAUAAUCCUAGGUACGCCCGUAGAAUUUAAUUCCCCAACUGCCUUACGUAUUAGAGGAGCCCUAUUCUACCCAAAUAACACACUACCAGGGUUAUUUUAGAUUAGCCCGCGUAUCCCCCUGACACGAAUCUAAUCGUGCCAGUUGUCACUAAUUUGAGGUAAUUAAACAAUUACGGAUUCAAUACCCCAAUUGACAAUAGAUUAUCAAACCAAUGAAUUAUCCGGAUCCAAGACAAUCAACUAAUUAAAUAAUCAUAAGCACUGCAACCAAGGAAUAUGCGAAUACCAAUAAAUAAAGGAAAAGAUAAAAUUAAAUCGAUCUCACAAUUUACAGGUGAUCCAAAGCAUCAGUCGUUUCUUGACUAGAACGAGGGGGUUAGCUCAUAUUGGAUGAACUAAGCCCGCGGGAAAUUCCAGCAAAAGUCACGGCCGUUGUAUGCAUUUCAAGAGCCGCAAUUCGUCAAACACUUGGAAAGCGAAUGUAAGGCACGGGUAACAAUUGAAGCUUUCUAAUUGUUCCUAGCAUUCGUAAAGCAAAUUCACUCCAGAAGUACAGUGAGGAAAAGUCAAAGAAAGUGGGCUUCAAUUCCUUGCUCCUGACAUGCGUGGAGACAAGCCAAUGCAAGACUACAAUAAACUAACAAGGAAAAGUCAAGAAUUGGAGCUAAGCUCCCCUGCCAUGCGCAGGAAUCCGAAAAGUAAAAAGUAAAGCUUCAAAGAAAAGUCAACAAUUCUUCCUAAGCUACAGACGGAAGAUCCAGCACAAAAGCCAGCUCCCUUUUUUAUCCCUUUUUCCCCCUUCUUAUUGCGGCGGCUCACCAGGAGAGGAGAGCCCUCCGUCCGUCCUUUCUUCCGAAAAUUACCAAAAUGGGCAUGACAUCUUCUCUUCCAAAAGUGCCCCUGGGACAAGCUUUCUCAUCUGAAUUCUUUUUUUUUCCAAUUUGGCACCUGUUAUCAUAUUUAUAUUCUACUCCCUGAAAUAAACGUCAAAUACUAAAAGUGAGUAGAAUCCAGCAAAUAAAUCCACAUCAAGUCAGGUAAUAGGAGGAAUUAAUAAUAAAAUAAAUGAAUAAAUUGCACCCUAUCAGAAAAAUGCAAAAAUUUGUUAUUUAUCAUUAAGGAUCAUAUCGCAUAUAACAUCAAAAAAUAGUAUAUUAUUUAUAUCUUUCACUUAAUAUAAUAUCCAAAUUACUCUUUUCAGUUACAUACCCAUUGUUAGACAAAAUCAACAACAAAUAACCAAAAAAUUUGCAACCAAAAUAUUACCAAAAAAAUAAACUUUAACAUCAUAAAUAUUUUUAUCAACAUAUUAAAGUUAGUUAUUGAAAUUUUUAUGGUGUUAAACUUCACUCUUAGCAAUAUUUUGGUUACAGAUUUUUUUGAUUAUUUAUUGUUGAUCGUGUUUGACAAUGGAUUUGUAACUGAAAAGAAUAAUUUGAAUCUUACAUUAAGUGAAAUAUAUAAAAUAUUAUACUAUUUUUUAUGGCAUAUGUGAUUCUUUUUUUUUUUUUUAUCAGAACGGCAACAUUGUAUUAAUAGUAAACCAAUUACAGUAUAGGUGGGCAACCGCCCUCACAAUCUGCCUGGACUUGUUCCAGCAGCCAAACUGGGAAGUUUUCCUUCCAUUCAGUAUUUUGUUCCAAAGUAAUAGCUACUUUAGCUAGUUUAUGGCUAACAAAGUUGUUCACCCUAUUUGCAAAGGUAAAACAACAUUCAUCAAAUUUUAUUCAUGUACAAUUGUUGCUAUCACCACGUCCUCCUCCUCCUCCUCACUGCACACUACUUGACUACCACCCUUCGCCAACCUUGCUGUUGCAUGUGCAACUAUCAUGGCCUCUCUUAGCGCCUUUGCUUCUUCGACCUUUGGACUGGCACAGCUAAAAUUUGGAACAGCCCAGGCCCACCCGCAAUCUUCCCAACCAAUCCCUGGCCACCCUUUUCCCACCCAGCUUCUAUGGCAUGUGUGAUUCAAUCCUUCUUGAUAGGAUUGGUAAUAGAGGCAGAGGGGGGAGCCGGCUGCAUCCGGUCUACUUUUCAUAGAUAGUACAAUAUUGCGAAAUCGAUCGCAUUCACACAAGAAUAUUUCGAAGUCAUUGCAUCGCUAAGUUGCAAAAAAGUACAAACACUUGUUAUUAUAUAGCUUAAGAUUCAAAACUUUAGAGCACAACCCUCCACCUAACACAAUUGAAUAAUGAAUAUUCACGAUUGUCAAAUCUGUCAAAGCACAGUUUGAGGACAACCCAUUCCAACCUGCAAAAGAUUUUUGACUUUUUUAAAGUUGUUGAGAGCUGUAAAAAGACUUACCAUGCUUACAUCUUCCGAGCCUUGGGAGUUAAAAAUGAAGGCACUGAGUGCUAUAAAAAGGGGGCUAGAGGCUGCCUAGAAGCAUAUCAGCCUAAAACAAGAAUUUGUAGUUAUGAUGGGAAGCAAAGCAAAAGCAAUGGGGUCUGGGCUGACUCCUCUUCUUACCACUGUUUUAGUGGUAUUUGUUGCUCUUGGCUUGCCCUCAGAAACUGCAGCUGAUGAUCACUACAAGUAUUCAUCUCCUCCUCCUCCUUACCACUAUCCCUCACCACCACCUCCAGUGCAUUUACCUCCACCAGUGUACAAAUACAAGUCCCCACCACCACCUCAUCAUGUUUACAAGUACAAAUCUCCACCACCCCCACCACCACACCCAGUUUACAAGUAUAAGUCGCCACCACCACCUCCUCAUCCGGUAUACAAGUACAAGUCUCCUCCGCCACCUCCUCAUCCGGUACCACACCCAGUUUACAAGUAUAAGUCACCACCACCACCUCCUCAUCCGGUACCACACCCAGUUUACAAGUAUAAGUCUCCUCCGCCACCAGUUUACAAAUAUAAGUCUCCUCCACCACCACCUCCAGUGUACAAAUACAAGUCUCCACCACCACCAGUUUACCACUACAAGUCUCCACCACCUCCUCCCCCAGUUUACAAAUACAAGUCUCCACCACCACCACCACCAGUUUACCACUACAAGUCACCACCACCUCCUCCCCCAGUUUACAAAUACAAGUCUCCACCACCUCCUCACCACUACUAAGCAAUUGCUUCUGAGGUAAUAACACUUGUUCAAUAUACCCACUUCUGCAUGAUAAAGCAUAUCUCUAUCAACACAAACUGUCAUGUCUAUCAUGCUAAGUGCCUUCACUUCAUCCACCAAAAUGACUGCUAGAAAAUUUUUUUUAUGUUACCAAAGAAAGGCAUCAUUUUUUCCCUCUGUUAUCAAGAACUUGUACAGUAUAUAGAUUAAAGAGUAUUUUUUUAACUAGCUUAUCAACUGAGAAAUGCAUAUAGCUGAUAGCCAGCUGAAUAUUUGCAGGCAAAGGAGAAGGAAACCAGUGUUUGAGACCUUCUUGAAGAUGUAGAAGCAUAAGAAUUAAAGCCCAAUGUGAAGAUGAUGAUUUCAAGUUUUUCUACGUUACCAUUUCUUUAUCUAAAUUGGUUGUAGCGCCUUAGUUCCUUUGUUUAUGGGAUUUGUAUCGUUUUACGUACCAUGCAGUACAUGUCAUGUUUGUAAGGUUUUCUAUCCUGCCGGCAAACCGCAGGUUCCAUGUAAUAAAUCAAUACUAUUUAUAUUACGACACUUUUCUCUGUUUCUCUUAUAUUUUGUCGUCUUUAAUAUUCUUAAUCAUAUUUUUAACAAAAAUAUUCAAACACUUAGGCAAUCUGGUCUAAUGCUAAUUGUAUGUUUUACUUUUCUUUUUCACCUGCUCCCCUUUUCAACUCAAAAGGAUGCAAUAGUUUGUGAUCACUGUUGAAGACGGAAGCAUGAUACUAAUGAAUAUAUCAUUGAAACUCAAGGAAACUAACAUUAUGAAAAGUGUAAAUCUUGAUUUGAUGCAACUAUUUAUUCGUGGAAUCUAUAGUUACAAAACUCAAACUCUGACUGCGCCAUUGAUAAAUUAUUAAUGACGCUAUCAUCAUUAUUUAUCCCCAACUAGUUUCGACUACAACUGAACCCAAUAUUUUCCCCAUGAUAAAAGUUUUUUACUAUUUUACUGGCCUCUCUUCAAAUUUUAAAAAUUACACUAAUCUUCAUUGAGAUUAAUUAUCUUGUAGCAUUUAAGUCCAAUUAAUAAUUAAAAAAUAAUAUUAUGAGAGAGAAAAUAAUAUAAUUUUAUCAUUGCCCCCCAUCUUGCUAUAUUAUUUAAUUAAUUUAAUAGCAACCCACACAUUAAAGAAAAAUACUAAAAUUUGCUGCUUUUCAUUAAAGAUCAAAUUGCAUAUGCCAUAAAACAUAGUAUAUCAUUCUAUAUGUUUCACUUAAUGUAAGAUCCCAAUUGUUCUUUUCAAUUACAAACCCAUUGUCAAACAUGAUCAAUAACAAAUAACCAAAAAAUUUGCAACCAAAAUAUUACAAAAAAAAACUUUAACAUCAUAAAUAUUCUUACCACCUCUAGUGCAUUCACCCUCAUAAAAUAAUUCAAGACCCUACUGUCAUAAAAUGACUGAUCAACUCCUGUAAACCUAAUUUGACAACAUUUAAAUGGAGAACUUUAGCUAAAAGAAUUAUGGUCAAGCUAAAGAAAAAACCAGUUAUUUUCCAACAUAUGCAAUCAUUGAUCAGGGAAAAAAAAAAGAAGCAAAAAGACAUCUUCAAUCAUUUAAUAGCUUACAGGGCAAAUUAACCCCUAAGCGAAAACUGGUUGCUCUAGAAUCAAAAUUUUACUUUAGUUACCCAGGCAACUUUUUUUGUUGCCUUUUCUUUUUCUUUUUUGGGUAUAUAUAUAGCUCCAGUUUUGCCCCCUCUGUCAAGCUUAUAUAAUUAUUAAGAUAAUAAAAGUGCCUUUAAUAGUAUUAAUAUAUCCAUUGACUUGAGCUGUCAUCGAUCGGUUUGGGCUACUUCGAUUCCAUGAGAACAAAUGGUAAUAAAAGUACUCAGAAAAUGGGGAGUCAUGAAACCCUUUUGUUCUAUUCAUUGCUAAGAUGCUUUUCUCUAUAAAGACACUUCCUAACGAAAAUACUUUGUAGAUUUCUUUACUCCAAGUGGUGCAUGGAAAAUUAAUAUUUUCAAUUAUCAAAUAAAAUUCCCUUUUUUCGGUGUAGAUUUCAUCCAUUCAGCUGUUAACACUCCGAAUUGACUAAUCUUUUCGUUUCCAUUUUCCAACUUGCGAAUACGGCAUCUUACAUAUUGUCUGCUGAAUAUGAAUACAUAUCCCUUUUCUGAGCAGGUGCAGAGUCAUUAUCAUUUUUAUUCCCACCUAACAAAUUAGUUAAUAAUCUUUUAAAGAACAUGUUAAAUUAAUUUAUUGGUAUGAAUAGUAGUCAAAGAAGUAUGUUAAAGUUAGUAAUCUUUAAAAUAAUAUGUUAAAAUUAUUCGUACAAAUUAGCCAGAGAAGUAGCAUAAACACCGCGAUGCAAUUAAUACUUUCAAUCUCAAGGUCUCUAUUAUGGAAAUUUGCAUCGGUCAACAUACACAAAGCAUUAUUGUAUGCACGUCUCUCUAUUAUGGAAAUUUGCAUAGGUCAAUAUACACUUGGCAUAGUUGCAUGCACGUCCAAUUUUUUUUUAUUUUUAUUUUUGGUAUUUUACUUCCUGCCUUAAGUUGCCUGCAGAUGUUUGUAUUACAAAUAUAUGGUAUACUAAAUAUAUAGUAUGCACAUUAAUUUCUUUGGGUUGCUUAAGGGUAUAUUGUUAAUAAUAGGGGGUUUAACCAUAAAUUAUAACAAUGAUGAAGUAAUAUAUAUUAGAAAAUUAACACAAUUAUGAUUUUUUUUUUUGUAAAAUUCAAAUUUUAUUAAUAAGAAAUGAAAUAGGCAGUAAGCAUUUACAAACCGAAAACAAAAUCCUACAACAACUCUAGGACUCUACACCUUAUUAAAAAAAAACAUUUUGAUAGCGUUUUUCCAAAAGCAGAAGAUGGAAAAUUGCCCAUUUGUACUGGGGAGUUCGUGAUCUUUUCCUCAUUCUAGUCUACUUACAAUUCUUGGAAAAAGGAAUACUCACAUCUCAAACAACAGCCUGUUCAUCUGCAGUGUCCUGCCGAAUUCUAGAAAGUUUGGUGGCAAUGUUAAUUACAUUUCAAAAUUGACUGCUGCGAUAACUAAUUCGAUGGCUUACUACAUGGUCAACGUUUGGAUCUCUUCCUGUCCUUUUUGGAUGCACAUUUUUUUUCUCUAGGUAAUAUAUAAUCUCCCAACUCAUUUCUUUACAAAUGCACCUUUAAUCACCACCAAAAGGUGUGGACAUGAUCUUUACCCUAGAAAACUAUUCACCGACAGGCAAAUUGACGUCAGAAAUACUAAGAGGAAUUCUAGUUUCCUUCGGGUUAAUGCCAUUUUGUACCCUUCAACUGUAACUCAAUUUCUAAGCUGUAAUUUGUGACAUUAUAGUCCUUAAACUAUGAAACCCUUUCUUAUUUAAUUACAAUGGUUAAUACAAUGCCCGUGACUAGACAAGUAUGAAGCAACCAUAACAAAAAAAAAAUCCAAAAUUAGAGAAAAGAAAGAAGUUGCGACCAAAGUAUGUAUCAAGGCAUAGUAUAGAAAUAAAAGUGUCAAAAUUAAGAGUUUAGGGAUAAAAAAGAAUCAAAAUAUAGUUUAGGAAUUGAUUUGUCUCAAUUAGAGUUUAGAUGUCAACUAAGAAGAGAGAUAUAGUUGAAGGGUAGAAUAUAGAUAUAACAGUUCAAUGAUUGAUAUCAACGAGACAAUGACAACUUUGGAUUAUUACCAACCUCUUCUUGAUGGAAAAGGAAAUAGAGAAGAAAGUCGGGCCUGGUCUAAGCCUGUUUCGGAGGCAAAACAACAUUAUGAAAUCACCGGCAUUCACACAAAUAUGUCAAAGUCACCGGCAUGCUAAGUUGCAAAAUUUAUACAAACACUGAAUAUUAUAUUCUUCUCAAAAUUUUUGUUUAAGAUUUAACAAUUAGAGCACGGUACACGAAUUAGCAAUAUUAAAUAAUGAAUGUUCACGAUUGAUAAAGUUAUCAAAGUACAGUUUGAGGACAACCCAUUCCAACGUGUACAAGAUGUUUAGCCUUUGAAAAGUUAAUUAGAGAAGGUGACGAGAUUUUACUAGGCUUACAACUUCUAGGCCUUGGGAGUAAAAAGUGAAGACACUGAGUGCUAUAAAAAGGGGGCUAGAUGUUGCCUAGAAGCAUAUCAGCCUCGGACCACAUUUUGUAGCAAUGGGGAGCAAAGCAAAAGCAAUGGGGUCUAGGCUGACUCCUCUUUUUACCACCGUUUUAGUGGUAUUUGUUGCACUUGGCUUGCCUUCAGAAACUGCAGCUGAUUACGACAAGUAUUCACCUCCUCCUCCUCCUUACCAUUAUUACUCACCACCACCUCUUGUGCAUUCACCUCCACCACCGCCAGUUUAUAAGUCACCCCCACCACCUUAUCACUACUUCUCACCACCACCUCCAGUGUAUCCAUCUCCACCACCAUCUGUUUACAAGUCACCUCCACCACCUUCGCCAGUAUACAAGUCCCCACCACCACCUUAUCAAUAUUCCUCACCACCACCUCCAGUGCAUUCACCUCCACCACCACCGAUUUAUAAGUCACCUCCACCACCUCCUCCAGUUUACAAGUCCCCGCCACCACCUUACCAUUAUUCCGCACCAUCACCUCCAGUGCAUUCACCUCCACCACCACCGAUUUACAAGUCACCUCCACCACCUCCUCCAGUUUACAAGUCUCCAUCACCACCUUACCAUUAUUCCUCACCACCACCUCCAGUGCAUUCACCCCUACCACCACCGGUUUACAAGUCUCUGCCACCACCUUACCAUUAUUCCUCACCACCACCUCCUAUGCAUGCACCUCCACCACCAAUAUACAAGUCACCUCCACCACCUCCUCCAGUUUACAAGUCUCCACCACCACCUUACCAUUAUUCCUCACCACCACCUCCAGUGCAUUCACCCCUACCACCACCAGUUUACAAGUCUCCGCCACCACCUUACCAUUAUUCCUCACCACCACCUCCUGUGCAUGCACUGCCACCACCAAUUUACAAGUCACCUCCACCACCUCCUCCAGUUUACAAGUCCCCACCACCACCUUACCAUUAUUCCUCACCACUACCUCCAGUGCAUUCACCUCCACCACCACCGAUUUACAAGUCACCUUCACCACCUCCUCCAGUUUACAAGUCUUCACCACCACCUUACCAUUAUUCCUCACCACCACCACUCUUCAAUUUGGAUGUAAUUCAAUUUUCCUUGUAAUCGGUGGCCCUCCUUCGGAAUCCAAAUAGUCAUUGAGUGCAGCCUUCUUUCUUUAUUUUUUACUCAUUUUCACCUCAUAAAUUGCUUUCAUCCCCUAAAACUUGUUCGCUGGAAUUUUGAAUUUACCCAUACAACUAAACUCAGAAAAUUCUUACACAAAGGGAUUAGUAGCAUGAAUAGCAAACACAGAAUAAGAGAUAACAGUAUGUUUUAUUGUAUUAAAAAUAUUAAAGUGGAUUAUUUCUCCAUCGAAUUCCAUUGUGAGAGUAUCGUUACUAACAUCAAUCUUAGUUUGAGCAGUACUCAAGAAUGACCUUCCUAAUAUAAUGGGUGAUGGAUUUGGGACACUUUCAUCAUCCAUAUAAAACACAUAAAAAUCAACAGAAAAAAUUAAUCCAUCUACUUGAACUAAAAACAUCCUCAACUACCCCAUUUAGAUAAGCAAAUAUACGAUCAGCCAAUUGAAUUAUUAUCCCUAUUUCUUUUAAAUGUUCUAAAUUUAGGGAAUCAUAAAUUGAUUUAGACAUCACAUUAAUAGAAAUCUUUAAAUCUAUCAUGGCAUUUUUUAUAUUAGAAUGUCCAAUCUUACAUGAGAUAGUAAACAUACCUAGAUUCUCGCAUUUAGGUGGUAGUUUCCUUUGUAAAAUUGCUGAAACGUUCUCAUCUACCACAAUAUGCUUGUCCUCCUCAAUUUCUUCUUGUUGACACACAAGUUUUUCAAGCAUUUAACGUAUUUUGGAACUUAUUUGAUUUGCGUCCAACAAAGGGAUAUUGAUUGCCACCUUGCGAAAAUCUCUAAAAUCUCCUUUUCUUUAUCUUGUUUCUUUGAUUUCUCUAACCUGCUUGGAAAAGGUGGUGAGUUAGUUCCAACUCUAAUUAUAGAAUCAACAAUUACCUUUGGAUUCACAUUUCUCAUUCCUUCCUCCUCAAGCUCUUUGUCGAUUCGAUCUUCAUUUUUAUCCUUUGGAAUCACAACUUCGGAUCCCUGAAUUUUCUUCUCGCUCCUUAAGGUCAUUACACUUACAUUCUUCAGGUUCAGUUCAGGUUGAGACGACAAUUUUUCAUAGAUUUGGGAUUCCAGGCGGUUGAUUGCUAUUACCAUCUGACUCAUCUGACUCUGCAGUGCUUGCACCUGUCCCAAUUGAUUCCUCAUACUUUGCAAGUCAAAAUCCAUCUUUUGUUGAUUAGCAAUUAAUUGCUUCAUUAUCUCUUCUAUAGAUGGACUUGAGUUUGAAAGAGGUGGUGGCGGGCGAGACUGAUACUGUUAUUGAUACCCUUGCUAUCUAUUUGGUGCAAAAUCUGGCUACCUAUUUCCUCCAUAGCUGAGGUUGGGAUGAUCUCUCCAACCAAUAUUGUACGUAUUCGUGUACGAGUCGUAUGGUUUUCUUGGCACGGCGCGUGACCAGCCAUGUUCACUUGCUCCGUACUUUUCUCUUGAAUCAUUGAGCACAUCUCUGUAGAAUGACCCAUAGCAGUGCAGAUCCCACACAUCUUGACUCGUGAUGCAUUUCCUAUAGCUAAUUGCCUAACAAAGGAUGUUAAUUCGGUCAACUGCUGUUGGAUAGAAUAUGUUUCUACCUCAUUUACUUUGCGUGUUGGGGCAUCCUCCCUCGUACCAAACUGUUGCGAAUUUUCCGCCAUUCCUUCAACUAGCUCCCACGCUUCUCGAGAAGUCUUGUUCACCAAUGCCCUUCUACUUGCAGCAUCAAUUAUACUCCUGUCUCUAAAACGCAGCCCCUCGCAAAAAUAUUGGAUGAGCAAUUGCUCACUUAUUUGGUGUUGAGGGAACUUGAUGCAUAACUUCUUGAAUCGCUCCCAAUAAUCAUAAAGCGACUCUCCUGGAUGCUACUUGAUACCGUAUAUCUCCUUCCUUAGACUUGCAGCUCGAGAUGCAAGAAAAUAUUUGUCCAAGAACUUUUUCUUCAGCUGAUCCCACGUGGUGAUGCUACCUGGUGGUAGAUAGCACAGCCAGUCUUUUGCGGAGUCCUUCAAGGAGAAGGGAAAUGCCCUCAUUUUUAUCUAUUUUUCUGUAAUUCUCGGAGGUUUUAUGCUGUUGCAAACGACAUCAAACUCUUGCAAGUGCUUAUACGGUUCCUCACCUGGUAAACCAUAGAAAGAUGGCAAGAGAUGAAUUAGACCAGAUUUUAACUCAAAUGAAGUGUUAUCAUUUAAAAAUAGAAAAGUAACUGAGAUGCAGCACUGGAAUGUUCUUCUCGAAAUUGUCUGGUCUCUUUCUUUGUUCUACGCGUAGUCUUCUCUACCUUAGGAUCAAAAAUUAAUUUACCUGUACGAGAAGAACGAGGCAUACACUAGAAAAACACUAGAAAAUUAGAACAAAAAUGAACAUAAAAAGAAACAAAUAAACCAACGUCAGUCCCCAGCAACGGCGCUAAAAAUUGACAAGUUGUCGAUGCCUGUGCAAUAAUAAAAAUAAACCUAGUUACCAAUUAAAAUAAUCAGAGCCUAAUUCUGAGUACUAGAGCAGGGACUAUAGGUGUGCAAUGGGUUACUUGAUUCACCCUAUUCCUGAAGUUUGCUUAACCCGAUAUACCAGAAUGAGAUUGCUUAUUCAAAAGGAAUUAUUGAUUUGUAAACAGGGCAAGUAGGGUCGUAUCAUCAGGGAUUGAAAAAAUUUGUUUCUUUUCAAAUCCACAGUAACAAGGGGAUGUUUUUGUAUAAAUGAUAACAAUCUAAGGAGUGCAAAUAGAAAUAAAUAGAUAACUAGAAAUUAAAUGACAAUUCACUAAAAUUAGAGUAAUAAUAAUUAAAGGUCUAGCUAAGAAAUAACUUCAGCAAUGGUUCACCUAAUUGAUCAUCGACGCAAAGGCAAUUCCAAUUAUUUACUAAUAAAUAGGUUAUAACUGCAAAACAAGCAAUGACAGUCAACCCCUCCUUACUGUCGGUCGGUGAUUAAGGUACGCCCAAUCACUGCUCUAGUUGAGAAAUAAUUUUAGGGACGCUCGUAAGAUUUAAUUUUCCAAUUGCCUUACGUAUUAGAGGAGCCAUAAUCUAACCAAAUAACGCUACCAGGAUUAUUUUAAAUUAACCCGUGUAUUCCCUUGAUACAAAUUCAAUCAUGUCAGUUGUCACUAUUUCAAGGUAAUGAAACAAUUACGGAUUUAAUAUCCUAAUUGACAAUAGGUUACUAAAUCAAUUCACUAUUUCGAUCCAAGAUAAUCAAUCAAUUUAACAACUAAUAGCACUGCAAUCGGAGAAUAUGUAAAUACCAAUAAAUAAGAGGAAAAGAUAAAAUUAAAUCGAUCUCACAAUUUUUAAACAAAUCAAAGUAUCCGUUGUUUCUUGACUAGAAAAGAAAAUUUAGUUCAUUCCUAAUGUGAAAGACCCACGUGAGAAUUCAAAAAUAAUAUUCACGGAUAUUGUCUUGAUUCAAUAGAUUCAAUUGCGUUGGAAUAAGGAUAAAAAGCCAAACUAUAGAGAGUGAUUCAAUGUUUUGUUUCGUUUGCAUUUUUUCUACACAUAUGGAAGAAGAAAAACAACUAAAGGACGAAAAAAAAAAGUCAAAGAAAGGCACCCAAAGUAGUGCUUGGUCUCUACCAUCCUAUUUCCUAUCUAAUUACUACUUCCCUUCUGCGGCUGCCUAGAGGAAGAAAGAGAAAGCAGACUUCAGGUCUUGUUCCAUCUCCUCCCUUUUCGGCAAUUCCCCAAAAGUAGAAAAGUUCCUCCGUUUACCAAAAUGCCCCUGGAAUGAGGACUGCUACUUGAACUCAUUUUCUUGAUAACUGUCAAAUUAGCACUUGUUAUGGUAUUUGCGUCUACUUCCUGUAAUAAAUGUAAAUUGCCAAAAGUGAGUAAACUGAUAAUUAAUUUACAUCAGGUCAGGUAAUAGGAAAAAUUAAUUAUAAAAUAAAUGAUAAAAUUGCAACCUAUCACUUAGAAUAACCAGAAAUAAAACAAAACAAGAAAUGAAAGAAAUAAGAGGGUAGCAUAGACAUUUUGGAUUUUUCUGUUAAUUUGGAUGAUUUCCACCUACGGUCUAAUUUAAUCCAAAACACAAAUGGAUUAUGUGGAGAUUUUUAAACAAUGAGGGAGUAUCGUGACCGAAUCCCAAACCACAAAGGGGAUUUACUAUAUUUUACUCUUAAAUUUUGGUUUCAUCUCAUAGCAUACAAGAGUACUAUUUCACUGUCUGUCGACCAGGGAGGAGGGUUGGGUUGGGUGGUACGGGGGAGGGAGUCUAAGUAAGAGGUCUCAGGUUCGAAUCCUCCUGUUUAUACUAAAAAAAAAAAUUUACUAUCUGUCGACAAAGAUUUUCUAUGGUUGAUGUACCAUAGGAAAAAUCUGCCUAUACAAUUAUUUGGAAAAAUUAUCCAUCCAAACAUAGUCACGAUAGCAUUUUUUCAAAAACACUAGAUGCAAAAUUGUCCCCUUAAACGUGGAAAUUCAUGAUCUUUCCUCGACUAGUCUACUUGUCAAUUUUUGAAAAAAGAAUACUCACGCCAAAAACACGGCCUCUUCAUCUGCAGAAUUCUAAAAAGUUACGUAAACUCUAUAAACAAGUUGAUAGGUACAAUCGUACCCAAGAUCAAGUACAGAUAGUUGUACAUUCACUGCUGCAAUAACUAAUCUGAUGACUUACAAACACAUCAUGGUCAAUCGUUGAAUGGUAAUGAGUCUUUUGUUAUGCAUUAGUAUUAGUGUGUACACUCUAAUAGAUUGAUACUUAUACUCUUUAAAUUAUCAUAAUAAUACCCUUAAUUAACUUUAACCCUUAAAAAGAAUACGUGUUAAUACACGAGAGUGUGUAACCUGAAUUGUUACUUAUACAUUAGUGUGUAAUAGAACGGCAAGCAUUAUGGUGGUCAUUGAGCAACUUAUAGGAGAAAUAGUCCUAUAAGCUGUUCAAUGACCAAUCACAACUUGCUAAUUGGAUGACUAAUAUAGCUCUAGCUGUAAUGUUUUAAUUAAAUUCCACACUAACGUUGGGAUGACUUUUUAAUCAAAAAAAAAAAAGCCUUAGUUCAAGCUUUUCCCCUUAUUGUGCAUUUUUUAAAACAUUUGAUAGGCACUGCAAAUCUGUCAUUUUGGACAUUUUAUUAUUAACUAACAAUGAAAGCCGUGGACAUCAACCCAUAUCCAACAAAAUAUUAAAUUAAUAUUAGAAAAAUUAUUAAGUAAUUGGAAAAAAAAAAGAAGAGGCUAAUUUUCAUUGAAACCCACCGACAAACUAUCCGUGUCCAUAGCUUUUGAAUAGUGCAUUCAACGUUUAAUUGUAUGGUCCAGUUCAUUGCCGAUUACAUGGAGUAAAGAUUGUGCUCUUUCCUUUUUCACCCCUUUUGGAAUCGAUACUGUGGAGAAUUGGGUUUUUCCCUCCUUUUUUUCUUUUCUUUCCUUCUGUGCUUUGCAAAACAUACGUAAAAAUAUGAAAUCCGAAGCAUUCUUUAAUUGGGAUUAAGUAUUGUUGUUGAAAUUAAAAAGAAGAAAGAAAGAACAACAAAAAUCCCAAUCUGGGUUGAUUGUUGAGCUCUAGAUUGGCUGCAUCGUGCUUCCAUAGAAGUUCUCUUAGUGUGAUACGCUGCUUUCAAUCAGUUUUAAUAUUUAAGUAGAGUGCAAAAUAACUUUACUAUUUAAUGGGUUAUAAUGCACCAUUUGGUACCUCUCACCCACCUAUGAUUUGAUUUACUACUGGCAUGGUAAUGGACAGAGUUGGGGGAGCAGGAGGAGGGAGAUGGCGGUACCAGUCCGUCAACCACAGCACACCCUCCCUCGGACUUUGCGUGGUAGCGAAGUGGAGGCAGAUCGAGCACACAUGCACUAACGCCUUAAGUAUGUACAAUAUAUGUAUGCCAAAAGCAUAGCCAAGCCUACCAGCGCAUUUCAAUAAUAUAACCCGGAAAUUAAGGGCAUUGAAUUAAGUACGAUGAAUCAUAUUGGUGCACAAUUACAGUUUGAAGCUACCGAUUCGAGUAAAUUUAAGCGUAAGCACAAUCAAUCGCCAGUCAAAUGCUGAAAUAUGCAUAUGCAUGGAUGAAUGUAUGGGUUUCUUAGUUCCAGACCAAAGGCCAACAAUAAGGGAAGGAAGGACAGUUCUCAUUUUUAGCACGGACAAGGAGAUGAAGAAAAGUGUAUGUAGCUUGAGACAGAACAAUGGCAUGUGACCGCUCCUGAGACCACAUAACGUGGGGUGGGGAUGGGACGGCCAAGAAUGAAGAUGCCUGUCGGUCUCUCCGUGCUGCUACCAUAUGAAUCCCCCGUUAACCAAUUCAAGAUAAGCCUGAAGUUCUUUUCAUCCCCAAACCCUGUCCCAUCUGUGUAAAUCCAACAUCAUCAUUUACGACCUGCAACUCAGGUUAAGCAUGUUCUAUUGAGAUUCAGACACCACCCUUCAAAAGAUAUACUACUGUGAAACCAGCAGCUUAAUAUCAUUGUAUAAAAAAAAAAAAAAAAGAAAGAAGAAAAGACAUGAAAAGCAAAUUUUGUGGGGAUAAUUUCAAAAUCUCUCCUAAAGUUUUUUACUAUUUUACUGGCCUCCUUUCAAAUUUUAAAAAUUACACCAGUCUUCCUUGAGAUUAUUUAUCUUGUAACAUUGAGGUCCAAUCAAUAAUUAAAAAAUGAUAUUAUGAGAGAGAAAAAAAAUAAACUUUAACAUCAUAAAUAUUCUUAUCAACAUAUUAAAGUUAGUUACUGAAAUUUUUAUGGUGUUAAACUUCACUCUUUGUAAUAUUUUAGUUACAGAUUUUUUGAUUACUUGUUGUUGAUUUUUUUUUUUUUAGUGUAAACAGGAGGACUCGAACCUAAGACCUCUCACUUACACUCCCUCCCCCCGUACCACCCCAACCCAACCCAACCCUCCCCUCGUUGUUGAUCAUGUUUGACAAUGGAUUUGUAAUUGAAAAGAACAAUUUGGAUCUUACAUUGAGUGAAAUAUAUAGAAUGAUAUACUAUUUUUUAUGGCAUAUGUGAUUCAAUCCUUGAUGAUAAAAGCAAAUUCAAGUGUUUUCUUUAAUGUUUGUGCUGAUAUUAGAUUAAUUAAAUAAUUUAGUAGAUGAAGGAAAAUGGUGAAAUCAUAUUAUCUUCUCUUUCCUAAUAUCACUAUUUAAUUAUUGAUUGAACUUAGAUAUUACAAAUAAUAAAUCUCAAGGGAGAUUAGUAUAAUUUUCAAAUUUUGGAGAGAAGCUAAUGAAAUAGUCAAAAACCUUAAGGGAGGUUUACAAAAUUAUCCCAAAUUUGUGGGAAUUAGAAUAAUUGUACUGGACGGCACUGCCGCAACAGAGGGAAAGAGGAGGAGGUGCAGUUAACUUUUUGUUGUUUGAAAUCCUUGGUGAAAUAUUACAGAAAGACAGAUAAAACAGUUAGUACAUAGAUGUAUAUGACAGGGAAAAUGGUACGUCUGUUAAUCACAUUUGAAACACUUUCAUUGGUGAAUGACGAAAACUAUCAGGCUUGCCCAAUAGUUGAUCAUUGACCAAGACAAAUCUUGCCAUGCUAGAGGUACCAUCUUUUCGUACCUCUUUAGUGCACAGGACAUUCCUUUGUUUCAUCUAGCUAAUAAUCUACCAACUCAUUUCUUUGCAAAUGCACCUUUUAUGGUCACGUCUACGAAAGCUUUACAGGAUCUUUACCCAAAAAAUCAAUUCACCGACUCGCAUUUGAUGUCAAAAUUUCUUUACUUUACUCCAAGAUUGACUGUUAAUAAUAAUGCCACUUUGAAUUAUCACACCAUCCUUCUUGAUAGGAUUUGUGCUAGAGGUAGGGAGGGAGUCGCUGCAGCCGGUCUUCUCUUCAUAGACAGUACAAUAUUGCGAAAUCGAUCGCAUUCACGCAAUAUUAUAUUUCCAAGUCGUUGCAUGGGUAAGCUGCCAAAAAGUACGAACACAUGUUAUUAUAUAGCUUAAGAUUCAAAACUUUCGAGCAUAACCCUCCACCUAACACAAUUGAAUAAUGGAUAUUCACGAUUGUCAAAUCUGUCAAAGUACAGUUUGAGGACAACCCAUUCCAACCUGCAAAAGGUUUUUUUACUUUUCUAAAGUUGUUGAGAGCUGUUAAAAGAUUUACCAUGCUUACAUCUUCCGAGCCUUGGGAGUUAAAAAUGAAGGCACUGAGUGCUAUAAAAAGGGAAUAGAGGCUGCCUAGAAGCAUACCAGCCUAAAACAAGGAUUUGUAGUUAUGAUGGGAAGCAAAGCAAAAGCAAUGGGGUCUGGGCUGACUCCUCUUCUUGCCACUGUUUUAGUGGUGUUUGUUGCUCUUGGCUUGCCCUCAGAAACUGCAGCUGAUGAUCACUACAAGUAUUCAUCUCCUCCUCCUCCUUACACUAUCCCUCACCACCACCUCCAGUGCAUAUACCUCCACCUCAUCCUGUUUACAAGUACAAAUCUCCACCACCCCCACCACCACACCCAGUUUACAAGUAUAAGUCACCACCACCACCUCCUCAUCCGGUACCACACCCAGUUCCUCAUCCGGUGCCACACCCAGUUCCUCAUCCGGUGCCACACCCAGUUUACAAGUAUAAGUCACCACCACCACCUCCUCAUCCGGUACCACACCCAGUUCCUCAUCCGGUACCCACACCCAGUUUACAAGUAUAAGUCACACCACCACCUCCUCAUCCGGUACCACACCCAGUUUACAAGUAUAAGUCACCACCACCACCUCCUCAUCCGGUAUACAAGUAUAAGUCUCUCCGCCACCAACACCCAGUUUACAAGUAUAAGUCACCACCACCACCUCCUCAUCCGGUGCCACACCCAGUUUACCACUACAAGUCACCACCACCACCUCCUCAUCCGGUACCACACCAGUUUACCAUACAAGUCACCACCAAUCCUCACCCAGUUUACAAAUACGAGUCUCCACCACCUCCAGUUUAUAAGUACAAGUCACCACCACCUCCUCCACCAGUUUACAAGUAUAAAUCUCCUCCACCACCACCACCAGUUUACCACUACAAGUCUCCACCACCUCCUCCCCCAGUUUACAAAUACAAGUCUCCACCACCUCCUCACCACUACUAAGCAAUUGCUUCUGAGGUAAUAACACUUGUUCAAUAUACCCACUUCUGCAUGAUAAAGCAUAUCUCUAUCAACACAAACUGUCAUGUCUAUCAUGCUAAGUGCCUUCACUUCAUCCACCAAAAUGACUGCUAGAAAAUUUUUUUUAUGUUACCAAAGAAAGGCAUCAUUUUUUCCCUCUGUUAUCAAGAACUUGUACAGUAUAUAGAUUAAAGAGUUUUUAUUUUAACUAGCUUAUCAACUUAGAAAUGCAUAUAGCUGAUAACCAGCUGAAUAUUUGCAGGCAAAGGAGAAGGAAACCAUGUUUGAGACCUUCUUGAAGAUGUAGAAGCAUAAGAAUAAAAGCCCAAUGUGAAGAUGAUGAUUUCAAGUUUUUCUACGUUACCAUUUCUUUAUCUAAAUUGGUUGUAGCGCCCAAGUUCCUUUGUUUAUGGGAUUUGUAUCGUUUUACGUACCAUGCAGUACAUGUCAUGUUUGUAAGGUUUUCUAUCCUGCCGGCAAACCGCAGGUUCCAUGUGAUAAAUGAAUACUAUUUAUGUUACGACA